rnacentral:lncRNA from 1 species
GUUUUUUUUUUUUUUUGCGGGGGGUAGAAUUCGUUUGUUAAUCCAUCGGGCCCAGGGCUCUUGUUUCUUGGUGCACUGUGGACGAUCCUGAUAGGUUGACACCAGCUCUGAAGGUUUUCUUGUUGAGGGUAGAGCAGAGACGGGGGGAAAUUUCCAUCAGACGUUGAGGAUUCACUGAACAGAGGAUGAAAGAACGAAGUUGCAAUGUCCAGUUUUUUGUUGUUGUCUUAAUGUUCUACCACAUUGUCCAUCAGUAAUUUCAUGCAAUUUUUUUGCCUGUUGACUGAUGCCACUAUGUGAUAAAAUCUUGUAUUUUCGUCUCCUAGAGUGCAGAAUCUUAUUCGGGCUCUUCUUUUCCAUUUUAGUGUGAUGAAGCCAUUCAGGUCUUUGAUGUUUUUUUGCAACCUCUGACGAAGGUAGAAUUCUAAAUCGGUGAGUUGGCGCCAUUCUUCAACUUUGUCCAGGUAGUCCACUAUCUCUUUGUUAGCUGACAGAAGUGUUGGGAGGUUGCGCCUGCUCUUGUUCCAGGCUUUCGCAUUAGCUCGCAGAUGUUUGAUUUUGUGAUUGAAUUGGGUGAUUGUUAUCAUGGGUCUUGUUCCAUUAUUCCAGUUAGUUUCAGCCAAGGUAACGGACUCUGAUAUUUGCAACCAGAUGUUUUCUAGACGGAAGAUGGCUGAGUGAGAACUGUUUGAAAAUUCAGCUAGUACAUGUAUAUGGUCUGAAGUUGUAGCCAUAAGUGCUCGAGCUGAACAGUUGUCGAAAGUUUGUAUCUAUCAAAACUCUGUCUAAUUUUACCAAUGUGGGAUAUCUUCUUUUGUUUGACCAAGUGAACCUUCUGUUUGGAAUGUCAAGAUCUAUUAGACCCUCUUCAUUUAUUCAAUAAUUAAAAUUUUCCAUUCCUCUUGUAUUUAUACUGUCAUUGCUUUUUUCAUGUGGGUAUCUGUAGAUGUUAAAAUCGCCAAUACACAUCCAGGGACCUUGGUUUGUUGAUCUGAAGGCAGUGAGAAGAUGAAAUAGGUUUUGCCUGUCUGAAUCAUUAUGGGGAGCAUAAAUGUUGGUGAUCAGGAAGGUUGUUCGAUCUGUUGUGGACUGGAAGGAGCAUGACAGGGCCAAAUCGCUUCUUUCUUUCAAGGUGGCAUUGAACUUGAUGCAGUUCCAUGCUGUGAUUAAGUCCCCAACAAAGCCAUUGGAAGGUUGCCAGUGGAAGCUUCUUAGGAAGUUUGGAAGGAUUGUCGGAACUGUGAAUCUAUCCAAAGUGUGCAACUUGGAUUCCUGAAUGCAGAUAAUAUCUGGCUUGUGCUCUAAUACUGUUGACAGCACUAGUUGUCUCUUAUCUUUGUCACCAAGUCCUCUUACAUUCCAAGAGAGGAAUUUCAUUGCGAUUGUGCCGGUACUCCGGGGAAACAUGCGAAAAAACAACGAGAGGUCCGGUAGCCAAAAAACCUCCUUGGGUCUUAGCAUCCCUGUGGAGAUUAUGGAUACCCCAUACCUACACGGCAUGUAUAGUCCGACUGGGUAUGGGGUGCCAUGUAUAAAUAGAAUAUCUUUAAAAGGACUCGGGUUGAAUUCCAAACUUGUGCGUCAAGAAAAUACCCAGGAUCCUAGUUGGUUACAAUUGUAUCUUAUCUGUAAUUACGUAUUCCGUUAGGGAUAUGGACUGUGCUUUGUAAUACGGACCCCUUCCCCGAUAUAAGGAGGGGUCCGGGUGCCUCUAGGGGCACGAUUUUCUUCCAGAUCAUACGAUCAAUAAUAUACUCGGCGGAUCAAUCCCCGGACAGGAGUAGGGUAUUACUUCUUGAUUAAGAAGGCCUGAACCUGUAUAAAAUUCCUUGUCUCUAAACCUAUCCACUUUUCUAGCUUGAUAGCCACCCCCUAUUAGUAUUGCUGAAAUCUUGUUUCGACAGUUGGCGCGCCAGGUAGGGAUAGCCUCAAGUUCUUCGCCGACUAGUGCGAUUGGUUUCGUCUCCGACAUCGACGACUUUGUCUUCCCACCCGGGCAGGCAUUCCGGUUCGGCAGCCUCGACUUCAUCACCAACGACUUCAGCAAGAUUUAUCUCCUCGACUCGGAUUCGAACCAGUCGGGAAGAGGCCAGGCCUCCGCCCCAUUUGGUAUCCCGAACUAGGCUGAGAUAUACCCCAAGAUCAUCUCAACCAAGUUGGCCCCAAACCACUGGGACGAGAUCCAAUCUACUACAACACGACCUGAUCAAGACGAUGGAGCCUAUCCGCCAAUCCUGACGAAACUCCCCGAUGAUUUGGUUGCCAUCUUCACCACAAGGGCGUCUUCUCCCCGUAGGUCUAGGCCGGAUCCGGCCUCGGCCCCGAUCCAGUCUAGCUCCAGGGAAGUGGGCGUCAUACUCCAGCCUCUCGGCACAGUUUCGACGGAACAACUGGACGGCUACCUCAGCUCCCCCGGUGUCGACUCACGACCAACGGAGAUCGUAGAGUACGACGACUUCGGCUACCGCUACGACUAUCGCAACCUCGACGACUUCGACGAAGGCUUUGAAGAUAACUACAUGCCCCUCUACUUCGGCAUUUUUAUGGCCGACAACGAGACAGAAGGACAGCGUAAAGCCCGAGAAGCAGAAGAGCAGCGCGUGCGACAAGAAGCCGAACGACGCCGACUGGAGGAGGAGCGCCAAGCACAAGAGCGAGAACGGCUGCAGCGUGAGCAACAGGAGCGCGAGCGGGCUGCAAAGGAGGCCAAGGACCGGCGACAGCGUGCUUUGGAUGCCAGGCGACGAGCACGAGAACUCAUUGGGCAGCAAGACGUCGAGGGAACGGCGGUUUUCCGCACCCCUCAACAGAACGCGGUUGCAGCGAUCACCCUCCUUGACACCCUCCUCAAGGAAGACGCACUCAAUCAAGCCAACCACAUCGUCAACAUCUUGAAUCAGACCAAGACCAUGAUCGCAGCUUCGGUCCCAGUUAACUCUGCAAGCGUCCGCACGACGACGGGCAGCCGAGUUCCCCCUCUUCGAUCUCAAGACUAUCACCAACCAAGGCUCAGCGUCAUCGGCGCGGGAUCCAGUCGCAGGAACAGGGAUCACGACGAGCGAUCCGUCCACUCGCCUCCUGAUCAGCGCAGGGAGCGUCGAGCUGAACGUCCCCGCUCCCCACACCGCAGGCGUCCCAUCGAUCUUCGCGAGACUAUCAACCAGCGCCGCGCGGCGAGGGGCUAUGUACCACACCAUUCACCAGAUCGCUACGACGACGACGUGGAUGGAGUUGCUGCCUUCACAAGCGACCUGCGUCGAGUGGAUUGGCCAGCUGGCUUUAAGCCGACUGGAAUCGAGAAGUAUGACAGCACCACCAACCCUGAGUCUUGGCUCACCGUCUACAGUCUCGCAAUUCGCGCAGCAGGAGGAGACAGCAAAGCUAUGGCAAAUUAUCUGCCCGUGGCCCUAGCGGAUUCUGCCCGGUCCUGGCUUCACGGGCUACCCCGCGGCACAAUCGGAUCUUGGGCGGAACUCCAUGACCACUUCAUCACCAAUUUCUAGGGUACUUUUGAACGCCCUGGCACCCAGUUCGAUCUUUAUAACGUUGUUCAGAAGUCUGGGGAAUCUCUCCGAGAUUACAUCCGAUGUUUUUCAGAGCAACGCAACAAGAUCUCCGACAUCACCGAUGACGUCAUCAUCGCCGCCUUCACCAAGGGCAUUCGCCACGAUAACUUAGUCGGUAAGUUUGGACGCAAGCCUCCCAGGACGGUCAAGCAGAUGUUUGAAAAAGCCAAUGAGUACGCCAAAGCCGAAGAUGCCAUCACCGCAUCCAAGCAGUCGGGCACCACUUGGAAGCGGAAGAACGAUACGCCCACCACAGGGGGGAGUGGAAGUACCAAUCACAAGGAUCGCAAGCGUAAGCCCGAGGAACUUGUGGCAACCACUACACCAUCCUCCCAACAACGUUCGCGCGUCAACACUUUCGACGAAAUCAUGAAAUCCCAAUGUCCGCAUAAUCCAAAUUCUAAUCAUGCAGCCAAAGAUUUCUUCGUCUACAAAUAGUUCAUAGAGCAAUACGCCAAGAACGCACACAAGACAACUGACGGAGAUCAAAGCACGUCAAAGAAGGAUGAUAAAGACGAUGCCCCGACUGGUUUUCAAGACCAUCGCAAGGAACUCAACCACAUCUUUGGCGGACCCCUGGCUUACGAAUCCAAGCGAAAGCAAAAGCUGACCGAACAGGAGAUCAAUGCUGUUCAGCCUGACACGCCCCAAUACCUUCGGUGGUCAGAGACAGUAAUUAAAUUUGACCGCUCAGAUCAUCCUGACCGAGUGGUCCACCCGGGGCGUUACCCCAUGGUACUAGACCUAGUGGUUCGCAACGUCAAGCUCCGACGAUCCCUCGUUGAUGGUGGCAGUGCACUCAAUAUCCUUUUCGCUAAGACUCUGGACGAUAUGCAGAUCCCUAACACAGAAUUGAAGCUGAGUAAUGCGCCCUUUCAUAGAGUCAUCCUCGGGCUAUCUUCUACUCCACUCGGCCAGAUCACUUUGCCUGUUACUUUCGGCACUCGGGAGAACUUUCGCACAGAGAACAUCUGCUUCGAAGUCGCUGAUUUUGAAACAGCCUACCACGCCAUACUCGGACUACCGGCGUUAGCCAAGUUCAUGGCUGUCCCGCACUACACCUACAUGAUGAUGAAGAUGCCAGGUCCUCAAGGAGUCAUAUCCCUGCGGAGCGACAUCAAGCAAGCCGUCACUUGCGACAAGGAAAGCUGCAAGAUGGCUCAGACCCGCGAGAUCACGCUCGCCCGAGAAGAAAUCCGACUGGCUGCGUCCACAGCAACCGAAGGAGAAGUGCCUGCAACCAAGAUGACAAAGAUUGGAGAAGGCGACGCCAAGACCAAGAAGAUUCCUCUAGAUCCCUCCGAUCCUACUAAGACUGUUGUAAUAGGCGUUGAGUUAGAUUGUAAAUAGGAAAACGCGCUCAUCACCUUUCUUCAAAAUAAUAAAGAUAUCUUUGCGUGGAAAUCAUCUGAUAUGCCUGGUUUUCCUAAAGAGGUGAUUCAGCACUCUUUACAUGCUAAGGAAGAUGCUAAACCUAUCAAGCAACUACUCCGCCGUUUCACAAAAGAUAGAAAGGACGCGAGCAAGGAGGAAUUGACCAAGCUGUUAGUAGCAGGCUUCAUCAAGGAAGUCCUUCAUCCCGACUGGCUGGCCAAUCCACUCCUGGUUCGGAAGAAGACGGGGCAAUGGCGCAUGUGUGUUGACAACACCGACCUCAACAAGUCUUGUCCCAAAGAUCCGUUCGGGUUACCUCGCAUUGACCAGGUAGUUGACUCAACGGCCGGCUGUGAGCUACUCAGUUUUUUGGAUUGCUACUCAGGAUAUCAUCAGAUCCGACUAAAGGAGUCCGACUGCUUAAAGACUUCAUUUUUUACACCCUUCGGGGCCUAUUGCUACAUCACCAUGCCUUUUGGAUUGAAGAAUGCAGGAGCAAUUUAUCAACGCAUGAUCUAGAGAUGCUUUUCAACUCAGAUCGGACGUAACGUUGAAGCCUAUGUUGAUGAUGUGGUCGUCAAGACCAAGCAGAAGGAUGAUUUUGUCACGACCGGAAAUAACCCAACGGGCGUUCCUUACGUGCGUGCAUUAAUCCUUGUCCCAGGAGGCAAGGUACACCAAAAGUUGAUACAAUUCAGAGUUUAACAAGCGGAAGCGUAAAUAGUUAAUCUAUUACAUGGGCAGCCAAGGCCCAGCACACACAAAGACAAACGAGAAACAGCGGAAGACUAGGGCGACGACCACAGGCACUUGACGGCAGGCACGAGCUAGACACCGAAGCCUUCAUCCUCCAGGAACUCCUCUUCUGGGUUUGGGAAAAAUUGAGCAAGACUGAGUACAACCACCGUACUCAACAAGACACACCCACAAGUGCAGAAUAAAUGCAAGGGAGUACAAAGGAGUUAUACUAUAAAGGGUUAGGGUUGCAGUAAACAGCAUUUAAAGACAUUAGUUGCUCAGGGCUAUUUUGCAAACACGAUUCUAGUACUAUGCAAUAUUAUUUAUCAAGGCCGUGAACCCACACGAACCUGCCUUAACCCAAGGCCUACGAUGAUUCAGACCGAACUGGCAACCCGACCCUGGGUCCCAGCUCGUCCCAAGCCAACCCAUGCCAACCAUUCCACAUUUUAGUUGUUAAGCAGGUUUUAAGAAUUAAAACACUAACUUGGGUACAUUGCUCGGCUUGCCCAUAACCGAGGGCGCGGCUAUUCGAAUAGAUUAUACUCUGAUCAGAGGUGUACAUCUUUACCCACAAGACACAUCUUCCUCACGUGUAACCACGUGCCACAUACCACCACUGUCACGACCGGAAAUAACCCAACGGGCUUUCCUGACGUGCGUGCAUUAAUCCUUGUCCCAGGAGGCAAGGUACACCAAAAGUUGAUACAAAUCAGAGUUUAACAAGCGGAAGCGUAAAUAGUUAACUUAUUACAUGGGCAGCGAAGGCCCAGCACACACAGAGACAAACGAAAAACAGCGGAAGACUAGGGCGACGACCACAGGCGCUUGACGGCAGGCACGAGCUAGACACCAAAGCCUUCAUCUUCAAGGAGCUCCUCUUCUGGGCUUGGGAAAAAUUGAGCAAGACUGAGUACAACCACCGUACUCAACAAGACACACCCACAAAUGCAGAAUAAAUGCAAGGGAGUACAAGGGAAUUAUAAUAUAAAGGGUUAGGGUUGCAGUAAACAGCAUUUAAAGACAUUUAGUUGCUCAAAGCUAUUUUGUAAACACGAUCCUAGAACUAAACAGUAUUAUUAAUCAAGGCCGUGAACCCACACGAACCUGCCUUAACCCAAGGCCUACGAUGAUUCAGACCGAACUGGCAACCCGACCCUGGGUCCCAGCUCGUCCCAAGCCAACCCAGGCCAACCAUUCCACAUUUUAGUUGUUGAGCAAAUUUUAAGAAUUAUAACACUGACUUGGGUACAUUGCUCGGCUUGCCCAUAACCGAGGGCGCGGCUAUUCGAAUAGGUUUUACUCUGAUCAGAGGUGUACAUCUUUACCCACAAGACACAUCUUCCUCACGUGUAACCACGUGCCACAUACCACCACGGUAUACAGACGGAAGACGUGACAUAGUUUCCAACCCAUCCUAGCCAUAGACAAGAGUACCGACCCAAUCCCGCCUACGGCCGGAAUCCCCGGGACAGGCAGGCAGGACUGAGCCCCUAGCAGCAGGGCACCAACCCUCUGCCGUAUGACAUCUCGACUACCGGGCCGCAGCUCGUGUAGCCUUCAUUUGCCCUGGAGAAUGUCCAUCGACCCCCGACUUCAUCCAUCUCCAAUCCGUGUACUUUUGUUUAUGACUAGCCUGAGCCACAAACUAAGCCUUACCCACUAGACAUGUGGAAGUACGGUAGUGCUUUGCAACAGAGGCCCGAGCUUAAUCCUUAUAGUGGCCGGGGUGCUACUUCCCACAACUGGCAUGCACCCAAACCCCACCGAAAACAGGUUUUAGGGGUUUUGAAAGAGGAAGAGAGGUGUGUGUCCAAUUCCAACAUAAGCCAACCAUUCCAUAGUGUCCAAAUGAUAUGAGAAUAACCCAAAGUCUAGAGUUGUAAAACCGCCUAAUGUUACCUAAUUAAAUUGCGAAGCAUCUACCUAAAAUUAAACUAGUGGUGCCAUGAGUAGAGUGUCCACUAGUUGAGGUUUUGUUUGCUCUAGGGUGAACAAGGGAAUAAUAAUAACAAUAGCAAUAAUAAGGUCAUAACAAAGGUAAAUAGGCAUGGCUAAAUAAAACAGUGAUAACGCGGGAAUUUAAAUAAAGCGAUAAUGCAAUAAUUUAAAUCAACAUAAUUUUACAAACUGGGAUUCAAUAUGUUCAAAGAUGAUGUGACUUGCCUUGCUCGCUUUCCCAACCGACGGCUUCGACUUCCACGAAGAGCGGAUCUUCCGAAGCUGCAGCGUCUACACGACCAACGGAAAAGAAAAAGGCUUUUACUCUAAUAAACUCCACACAACAACAGAAACAAAGCACAAAAAUGGGUUCUUGACUUCUUAAGGAAAAAUUAGAGACUUGAACGGUCCAAUUCCGAGUUCAAAUGGCCAAGAUAUGGCCAUUUGAAGUUUAUAUGCUCUUUAAUGGAUAUUUGCGGAUUUCUUCAUUUAAAGUUUUAAUUAAAAAAUCUCAUUUAUUGCGUCAGCCGAGGGAGGGGGCGCGCGGACCGGGUCCACGGGAGUGGGGCCCACGCGUCAGCCUCUCGGUCCACGGUGGACCGGGUGCACACGGCUGACGGCGGCCGGUGCCGUGGGUCCCACGCGUCAGCCGCACCCGCGGGCGCGGGCGGCUGACGGCCGGGCCCACUUGGCAGCCGCGAGGGCACGCCCGAAGGCGGCCUCGCCGGCACGGCCGACGGGAGGGGGACGCGCCCGCGCCCCGAUGGUCACCGCCGGCGACCACCGGCGCGGCGGAGCGGCACCCGAGAGAGAGGAGGGAAGGGGGAAGCGAAUGGAGCGGUCUUCGGCUCACCCCGGUCGACGGCGAUGACGGGAACGGCGGCCGAAGCGGAAGAAGGCGGCGGCGCGGUUCGGGACGACGAGGACGACGGCGCUCCGUCGGUCGGCGAGCGAAACGGAGGCGCGGACGAGGUCGACGGGAACGCGGUGAAGCCGAUGGAGGUGACGCCGAGUGGGGAGGAAGUCCGGAGCGACGGCGGCGGCGAACCGGAGCUUGUCGGCGACGGCGGAGAGAGAGGAAAGCGGCGCGAGCGCGUUUCCGACGGUGAGAGCGAGCGGCGAACGGCGGAAACGGAGGAGAGAGGCACGGGAGACGUUUAAAUAGGGCCGAGAGGAGGAGAGAGCGGCCGGAGGAGAUGGAAACCGGCGCGGAGAUCUCGGCCGCCAUUGAUUGCGCCGGCGAACUUUGCGGGCAUGAAUCGGGACGAAUCCGAGGGAGAGAGAGAGGGGAAAGUGGGGGAAUCGGGAGAGGGAAUCGCGGGGAAUAUUUCCCCCCUCUUUAUGGCGCGCGGGGACGGCGGGAUGCGGCGGAAUCCGCGGCGGCGGCGGCGCUAGGGCACGGGCGAGCGGCGGACGCGGCGGGAGGAAGGCGAUGACAGGUGGGUCCCACCCGUCAGCGAGGGUGGCGGGCGGGCCCGCCUGUCAGCGGCGCGCGCGCUGGGAGGAGCCGAUGGGCCGCGGGGGAAAGGAGAGAGAGAGGGAAGAGAAGUGGGCCGAGCCGGCCCAAGAAAGGAAGGGGGGGAGAAAGAGGACUUCUUUUAGGGUUUUUCUUUUGAUAAACCUUUUCAACUUUGUUUAUUUCUUCUCAAUUAUUAUUUGUGCUCUGAAAAUUCCACUAAAAUUUAUUUACGCAUUUUAGGCUUCUAGGAAAUAUACAAAAAUCCUCCAAGCCUCAUUUGACUUUUAUCUUUGCACAUUUUAAUUGUUGGAGGCUUUCACAUGAAUUUUAAUUAUUCUUUGCACAAUUUCGAGGAUGUAUUUUAGAGUCGAUUUGGGACGUGACAACCACGGUAUACAGACGGAAGACGUGACAUAGUUUCCAACCCAUCCUAGCCAUAGACAAGAGUACCGACCUAAUCCCACCUACGGCCGGAACCCCCGGGACAGGCAAGCAGGACUGAGCCCCUAGCAGCAGGACACCGGCCCUGUGCCAUGACAUCUCGACUACCGGGCCGCAGCUCGUGUAGCCUUCAUUUGUCCUAGAGAUGUCCAUCGACCCCCGACUUCUUCCAUCUCCAUCCGUGUACUUUUGUUUAUAACUAGACUGAGCCACAAACUAAGUCUUACCCACUAGACAUGUGGAAGUACGGUAGUGCUUUGCAACAGAGGCCCGAAGACCGGUCCUUAUAUGGCCGGGGUGCUACUAUCAAAACCAUGCACCCCGAGCCCAGCCUAAAACCAUUUUUGGGGAUUUUGAAUAGAAGGAGCGGUGUGAAGCCAAUUCCACAAUAACCAAACCAUUCCAUAGUGUCCAGGUGAUAUGAAUAUUCCCAAAGUCUAGAGUUGUAAAACCGCCUAAUGUUACCUAAUUAAAAGCGAAGCAUCUACCUAAAAUCAUACUAGUGAUACCAUGAGUAGAGUGUCCACUAGUUGGGGUUUUGUUUAAUCUAGGGUGAACAAGGAAAUAAUAACAAUAACAAUAAUAAUAUGGUCAUAACAAAGGUAAAUAGGCAUGGCUAAAUAAAACAGUGAUAACGCGGGAAUUUAAAUAAAGCGAUAAUGCAAUAAUUUAAAUCAACAUAAUUUUACAAACUGGGAUUCAAUAUGUUCAAAGAUGAUGUGACUUGCCUUGCUCGCUUUCCCAAACGUCGGCUUCAACUUCCACGAAGAGCGGAUCUUCCGAAGCUGCAGCGUCUACACGACCAACGGAAAAGAAACGGAUUUUACUCUACUAAACUCCAUAUAACAAGCAGAAACAAAGCACAAAAAUGGGUUCUUGACUUCUUAAGGAGAAAUUAGAGACUUGAACGGUCCAAUUCCGAGUUCGAAUGGCCAAGUUAUGGCCAUUUGAAGUUUAUAUGCUCUUUAAAUGGAUAUUUGCGAAUUUCUUCAUUUAAAUUUUAAUUUAAAAUCGGAUUUAUUGCGUCAGCCGAGGGGAGGGGCGCGCGGACCGGGUCCACGGGAGUGGGGCCCACGCGGCAGCCUCUCGGUCCACGGUGGACCGGGUGCACGCGGCUUACGCCGGCCGGCGCCGUGGGUCCCACGCGUCAGCCGCACCCGAGGGCGCGGGCGGCUGACGGCCGGGCCCCACAUGGCAGCCGCGGGGCGCGCCCGAAGGCGGCCUCGCCGGCACAGCCGAUGGGAGGCGACGCGCCCGCGCCCCGAUGGUCUCCGCCGGCGACCACCAGCGCGGCGGAGCGGCGCCCGAGAGAGGGGAGGGAAGGGGGAAACAAAACGGCGGUCCACGGCUCACCCCGGGUCGACGGCGACGACGGGAACGGCGACCGGAGCGGAGGAAGGCGGCGGCGCGGCACGGGUCGACGGGGACGGCGGCGUUCCGGCGGUCGGCGGGCGAAACGGAGGGGUGGACGAGGUCGGCGAGGACGCGGCGGAGACGAAGGAGGCGACGCCGAGGCGGGAGAAGGUCCGGGGCGACGACGGCGGCGGACCGGAGCUCGGCGGCGACGACGGAGAGAGAGAACGACGGCGCGAGCUCGAUUCCGACGGGGAGAGAGGGCGGCGAGUGGCGGAAACGGUGGAGGGAGGCACGGGGAGCGUUUAUAUAGUGUUGGGAGGGGGAGAGAGCGGCCGGAUGAGGGGGAAUCGGCCGCGGAAGAUCCGGCCGCCAUUGAUGCGCCGGCGAAGUUAGGGGGAAACUUUCCGAACGAAUCCGAGGGAGAGAGAGAGGGAAAAGUGGGGGGAAAGAGGGAGGGAAUCACGGGGAAUAAUUUCCCCCUCUUUAUUGCGCGCGGGGACGGCGGGAGGCGGCGGGAUUCUCGGCGGCGGCGGCGCUAGGGCACGGGCGAGGCGGCGGGAGCGGCGGGAGGUAGGGGAUGACGGGUGGGCCCCACCCGUCAGCGAGGGAGGCGGGCGGGCCCGCCCGUCAGCGGCACGCGCGCGGGGAGGAGGCCGGAUGGGCCGCGGGGGAGAGGAGAGAGAGGGAGAGAGAUGGGCCGAGCCGGCCCAAGAGGGGGAGGGGGGGAGAAAAGACUUUUUAGAGCUUUUCUUUUUAUAAAACCUUUUUAGCUUUGUUUAUUUCUUAAUAAUUAUUAUUUGUGCUCUGAAAAUUCCACUAAAAUUUAUUUACGUAUUUUAGGCUUUUAGGAAAUAUACAAAAAUCCUCCAAGCCUUAUUUGACUUUUAACUUUGCACAUUUUAAUUGUUGGAGGCUUUCACAUGGAUUUUAAUUAUUCUAUGCAUAAUUUUGAGGAUGUAUUUUAGAGUCGUUUUGGGACGCGACAGAUUUGAUUACGGAUCUGGAACCUUUGCGAGCAUCCGCACUUUCAGGAUGAAAUUAAGCCCUGAAAAGUGCACCUUCGGACUACCGUCAGGGAAGUUGCUUGGCUUUAUGGUGUCCCAUAGGGGCAUACAAGCCAACCCGGAGAAAAUCAACGUCAUCCUCAACAUGAAACCGCCAAGCUCCUGGAAAGAUGUUCAAAAGUUGACUGGUUGCAUGGCAGCGCUCAGCCGGUUCGUCUCACGACUUGGCGAGCGGGGGAUGCCCUUCUUCAUGCUGCUAAAGAAAACCGACAAUUUCCAGUGGGGACCCGAAGCACAAAAAGCCUUUGAAGACUUCAAGAAACUUCUCACCACUCCACUGGUCCUAGCUUCACCACAUCUGCAAGAGCCGCUGUUGUUAUACGUGUCGGCAACUUCCCAGGUUGUGAUCACGGUUCUGGUUGUUGAGCGUGAGGAGGAAGGCCAUGUCCAAAAAGUCCAAUGACCGAUUUAUUUCGUCAGCGAAGUUUUGGCCGACUCCAAGACAAGAUAUCCUCAGGUUCAAAAGUUAUUAUAUGGUGUUUUAAUUACCGUCAGGAAAUUAUCUCACUACUUCCAAGGCCACUCAGAUACGGUGGAUACAUCGUUUCCACUCGGGGAUAUACUUCACAAUCGCGAAGCAAAUGGGCGGAUCGCAAAGUGGGCCUUAGAGUUGAUGUCUUUGGAUCUAUCCUUCAAGCUGCGAACUUCGAUCAAGUCCCAAGCUUUAGUAGACUUCGUCGCCAAGUGGACCGAGUGCCAAGAAGACACGCCUGCGGAAAAGACAGAGUAUUGGACUAUGCAUUUUGACGGGUCAAAGAGGCUUUCAGGCAUUGGAGCGGGGGUUGUUCUAAUUUCCCCGACUAGAGAGAGGUUGAGCUACGUGUUGUGGAUACAUUUUUCUGCGUCUCACAACGUGGCGGAAUAUGAGGCGCUUCUUCACGGGCUAAGGAUUACGAUCUCCUUGGGAAUUCGGCGUCUGAUAGUUCAUGGAAACUCUCAGUUGGUUGUUAAUCAUGUCAUGAAAGAGUGGUCCUGCCUUGAUGAUAACAUGACCGCCUAUCUGCAGGAGGUACGCAAGUUAGAAGAUAAAUUCGAUGGCCUUGAGCUACCCCACGUUCUUCAACAUAAUAAUGAGGCAGCCGACCGGCUGGCUAAUUUUGGUUCAAAACGAGAAGCAGCUCCUUCCGACGUGUUCGUUGAACAUCUUUAUGAGCCAACCGUACCAAGGAAAGAAAUAAUCGAGGCCACGGACACUCAAGAAGUAAGCAUGAUUGAAGCCGACUGGAGAGAGCCCCUCAUAAGAUUUUUGACCAAACAAGAACUCCCUCAAGAUAAAGACGAAGCCGAGUGGAUCUCCAGGCACAGCAGACUUUAUGUCGUACAUGAGACCGAGCUGUACAAGAAAAGUCCAUCAGGAAUCCUGUAACGCUGUGUGUCUUUUGAGGAGGGAAGACAAUUGCUAAAGGAUAUGCAUUCAGGCAUCUGUGGCAAUCACGCUGCCGCACGAACCAUAGUUGGCAAGGCUUAUCGACGAGGUUUUUUCUGGCCGACAGCUAUAUCCGACGCCGACAAAAUUGUGCGAACAUGUGAGGGUUGUCAAUUUUUUGCCUGACAGACUCAUCUACCGGCUCAGGAGUUGCAAACCAUCCCGUUAUCUUGGCCAUUCGUGGUUUGCGGGCUCGACAUGGCCGGCCCGUUUAAAAAGGUUGUCGGUGGUUAUACUCAUCUCUUUGUGGCUGUUGACAAGUUUUCCAAGUGGAUCGAAGCCAAACCGGUCAUCACAAUCACGGCAGACAUGGCUAGAGAUUUCUUCAUCAACAUUGUGCACCGGUUUGGGGUACCCAAUCGGAUCAUCACCGAUAAUGGCACUCAAUUCAUUGGUGGAGUAUUUAAAGAUUUUUGUGAGGACUUCGGCAUCAAAAUCUGUUAAGCCUCCGUAGCGCACCCCAUGAGCAAUGGACAAGUCGAACAUGCCAAUGAUAUGGUACUUCAAAGAAUAAAAGCACGAGUUUUUGACCGACUGCAUCCCUCUGCUGGCAAAUGGGUAGAACAGUUGCCAUCUGUCCUUUGGUCCCUGCGCACCACACCCAGUCGGGCUACGGGCCAGUCGCCUUUUUUUCUAGUCUAUGGAGCAGAAGCGAUGUUACCGAGCGAGGUGGAAUUCGAAUCUUUGCGAUUUCGUAACUUCAGCGAGGAGCGCUACGGAGAAGACCGAGUAGAUGAUAUCAACCGACUGGAGGAAGCCCAUGAAGCAGCCUUAAUUCAGUCGGCUCGGUAUUUACAAGGGAUGCGCCGUUAUCACAAUCGCAAUGUUCGAUCGCAAGCUUUCUUAGUCGACGACUUGGUUCUGAGGAAAAUUCAUACUACACGGGACCGGCACAAGUUAUCUCCCUUGUGGGAAGGACCGUUCAUAAUUUCUAAAGUUACUCGGCUAGGUUCUUACCGACUCAAACGUGAGGACGGUACUCAUAUCGACAACUCUUGGAAUAUUGAACAUCUUCGUCGUUUUUAUGCUUGGGUAUUACCUUUUGUAUCUUCCUCUUUGACUGCUAACAUCAAGUUUUUUCCUUGAGUUAUCAGUCGGGGGCUACUAUAAUAAUAUGGAGUGUGAUUUUUAUCAAUUCAAUUUGCUUACUUGAUUUAUCAUUGCCUAUAGCCCGCUUUCUCUACGGUUUUGCUGAACUUGUCAAGCCCGGGGGGCCUUUAGGGAAUUUUGGAGAAUAAUAGAUUCUAGGAUAACACUUUCUAAGGUUGAAAGGGAUGGCAUGGGUUAAGCAUCUGACUUUGGACCUUCGAGCUAAGUUAUUUAAUAAGGUCCUACUAAUUAAUUGGAAAUCCUUUUUACAAAUCUCCUCCUCAGAGCGCCCUGUAACCUUACUUUUUCUGAAUGUUGAUUUUUUGGCUUAGUCAAUGAGGACUGAAUGUUUUUUAACAACUUUUGUGGGUUUUAGGCUCAAUGAGGUUUGACAAAAACUUUUAAGAAAUCAGGAGCUAUGUUUAAAUCAUGAAGCACAAUAUAAAUUCAUCAGUAUUGUACAAAUUGUGCCUCCGUCAUCAUCACCAUUGUUAGAAUACAAUAUCAAUUAGUAUCAGUCUUUUCAUCAUCAGAGUUACUAGAUCCAGUCGGCCAGAGGUCGUUGUCCUGGAAUCUCUCAACAACAUCGGCAGCUAUCUUAUCGGUAGCUUUCUGUGCGUCAUUGAUAAGGUCAAGAGCAGUUUCUUCACUUGUCCCAUCUGCAAAGCCGUCAAUUGCAUCAAUAUCAAUCUUCGGGUACAAGGACUUGGUCAUCGCCAACGCCAGGCCUGCUCGCAUGCUUCCAGCUUCCUUGAUAUUCUUAAAAUAUGUAUCCGGAGCAAUCCUCAGCUUGUCGAAGAUCUUGGCAGUGUCAAAUGAACUCGGACUAUUGUUAUUAAAGAACUUGGAUUGGACGAGUGGUGUAGCGGCGUUGGCGACUUCAUCUCUAGCUCCUUCAAGCCUCUUGAUUUUGCUGACCAAGACGUCGAAUUGAGCCUGGGAUUUUAUUUUAUGAUCUGCACAAGUGAAUUUGCAUCAGCAAGUGAGCAUGGAGAUAAGAGUGAUUUUUUUAAGUUCCAGCUGCAAGUACCUUCGACAUCUUUUAGGGCCGAGUCCCUCUGCUUUGUCAGUUCGCCCUUAUCCUUUUCCAGCGCCUUGAUCCGCUUUUCCUGAUCGGAUAUCUUGGUCGUUUGCACUGUAUUGCAUUUUGUUGGUUAGUUGCACAUGGAUAGCAGCAGGAAACGAGUCAGACAAGGUUGAGAGUCACCUUUUGAUGAACCACUCAGGUCGAAGUUGGAGUCUUGGAGCUCGGCGAUCCGGUCUCUCAGAUCAUGCUCGGUCUUCCUAGCAAGUUCCUUGGCCUCACGAAGCUGGUCUGUGGUGGCUUCAAGGGUUCCAAGGUGGGGAACUAACUUUUCGAGGGUUGCAGUCUUCGCCUCAUUUCUAAGAUGGAUUCUCUGCACCACAAAUUUAUCUUUGUUCAAGUAAAGUGGCUGACAAGAUGAUUGAGGCUGUGUAAACGUAGACUUACAUUUACAAGACGAGUAGCUUGGCCGAGUGUCUUUUUCAGCUGGCAUACUUCCUCGUCUUCUUUCUGCUUAUUUAUUACAAUUCCUUGUGGCCGCAUUUCAUCGUCCCACCACUUGACUAAUAUUGGUGGGCGAGAAUCUUCAGCCGAUCGUAUCCGGAGGACCUCUUCUUCAUCACCAAUCGUUGGCCCUUAUAUAUUCAUGAAUAAUGGUGAAGUAGUUGAAUAAAGGUUGUCGGAUCAAAGCAAAUUUGGAGGACUUAUUUACCUGUGAUAAUUUCCGGUCGGGGACGAGCAGGUCCUUGUACCUUGGCAGGAGAAUUAGUUUAAAGGCCAGCACCAUAGUCCGUUUUGGGAGGGCUGUUGGCUUGAGCUUCCACUUCUGGGAUAUCUCUAUUCUGUUCUGUACCCGACUGGUUUCUAGUCGGGGGCUCCUGAUCAGCACUGGCUUCUGCUUUGGCUAACUGGUUUCCAGUCGGGGGCUCGUUGCUGGUAUCUACAUUGCCGGUUGCCGGUUGAUUAUUACCCGGGCGGUCUUCGGUAGUCGGCCUAGUUUCUACUGAAGGACCAGUCUCUGUGCUAGUCGACGUGGGGUCUUUUCCAGAGGGAUCUAUGUUAGAUGGUUUUCUACAUUUUUGAAGACAUGCUAUCAGUUCUGUUUCAAUAGUGAGUGACUAGCAAAACAGAGGAAAUUGCCAGAGGACACAUACCUGGACGACUUCCUGAUUUUUGGCAUGGGACGACUUGAUGUUUUCUUCUUCAUAUUGGUUUGCUUUGGCUGUUUUCCAGUCACCCCUUUGUUGCCCGUCUUUCCCGCAUCAUCACCUUCGUCGUCACUUGAAAUCAACUUUCUCUUACGAGAAUCUGACUGGUUAGUUGAUCUUGAAGCGUUGGGUUGGACGUCCGACUAAAUCUUCAGCCCUCCACUGGUUUGGCCAGUGUGCCGGCGAGGUGAGAGCCGUUGAGCGAUUGGAGGAUCGGACUUCAUCAAAGUAAAUUCCUGUGCAUGAUAUUCCAAGUUUUCAGUUGACUUUACAGAAGAUAAAAGCAUGCUUUGAGAAAAGCUGAGUUGUAUAAUACAUACCUGUGGAGGAGGGUUGAAGGCAUUGUAUGGCACAACUGGUAAUAAGUGUGAAUAGCUGACCACGAUGGCAUUUGAGAAGAUUUUGUACAUUCUCUCCUGCAUAAUUUUGAACUCAAGAGACUCUGGGUCCUCUCGGUUGGGGUCAUGCUUGCCAUCAAACUCAAAGGCUGUCCUGGAUCUUUCCUUGAUUGGUGCCAGCCGGCUCUUGAUGAAGUGCCGGGUGAUUUGCUCCCCCUGCAGACCCUGUUCUUUCAGCUUCAGCAUCCGAUCCAAGAAGUCGAGCGCUUGGGCGAUCUCUUCUCCCAUAGGCAGUGAGUUCCAGGUAUCGCGAUAUACUAGGGGAAGACAAGUGUAUCCUGAUUUUUGGCAUGGGACGACUUGAUGUUUUCUUCUUCAGAUUGGUUUGCUUUGGCUGUUUUCUAGACGACUUCCUGAUUUUUGGCAUGGGACGACUUGAUGUUUUCUUCUUCAGAUUGGUUUGCUUUGGCUGUUUUCUAGACGACUUCCUGAUUUUUGGCAUGGGACGACUUGAUGUUUUCUUCUUCAGAUUGGUUUGCUUUGGCUGUUUUCCAGUCACCCCUUUGUUGCCCGUCUUUCCCGCAUCAUCACCUUCGUCGUCACUUGAAAUCAACUUUCUCUUACGAGAAUCUGACUGGUUAGUUGAUCUUGAAGCGUUGGGUUGGACGUCCGACUAAAUCUUCAGCCCUCCACUGGUUUGGCCAGUGUGCCGGCGAGGUGAGAGCCGUUGAGCGAUUGGAGGAUCGGACUUCAUCAAAGUAAAUUCCUGUGCAUGAUAUUCCAAGUUUUCAGUCGACUUUACAGAAGAUAAAAGCAUGCUUUGAGAAAAGCUGAGUUGUAUAAUACAUACCGGUGGAGGAGGGUUGAAGGCAUUUUAUGGCACAACUGGUAAUAAGUGUGAAUAGCUGACAACGAUGGCAUUUGAGAAGAUUUUGUACAUUCUCUCCUGCAUAAUUUUGAACUCAAGAGACUCUGGGUCCUCUCGGUUGGGGUCAUGCUUGCCGUCAAACUCAAAGGCUGUCCUAGAUCUUUCCUUGAUUGGUGCCAGCCGGCUCUUGAUGAAGUGCCGGGUGAUUUGCUCCCCCUGCAGACCCUGUUCUUUCAGCUUCAGCAUGCGAUCCAACAAGUCGAGUGCUUGGGCGACCUCUUCUCCCAUAGGCAGUGAGUUCCAGGUAUCGCGAUAUACUAGGGGAAGACAAGAGUAUCCGGGAAGCGCUGGCUCGGGGUUUUGCACAUAAAAUCAGUUCGCGUGCCAACCUUUGUUCGAGGUCUUGAAUGGCAUGGAGAAGUAUUUUUGGCUCAAGGUUCCCCUCAGUUGAAAUCCGGCUCCCCCAACUACGCAUGGUUUGUUUUUGUUUGGCUGGGGCUUAAGGAAGAAGAUGUGGCGGAAUAGAGCGAAAUGCAGCCUAACCCCCAGAAAGGCUUCGCAAGCAUGGAUGAAAUUGGCGAUGUGGACUAUGGAAUUAGGGUUUAGGUGAUGCAAGCUGAACCCAUAGAAAUCCAAAAUUCCCCGGAAGAAACUUGAGGUCGGAAGAGAAAACCCGCUAUAAAAGAAAUAGGAGAAUACCACCACCUCGUGUGUGUCGGGGGUCGGAAACAUUUCACCGCACGCUGGACGCCACCUGAUGAUUUCUUUUGCCGGAAGAACGCCGUGCGCCACCAUCUCCUUCAAGUUCCCCUCUUUUACGUCGGAGGGUGCCCACUGGCUUUCAAAGCUUUGUCUCUCUUCCACCAUGGAUGUGAACUAGAUGGUAUGAUUUGGUCCGGAAUGUGGUUGGGAAUGGAUGGGAGAUUGAUGUGGUGGUUGCAUGGGAAUUUUUUUGGAGUUUUGGAGGACGGAUUGGAGCGAAUCGGUGAACCCUAGCUUCACCGGCGUGGUUUCGCACUGUAGCAGAGAAUGGGGAAAGUGGCGAGAGUUUCGGCGGGGAAGACGAAGCGACGUUUGGCCUUUGGUGUUAUUAGGGUAUCGGAAGCACUAAUGGGCCUGGGCCUAAAACAGUACUUCAGCCCAAUUUUUCUAUCAGCGUGGCUAAGUUGUGAUCCUUAGGGACUUAGGCAUUUUGCUUUGGCAAUACUUGCUCGCACCAGUGUGGCCCAAUGCUACUAAAAUCCUCUUUGACGUAGUUAGAUAAUUCUUUGGAAUUACUACGAUGUAAAUAAAAAGGUGCCCAACGGAAAAGUGUUAUACUAAUUUUGCAAGCUUUUUUAGGAUGCAAAAAGCUGUUAGGGUUUUAUUAAGAUGACUGGUUUUUGAACAGUCAUUCUCUCGGCAUGUUAUAUGCUUAUUUUGAUUAUGGCAUGAGUUAUAGCUUAGGCUAUUUAGACUCUUCAAUUGUCAUGAUUUAUACCAUAUUUGAUGGAUCUUUUUGAGAGUUUUUACUCGGAUUCUUGUCAUAUGUGUUGAUUUAUGGACCUUUAGAGUAUUUUUUACUCGGGCCUCCUUAUAACUCCAUUUUUGGUAUAUUAAAGUUAAAGCAGUCGGCUGGAUGUUUUAUUAAACAUCGCCUAUGCUUAGCUGUAUGAUGUUUUGAAUAAUUCGGUUGUAAAACCACUCGGUUGGAUGUUAUUUGCAACUUGACUAUAUGUUUAGUUUUUAACUAAUCACAUAGUCGGGGGCUACACUAAUUAGGUGCAUCUAGUCAAUGCACCCGAUUUUUUAUUUUCAGCCCUUCACAGUCUUUGAUUUUGGUGCUCGGGAGAUCAAGGCAGAAGGAGUCGAAGUACUCGGAUUAUCGUUUUGGAUUACGAGAGAAGACUAUUUCGUCGACUGUAAAGGUCUCUGUAAAGGUCUCAGGGGUUACUGUGGAGAUUAUGGAUACCCCAUAACUACACGGCAUGUAUAGUCCAACUGGGUAUGGGGUGCCAUGUAUAGAUAGAAUAUCUUUAAAACGACUCGGGUUGAAUUCCAAACUUGUGCGUCAAGAAAAUACCCGGGAUCCUAGUCGGUUACAAUUGUAUCUUAUCUGUAACUACCUAUUCUGUUAGGGAUAUGGACUGUGCUUUGUAAUACGGACCCCUUCCCCUAUAUAAGGAGGGGUCCGGGUGCCUCUAGGGGCACGAUUUUCUUCCAGAUCAUACGAUCAAUAAUAUACUCGGCGGAUCAAUCCCCGGACAGGAGUAGGGUAUUACUUCUUGGUUAAGAAGGCCUGAACCUGUAUAAAAUUCCUUGUGUGUAAACCCAUCCACUUUUCUAGCUUGAUAGCCACCCCCUUUUAGUAUUGCCGAAAUCUUGUUUUGACAAUCCCUUUCCAGACCGAAAAGAAAAACAAGUUGUCGCAAAGAAAAACAAACUGAGAAGGAGGACAAAAGUAGCAGACGAGAGGAGACAGGAAAAGCCACUUGAAAUGAAAUGGAGAAGAAAAAAGAAGAUGGGAGGACAAAGAGAAGAACAUUGGGAAGCCCAAACAGGCUUACAUUGCAAAGGUAAAAGGAGAUAACAACGACGCGACUUAGGAGACAAGAGACACAUAAAUAAAGGAGACUACUAGCCAGGCCUUGAAGAGGCCGGGCGACGAUAAGAGGACACAGCAUAAAAGAAAUGAUACAAUGGGCCAGGCCUAGGAUAGCUGAAAGCACCCGAAGCUACUGUCCACCGGGCCAAUCGGCAAGAAGCGAUUGAGAGGGCAUUGCUCAUGCAUUUGGGUCAGUUUGCUCCUUCUUCCUACUAAAUUCCUUCUCAGCUUCAAGAACCAACUUUUUUUCGUCUAAGCCGCAGAAGUUGGCCAAUUCUUUGAUCUUCUUCUUCGGGGUUGGCUGGGGCGUUGCCAGGAUAGGCAUCUCCACAAUUUCUUCCAGUUUUUUCAGCUUCUUCUUUGGCCUGGACUUACUGCCGUUGUUGCUGCACGAACCUGUUUUGUUUUGAGCUACCACCCGAUCGCUGGCUCUUGCAACAGGAUUUAUCCACUUACCAUUGUAGGUGUCGCGGAUCCUUGCGUUGCGGCGGACGUAUACCGUGAUGUUGAGGUUUGGUAACGUUCCCACCAGCGGCAGCAGCUGGUCAAUGCGUGGGUCAUUUGGCUUGUUCAGGGCAUCAUCGAGCUCCUUCUGUACGUCAUGCGCUUCUUUGGCCUUCCGAUCAUACGAUGCCACCCUCUCAGCUAGUGGAUGCCGAAUCAGGGAGUAGGCGCCUUCAACAUGAGGUGAAGUAGCCAUCGAUUGACUCAUGCCAAAGACAUCAAAGCGGGGAUAUUCUGUGAUUGGGAGAGUAGGCGGCAUGGUGCAGAUAGAUGGGGGGGAAGGGAGGAAGGACAGGAGGGGUUCGAGCUGGAGGAGGUAGAUGGUUUGAGCGAGGAAAACUUGUUUGAUGGCUGGCUGGCUUGUUAGCGGGGCAAGAGCGAGUGGUGUGACAUCAACGGCAAUCGGGCUGACCGGGAUGGAUGCUUUAGUGGAGUAGCGGCAAUCAAUGGAUGGGAGGAGUCCUAGAGUUGGGCCAUCUAAAGGCAUUGGGCUAAAAAGCAAGGCGCAGGAAGAGGUUCUAGCAAGAACGCCAGUGUUCAUCUAGGCUAUUGAUUUGGUUGACAGAAAUCCAGAAGUGGAUAGCAAGACUCAGUCUGACUGUAACCUUGUACGCAGCUUGCUCAAAAAUGAUAGAGGCAUGUGCAGUUGCAACAGGCGGAGCGGGGAGAGCUAAUUUAGGCAACAAGGUGAAAAAGGCAAGGAGAUCACCUAGAUUAGGAUAUGCAUUUCGAGCAACCGCGUGCUGGGCUCGGAGAGCCAUGUUGCCGAAGACUCCAAUAUAGCAUGAUAUGGUUUUGGACGAGGAACCUUGGGAGAAGUUGCUUUCAAGAGCAGGAACUUGCCCUGCAGUCCUUGUCUGGUCACCGAUGUCAUCCGCGGGUGCCCGUGGAGCCCUGUUGGACCUGCUGUGAGCCCGAUGAGAGGGUGGUGGAGGUGGCGGCGGCGGGGCAUCACUGUUAUCCCAGACCUCAUUGAUGAAGAUGUCGGUGAAGAUGCCUGUCUCAUUCACCUUGUGGUAGGCCAAAUGAUGUGGGAUAUGCUUGAGGGCCUCCACCUUGAUCAUGGCGAAGAUGGCUGCGAACUCGUGACCGUGUAAGCACUCGUGGUCUACAUUCACGAGGUUUGCAAAACCCAAAAUGCAGGACGACUACACCCCGCAUGUGCCAAAAUUCCAAACGAAACUUCUCCAAGGUGAGCAGACGAUGUAGCGGUAGAAGAAGGUGAAAGCGUUCUCUCCACGGUUGUGGGGAAAAAGGUGAUCUCCCGCCCUUCCUCCACAAUGGGGCUCAGGCGGAAAUCCCUAGCUUGGUCCUCUUGGUGCAAGAAGAUGGCGAGUAUGUGCCCCACCCCUCCUGCUGCAAAGCGGACCCUAGCUCCGCCCAGGUGAUGGUGGAACACCCUUCUGAGCCAUGGUACGAGGGAGACCAAAGGCGGUUCAAUGGUAAUGGCAGUGACAUCAAGGAUUGCCGGCCAUGGAUUGCCGGCUCCAUGAUGCGAGUUUUGGCGGGGAGGGGAUGAGACAGCGCUGGGCGUCGAAGAGUAUUUGAAAUCGAGCAGAGAGGACAAAGGGAGCGAAAUUGGCCCAUCGACCUGCAUAACUAGCAGAUGAUAGGAUCCCUAUAGGAGACUUUGCGAUGGGAAAAGGAAAGGCAUCUGAAGAAGUGUUUUUCAAGAUUUUUUGGCUUGCCGGGGUAAACUAGGUGACAGUGUUUGUGGUUUGUUGUAGUUAUGGUGGAAGAGGUGGAUAGGAAAGCUUCUUUAUAGGAGUUAUGGUGCUGUUGAAGGGAUCCUAUUGGCUGCGAAUCUAGGGUGGAUUUAUCUUGCCCAUUAGUGCUGGAUUGCAUGCUAACCUUGCUUAGCUUCUCGUGAGCCAUCAUUAGCUUCGAAGGACACUUCGAGAGAAUCUUCUGCUCGGAGGUGCACGAGUCACUAUGCAAGCGUGGCGAACAUCGAGCUGAAAAGCUCUGUCUGUCCUAGGGCUGGAAAGUGAUCAAAAUGCAUUCGAAAGAUAGACUGCCGUGCAGCAGAACUUCAGACACAAUUUCUAAUGAGGCUACUAUGAAGAGAAAGUUUCCCGCUCUGGUUUGUUGAACCUGGAAAGCGUUAGGGUUGGCACCAAACUCGCCGGAGAGGAGGAAGGUGACUCUUUCAAGCGAAAGGAUAACACCCGAUGUCCUAACGAUCGCCAGCAACCGAAUCGGCGAACGCAGGGAGGGGAUGAUGGGGUCACACGUGCCAGAAAAGUAUUUGGAAAGCAUGGCAGAUUCAAAGGAGGUGCCGCGAGACCCGUUCAUUUUUGAACCAAGGACGGUGCUGUUCCUGGAACAGCGAACAAUAAGAGGAUUGGAGGCGAACUAACGAAGAGGAAGAGCUAGGGGGAAGGGGAGAUGCGGAGAGAGCUGGGGAAGAGAAGGAGAAGAAUAGGGAAGGGGAGACCUAACGACUUAGACAGACCGAAACCCUAGCGGACGACGGGAAGAAAAGAGACGAAGAAAAAGAAGAAAAAGAGAAGAAAAGGAAGUAAUGGAAAGAAAAACGGCGACAACUUGCAUUCAAUGCGGAGUAAUGGUGGGGACAAACUUAGAUGAUUGCCGAGGGAAGGCACCCGCUGUUGACUGCUGCCGGCGGCGCCCGUGGUGCUAUUUCCCAUUGUUGCGAAAGCUUUUGCCUUCAACGAUGUCGCCGCCGGUGGUGUUGUUUGGGUGGUUGGUUGGCCGGCGGGGCCUGGUUGGCCCACCGUGAGGUGAAUGGCGGAGCCGGAAUGGCUUCCACCGUUCUUUAUUGCCGGAGCCCGGAGCUUAGCUCAUCCAUCCAGUAUCCCCCCACUCUUUAUGAUUUUCCACUCUUGGCUGUCACUUUGUUGUAACGAGUGUGCUACUGCUACCCAGUGCUACUUGGUUUGCUCACUCAGAAAAGUCGAACUUGCAGCUAACAACAUACUGUGCACUAAACCUUUUCCGGCUGCCACACAGAGUUUAGGAAAUCGUACUUGUUGCUCGACAGGAUCAAAUCAUACUUAUGACAGGAUCAAAUCAUACUUAUUUAGCUAGCUAACUCGUUCUCCAUCUGCUUAUAUAAUAGUGUUGUCUGUUUCCUUUUUAUUCAAAAGUGUUAAUCAUGCUGAGAUAGUUGCUGAUUAGUCCCCGAUACGAUUUGUGUGCAUUGUUUGUGUUGUAAGCCUAUAAGCUAACGGAGAACUUCCUUCAGUGCAGACGCUACUUGCAGCUAAGAAUAUAUUGUGUGGUUCCAUCUGUACUUGCCAAUUAUUUUUUUAGUUGAUACCUUGAGCUAUCGUCCUGUUUACCUUCAGAAUUUGCAUGAUUCAUGCGUUGAAUAUAUAAGCACAUAAUGAUUUAAUUUAUUCCAUAAAUAAAUCAUGACAUUGCAGAUGUAAACUAGUGAUUUAAUUUAUUUCAUAAACAAAUCAUGACAUCGCAGAUGUAAACUAGCGUAAUCGUAUCAUAUGAUCUACGCAUGUAAACUAGAGAGUAAACCAUGCACAGAUCGAAUAUGUGAAACAUGUUGAAUGCAUACCGAAGGUUUUGGAAAACUAGCUUCUCAGCAGGAAGGACUCAUGGUACCAUGCGUUGACGACAACGCACAUCACGCGAGCGAAGAGGAAGACGAGCCAUUGUGGACGAAUAGGAAGCAAUCGCGUAAAGCGCUUCCCAAAAUCCUUAUUGCCGCCUUCUCCCGGUGCAGGACGUCGAAGCCGAAGGUUCCAGAGACCUAUUCUCCCGAUCACCGAUGCACGCUGGCGAGCGGGAUGGAGUAGACUAUGAGCAACAGCAUAAUACAGAGGAGAAGGCAACCCUAUAUUGAUUUCGCGUGUGUUGCGUGGAGGCGGUUACUCGAUUUAUAUAGAGAUAUCAGGACACUUGAUCAGGGGCGCCGACACGAUCUCCACUACGCGCAACCGAACUGGAUAAGUCGCGCGUAACUUAUCCAGAUUUUAUGCUGUUUUCACGCACCAGAUUAUUUGGCAUGUUUCCCAGAAAGAAAACAGAAUUUCCUGUAGCAAAAUAAAACUGCAGAAGGAAACAAAACCGAAUUUCCUGCAACAAAAUAAAACUGCAAAGGAGACCACAUUUGCGUAAGGGUGAGGAACCAAUUUUGACGGACCAUUCUACACGCACGUCGUGCACUCGCUUGGCGAGGCGAGGCGAGCAAGCGUGCGUGUUCCUUUCGUUCUCUCCACCUCAUAUGCCUCAAGUGGCUAGGAGAGCAUCCCCCUUAUAAGGAGGUAUCUCCCUCUUCUAGAAUUUGCAAGGUGAUACUAAACUCCCCAUGCAUACCAUCCUAUAAGAUGGACUUUUGUGAUUUUCCAAAAAAAUAAUCUUCGUAUGGGCUAAGGACCAUCUAUUAAUUCCAACAUCGUGAGUUCACUAAUUAUAUUAAAAAUCAAAUAACUUAAACAGAGGAUUAAAAAAAAAGCAUGAUUGGCUCUGACAAUGGGAUGGUGGGAACAUGUGGCCCAGCAUAUUUGCUCUGAAACCAUAAUGUUAGAUCAUUUAUCUUAGGAUCUACUAAUUCAUUAGCUUAACACAUGAUCAUCUUGAUUUAAAUGUGGAAUUGAAGCCAUAAUUGCUAUAUUUGUUUUGUUCUUCUUCCUAUUUCUUAUGUUGCUUUGAUUACACAGUGUACUGCAUGUAAAGUUUUAAAUCUCCUAUUAGAGCUGCAGCUAUCUCCAGAGGUAGCUGUUUAAAAAGGGAAUCAACAGCGACACCGCAUGGCAAGACAUGCGCUUGAGAGGGAGAAGAGCUGACAACAACGCAGCUCGGUGGUUGGAUAGAACCAGCACCACUAAGAUCAGGGGUCCAAUGAGAUCAGCACCAAGCAUUCCAAUCUAGCAUUAUUUUUGUUGAAAUCAGAUCAAAAUGCAUUCACCCGCAUUGUAAGAAAGCCCAAAAGCAUACAGAGUCUUAUACAAAAUAGAAAAAAAAAGAGGAAACACUACUUUCUAUAGAACACAUAAAUGCCAGCAAAGUCUCAUCCUACAAAGGACACAACAGGUAAAAGCAGAGAAACCAGAGAUAGCACGGCUUCAGCUGGUUCAUUUUCUCCAUCAGCAACUUACACCAUCUUCGCAUAGUGACUUGAUUUUCUUCGCUUAGUAUGAUGCUCCACCUCUGAACAAAGGGCAGAGCUCUGUAAGAAAUUUGGAAACAGAAUUUGGCCAAACAUCAGAAAAAACCCAGUCAUUCCUAGUUAACCAUAACACCCAGCAAACACUAGCAAUAAGCAUCACCCAAACCCUAAUCAAUUUUUCCCUUUCAUCAAGCCCAAGCUCUCUCUAAUUUUGGUAGAGCUAUUUUUAAACCUAAGGUAUAUCUUACUACACACCAAGUGAAGGCUGCUAAAGGACAUUGUCAUGGUUACGGAUAAGGCAUACCUCCUAUCCUACGACUUAUGAAAUAUAUGCGGAUAUAGUAUACCUUCACGUACACGGAUUGUUCCCGUAUACGUUGUAGGAAUCUGUUACAAAUUAUAGAAAAUAUCCCUACGAGUCAAGCAAUUUCCAAAGUCCAGCUCGGAGGGGACAGAGUUUCUGUUAUAUCGUACAAGAUCUGAUGUCAACGAGUUUGACUUGGAGAUCAAGAUGAUCCACGGUAUAAAAGGGAUCCCCAGGGAGGGGUGCAAGGCAUCGAAUCUCAUAGCCAACACACCCACCAUAGUUUACGAAGUCGAAGUACGCGAAGCCAAGUCGCCGGGAGAUCUCGUCGAAUACAUAGACUACGAUCUUGUCGGUAACAUCGAAUUCGUCUACUUCCAUUUUAAUAUGUGGUUUUUCCAUAUCAAUCUUAUAUAAACUAGAGUAGGGUUAUUACCUGAUAAGGGGCCCGAACCAGUAUAAUCCUUGUCUUCUAUUUGCUUGAUGUCAUAUUACGUAGAUCCUCGUUCCAACAUACCCCAAUACCAUAAUCAUCCAGUCCACGAGUAUCUCUCGUCGAUAGUGGUGCGCCAGGUAGGGGGACUUGGUGCUCAAGGUUCUGCCAAUAUGACUUCAAGCCACCCCGACAGCAGUACCAAAACCGGCGUCAAUCAAGGAGCUUCUACCUCGACAUCACUGGUGUGGACUCAAGUCGCAUCUAUUGCCUUUCUAGUCUACACCGUUACGCCAAUCUCGACUGGCCCAAUUACUAUCGGGAAUGAGAACGGCACGGCUACGACUUUGAGAAACGACAUCUCGCCGACAAUUCCUCCCACUUAGAAGAAAUCCUCAAGCGGCCGAAUUCUGUCAUCCGCACAGAAACCGACAAGGAUAUCUACCUAGAAACCCAGGUCUUGGUGUCCUGUCGAUAAGACAUCCAAGCAUACUCUAGAAGAUUACCCGGUGAUUGUUUGUAUUUCUUAGCGACACUACUGGGAAUAUAAUUCCCCGCAAUAGCACUAGAAAUAAUCCUGGUAUAUUAUGGUUACAGAUGUGAUCCGCAAGCACACGGAUGUACCAUUGUAGCAUUUCACCCGGGAGUAUUCCAAGGUAUAGUAUUUAUUUUAUCCCAAGGGAAGAUAUGAUAAGAGAGAACUAUGCUAACAAUUCAUAUUUUACUCUAUUACAUAUACGUCAAAGUCUACGUAGGGGUUAGUUUAGUUCAAAGGGUAGGUUGACACAUAUAAGAAAGAACUAAGAACUACUCUUACUAAAAUAUAGUCUAAGCUAAGUGGAGAAAGAAUAAGAAAAGUAUCAUUCAUGUACUUCUAGUAUACAUACAUCCUUAGUCUAUACUUGCUAUUAUACAGUCAUGUAACCAAUACCCCGUACCCAGUGUCCUCCUGGUGUUUCGAGAAGCCACCCCUGACUGCCGAGUUCCUUACGACAGCCCGUCAUGACCAUACAACCGGGGCUAAAUACGGAGGAAUACCCUUCCCAGGAAUUAACUUAGGACUAUAUACACGCGCGGAGGAAUACCCGUACUGAGCUGUCACCAUCAGCGGCCCACCUCUCAUCCGUAGCAUAUAACCCCAAUUAAUGGUAUCUAAUAAUCUAAGCACUGCGCUUACAUUACUAAAUACUACUCUACAUCCUUGCAACCGACAUAGAGCAACCGAAUAAUCGGACACUAAACCCACACCAAUACACCUAUCUGGAAAGCUAGUUACAUGCCUAUAUUGAUUCAAGUAUAAAGUAAAGUUGGCACUCAAGUAAUAUGAAUGGAAUAAAUUACCAAAGUGUAUAAAGAAGAAUAUUCUAUUAAAUCAAUAAGUCUUGCAAAAGAAGAGAGGAAAGCUGCUAGAGCCAUACCCGAAAUCUCCUAAAGACUUGAGGACUAUGAAGACUAUUCUAUUUUCUACUCCACUAGCACUAGAACUACUAAACAAUACUUGAGAGAGCUCUUGAUCUUCUUCUUGAGGUGUGUGAGGGAAUGAAUGAGAGGAGGGGUAUUUAUAGGUGGAGAGGUGCCUUGGGUGUGUGGAGAUGCUCCAAGCAUCCUAGGAGCAUCUUUGCUCUCCUCAUGACAAGUGGCAUGAUGAAGCAUCCAAGGAGCAUCUUUCUCCCUCCUUGUGACAAGUGUCCACGGCAGUUGCUUCAGGUAGAAACGGUCAUAACCGCCAUUGGAUGUCGAUAACUACCAGCCUGUGGAAUUUCUAGGCCAUCUGGGCUGCUUUUGGUUCGGCCGAACCUAGGGGUUUGGCCGAACCCUGGUCUGGUCCAUUUGGCCCAGAACUUGGUAGUUGUACUCCUCGUUUAUUCCUCAUCCCAUUGGUGUGAAUUAUGGGCUUGUUUGCUAAUGUUAAUUCUGUAUUAUCAGCCCAACUAUCCACAAGUCUACUUCUCGAUAGCGUCUGAUUGAUCGUUCGUCUAUUUUCUAUCGAUUCUCCAUUUAUAUGUUCUUCUCCUGCAUACAUGUUAGUAGCAUAAUAUAUAGUGGAAGUAGAUAUUUUAUUUAGAAUUUAUGCAUUGCAAGCAUAGCUAGUCUUCAUACAUUGGGUAAUAUUGACGGUCGAAACUAGUCGAUAACGACCAUCAACAGUGAUAGAACGCAAAGUCUGCUCCUCAUCGCAGGGGGCUGCUACCAAGAUGAAAUGGUCCCAACACAAGAUAGAGUUCUCAGAGGCGGACCACCCGAAAAUUGCAACCAUACCUGGCAGAUAUUCAAUCGUGGUCGAGCCCACUAUUCGGAACAUCAAGCUAACACGGGUUCUCAUCGACGACGGCAGUUCCAUCAACCUGCUUUUCGCCAGUACCUUAGAUGCCAUAGGGAUACCACGAAGCGAGCUGACACCCACUGAUCAGCCCUUCCAUGGGAUCACUCCAGAAUCAUCAUCCAAGACGUUGGGUAAGAUCACACUACCCGUCACUUUUGGACAAGCCGAUAACUUCCAAACAGAACAGAUCACCUUUGAUGUCAAGGAGUUCGACACUGCAUACAACGCCAUCAUUGGGAGAGGUUCACUCGCGAUGUUCAUGGCAGCAUCUCACUAUACCUAUCAAGUGCUCAAAAUGCCAGGACCAAAAUGGACAAUCACUAUCCAGGGAAACGCCAAGUUGGCGGUGUAGUGCGACAAGCGGAGCCUCAACAUGGUAGAGUAUACUCCCAAUCUGCACGCCACAACUGAGCAACCCAAUAAAGUGAGCAAGCCUAACAAGACGCCAAAACGAGACGAUGCAAUCAAAAUCAUACCAUUGACCAGCUCCAACCCCAACAAUACCGUCAAGAUCGGGGCAGCACUGGACAAAAAAUAGGAACUCGUGCUCAUCACCGUCCUCCGCGAUAAUGCAGACGUGUUCGCUUGGCAACCGUCAGACAUGUCGGGAGUCCCCAGGGAGGUGAUGGAGCACAAACUGAUGGUUCAACCUGACGCCAAGCCAGUUAAGCAAAAACUACAAAGAUUCGCACCCGAUUAAAAACAAGCCAUACGGGAAGAACUGGACAAACAUCUCAAAGUUGGCUUCAUCAGAGAAGUCCUCCAGUAAUCCAGUAAUGCUACGCAAAGCCAACGGAAAGUGGAGGAUGUGUGUAGACUUCACCGACCUUAACAAGGCGUGUCCCAAGGACCACUUCCCUCCCCCUCGAAUAGAUCAACUAGUGGAUUCAACAGCCUGUUGUGAGUCGUUGAGUUUUCUUGAUGCUUACUCCGGCUACCACCAGAUCAACAUGGCAAAAGAGGACGAGGAGAAGAUGGCAUUCAUCACACCCUUCGGUGUAUUCUGCUACGCCAAGAUGCUGUUCGGAUUAAUAAGCAUAGGAAAUACCUAUCAGCGCGGGAUCCAGGAAGCACUUGGUGAUCAACUCGGACGAAACAUCGGGGCCUACGUGGUAGACAUCGUCGUCAAAACCAAGACGGGCGAUUUGCUAAUCGACGACCUAAGGGAAACGUUCGACAACCUCCGACGAUAUCAAAUGAAGCUUAACUCGGAGAAGUGCACAUUCAGAGAACCGUUAGGGAAAUUACUCGGCUUCCUAGUCCCCGGACAAGGAAUCGAGGUCAACCCUGAAAAGAUAAAGGGAAUCGAGAACAUGAAAUUGCCCACAAGACUCAGGGAGGUCCAGCGGUUGACAGGAUGCAUGGCUUCGCUUAGUCGUUUCGUCACAAGGAUGGGAGAACGAGGACAACCUUUUUUCACCCUGCUCAAGAAGCAGGACAAAUUCGAGUGGAGCUAAGAAGCCGAGAACGCGUUCAUCGCACUCAAGCGGUACUUGUCAACCCCCCUGUACUCGUUGCUCCACAAACUAAUGAAGAGUUAUUCCUAUAUAUCGUUGCCACGCCUUAUUCUGUGAGUACGGUUAAUGUCGUUGAGAGGGAAAGAGUACAAUACCCAGUGUACUACGUCAGCGAGGCCCUCCACGACGCAAAAACCAGAUACCCACAGAUCCAAAAACUACUCUACGCUGUGAUUAUGACAUCAAGAAAGCUACACCACUACUUCCAAGCCCACAAGGUCACUGUCAUCUCUUCCUUCCCUUUGGGUUUCUAGCUGAAUAUGCAGACUCAUCGUUGUCUGAAUGUGUGUGAAACUGUGCAUUGCUAGAUCAUUUAUGUGAAGCUUGGUUAUGCCACCAAAAAGGAGUAUUAAAAUGACAACAUCUCACCUAUAGGUGUAGAUUGAAGAUUGUAGCAAUGAAGAUUGUUUUGUUUUUGUUCCCAUACAGCCAGCUGUAGUAAUCUAGGAAUCCUCCUAAUUUGAACUAAGGGUGUGUUCAUUCUUUGGGUGUAAAGUUUUCUCGAGUAUUAAACGUAAACUAAUAACAAAACAAAUUACAUAUUCCGCCUGUAAACUGUGAGACGAAUUUAUUAAGCCUAAUUAAUCCGUCAUUAGCAAAUGUUUACUAUAGCAUCACAUUGUCAAAUCAUGGCAUAAUUAGGCUCAAAAGAUUCGUCUCGCAAUUUACAUGCUAAAUGUGUAAUUGGGUUUUUUCCCACAUUUAAUGCCCCAUGCAUGUGUCCAAACAUUUGUUGUGAUGUUUUUGGCCAAAAAUUUUUGGGAUCUAAACAAGGCCUAAAAAUGUAUAUGCGAUUCAGACCCUGUUUGGAUUAGGGACUAAAGUUUUAGUCCAUGUCACAUUGGAUGUUUGGAGACUAAUUAGAAGUAUUAAACGUAGACUAAUGACAAAACACAUUCCAUAACCCUGGACUAAUUCGCGAGUCGAAUCUAUUGAGCUUAAUUAAUCCAUGAUUAGCACAUGUGAUGCUACAGUAAACAUAUGCUAAUUAUGGAUUAAUUAGGCUUAAAAAAUUUGUCUCACCAAUUUGCUCUCAUUUAUGCAAUUAGUUUUGUAAUUAGUCUAUGUUUAAUACUCCGAAUUGGCGUCCAAACAUCUGAUGUGACAGGGACUAAAGUUUAGCCCCUGGAUGCAAACACCACCUCAGUCAUUGAGUUUUCUGUACCUGCACCUGCUAUUUUCUGGUACCCUAUUCGUUUUUAUUCCUAUGAAGUUGCAUGCAGAAACGGUUAGGAGGACUUCUACCUCGACGAGUGUAGCUUCCUAGGAGGAAAGCUGGAGGAGUACCGGAGCGGUCGGUACACUUUGCUCCGGGUUUGGAGAAACUUCUUCUAUAAAAUAAGCAUUCGUGUCCCUUUUUUAUGUUAUUUAAUUACUUUGUCUAAGUAAGAUAGAUUUCUAUCUUUGCGGGUUCAUUGUUUAGUAUUCGUACUAAGUGCUCUAAUACUAAUACUCUGGAUAAAGAAGGAAGUUCCUGCAUAAGUAUUAGAGUUGUAAUUAAUAACUUAGACGUGGUGUCUAGGUUAGAGAUUACCUUUGUUUGUUGUGUAUCCCACGGAUUUGUUAGAGGUAGGCGACAGGAUGGUGAUAGCCCUGAAUUCUAUCCCAGUAAACCUCCACGUUCGGAUACAUCAUAGAGCUAUAACCGGAACCACGCUGGCAGACCAGCAGGGGUCGAUGCCCGAAGCAACAGAUAGGAAAAUACCUUCAGCUUAGCUCAGAUAAUUAAAACACAUAGAAAGUCCUCUCUAGUCUAGCCUGCUUAACAUCAGUUGUUGUUCUUGGAUAGUCUUACUCUUAGGUACAUUACACACGUUCCCUAAGUUCGAUAUCCUUUUGGGGCCAUCCGAAGGUGAAGUGCUACAGCGGUAUUCCGUGCGCUUGCGGAUUUAUCUGUGGUCGUAAGAAAUACCAACACGCGCCUAGACCUUUUGGGCCGGAAGUGCGCACCGGCAAAGCACGCGCAAAUUAGCAUUUGUGCAGAUUUGUCUUGCGAAUUAGUCCAGGGUUAUGGAAUGUGUUUUGUCAUUAGUCUACGUUUAAUAUUUUUAAUUAGUGUCAAACAUUCGAUGUGACGGACUAAAAUUUUGUCCCUGGAUCCAAACAUUUUUUCAGUCAUCUAGUUUUCUGUACCUGUACCUGCAAUUUUCUGGUACCCUAUUCGUUUUUAUCCCUAUGAAGUUGUAUUCAGAAACGGUUAGGUUGGGCUUACAUCAUUAUUGUCCUGAAAUUGGUAAUUCCAUGUGAAAAUUUAGUUGCACAGUGCUUAUGCAUUGCUGGAUGUAAAGUGUGCUUGUGGUAUCUGGUAGCUCAGUGUCGAAACAAGAUUUUGGCAAUACUAAAAGGGGGUGGCUAUCAAGCUAGAAAAGUGGAUGGGUUUGGAGACAAGGAAUUUUAUACAGAUUCAGGCCUUCUUAUUCAAGAAGUAAUACCCUACUCCUGUCCGGGGAUGAUUCCGCUGAGUGUAUUAUUGAUCGUAUGAUCUGGGAGAAAAUCGUGUCCCAAGAGGGACCCGGACCCCUCCUUAUAUAGGGGAAGGGGUCCGUAUUACAAAAUACAGUCCAUAUCCUUAACGGAAUAUGAGAUUACAGAUAAAAUACAAUCGUAACCGACUAGGAUCCCGGGUAUUUCCUUGACAUACAAGUUCAGAAACUAACCCGAGUCCUCAUAAAGAUAUUCUAUCUAUAUUUGGUACCCUGUACCCAACUAGACUAUAACUGCCGUGUAGAUAUGGGGUAUCCAUAAUCUCCACAGUAGCCCCCGAGACCUUUGCAGUUGACGAAAUAGCCUUCUCAGAACAAAAACAAUAAUCCGAGUGCUUCAAUUCUUCCUGCUCUGGCCUGCCGAGUACUAAAAUCAAAGACUGUGAAGGGCGAAAAUAAAACAUGGUGCAUCGAAUAGAUGCACCUAAUUAGGUGUAGCCCCCGACUAUGUGAUUAGUUAAAAAAAACUAGACAUAUAGUCAAGAACCGAGUGGUUUUACAACCAAACAUCAUAUAGCAAAGCACGUGUGGUAUUCAAUAAAACACCCAACCGACUGCUUCUUAGCUUUAAUAUAUCGAGAAUAAAACUAUGAAAAGGCCCAAGCGAUAAACACUCAAAGGGUCCACAAAUAGACAUAUUUGACAGGAAUCCGAGUAAAAACUCUUAAGACAAUCCACCAAAUAUGAUAAAAAUCAUGGUAAUCAACGAGUCUAAUAGCCUAGGCCAUGACCCUCACCAUAACCAAAAUAAGCAUAUAAUAUGCUAAGGGAAUGACUAUUAGUAAACCAGUCAUCUCAAAUCAACCCAAACAGCUUUUGCAGCCUAAUAAAGCUUACAAAAAUAGUAUAACACCUUUCUGUCGGGCACCUUUUUAUUUGCAUCAUAAUAAUUCCAAAGAAUUAUCUAACCGCGUUAAAAAGGAUUUUAGCAGCAUCAGGUCAGGUCCUGGCACUAUUGGAAAAUGAAGCUCUCUCAGUUCAAACAUAUGAGAUUACUUACCCCGGUUUCUAAGGGCGGAAGAGGAAAGUACCAAGGUGCACUAGGUGAGAAGAACUUUUUUCGCUUUUUUAUCGGAAUUUGACUCAUUUUAGUAUAGAAAAACACCAUUCUAUCCGACCUAGUAGGAAAAGUUACUAUUUUGCAUUCCUUAGGGAAAGUGGCGCGCAGACAGCUGACUCCUUUUCAAUAGAAAGGAAUAGCCAAACCUACCCAGCUGGCUGGUCAAUCUCAGUGAUCUUAUCGGCCGGCAAAGCGGAGACGGACGACCACGGUCCCGACCUUACCAGCACUGUAGGUUUACUAAUCAAUGAAGCCCCUCAACCUACUAUCUUUUCUUACAAAACUCAACCAAGCCUAACCAAACCCCAUGCUCACGACAUGUUCUUGAUAUUGAUUGAGUUGGAGGGAGUCAGAGACUACCACGGAAUCCUUCCAUAGUCACCCCGGUGACCUUCGUCACCAAAGCGUCACGACAGUUUCCAAGACCCCUCAGCAGGCAGCUUAUCAGGAUCUGCGGGAUCAUGAGGAAGGAUCAUUUUUCUUCCGUGAUGUGGUUUCCCACAACCGUGAUUUCCUGGAAGCGCAAAGCGCGAAAAGAACGUGGAUUGAGGUGGAACAGAAUUCGCUGUAGCAUUCAAGACAAUUGUUCCUUCUUCGGUCUCCCCCUCCACCCCCUUCGUUUGUUGUGGGUCGCGCUUCGAAGGGGUCUCCUGUUCUUCCAUCAAAUAUUCUGCUUUUUCCCGGGUACUCGGGUUCAAAUACCCACGGAUUUUUUGUUUGUUUACUGGCUUCAUAUAAUUCUGAAAACACAAGUUUUCUUGAAGCCUCUUGCUCAUAUCUCUCAUCAAAGGGUGCGCAUUCGGAACCACACAUUUUUAUACGAUUUUCUGAAGUGCGAAGUGCUCAGAAUAAUCCAGGUCGCUCGACGUAAGGAGAGGAACGAAAUAUCAAUAGAGGAACGAAAACCGAGUCUGAGACCCUUUGGAAUACACGAGAUAAGCCAUAAAGACGCCCAAUACUUCUUUUCAAAGGAAGAAAUGACAACCUUGAAAAAUGGUUGGAGUGGAAAAGCUGAACCCUCUUCCUCCUUACCACUUGGCUAUACUCCAAACGGUCGGUUCCCGGGGAGAGGGCGAAGGGAGAAGCAGUGGGCCUGUAGCUUUCCCCGAUCCCCCCUCGUCGAGUGGUGCUUGUUUGGGGCCACCUGAAAUCGGGCUUGAAGCUCUCGCCUUACCAACGAGCCAACAGAAAUACUCGACCUGGAGAGGAGACCACUGACCAAUCUCCGUCCAUUUUCCCUUGCCUUUCCUUUACGGGUAUGCCAGUUUUAGGGGACAGAGGACUCGAAAUCCUCUUUAGCUUUGCGCGUUGGUCUCUAAAUCCUAACAGAGUGGUUCGAUUCCACCUCAGAACGAUCAUUUUACUUUCGGAGGGCUUGUCUUUUUUCUUAGACUUAAGGGAGCAAGCUAGAAUCCUGCUUUUCCCAAAGAGAGUGGGAUGCGUCUACCAACUUGUCCUCUCAAUUGAAUGUUACCAACUUGUCCAUUAAUAGCUCCGCUCCGCCGAGCCAAAAGGAAAGAAAAGAACAGAACAGCCAGAGGCGAAGAGUAGAGUAUAGCCAAGGGGCUUUCGUCGUCCUGCUCGCCUUUCCUUUUGACGGCUUGGCUUCCUAUCGCUCCUAUGUAGUGGUCGGCCUUAAAAGUAUCUUUGGAGCGAGUGCACCGGAAAAGAAGGGGAACUGAGUCGAUCUAUUCCAUGGCGAAGCAUCCGAAGCAUAACUGCACACUCACACGAUCUUUGCCUAAACCAGGCUGUGCUUUCUUUUAUUUAGUAAGCUCAGCCGAAGAGCACUGGACCGGCAGCACCUGCAAAAGAAACUUGCAUGCCUUUCGCUGCGCGCCUUUAUUUGCUUUGGAAAUCAAACAAUGCAUUUCUAAGGAUCAUGGCGCCCCGGAACGGAAGCAUUCCAUCCAGCAGUAGCAUCUCCUUCAACCACACGAGGACAAAACUAAUGUUAGCUACAUUCGAGCGUUCACCGCAGCAUAAGAAAGAAGGCGCCCCGGCAGGAAUUCUGUAAGCUUGACUUGCGCGCAGCGUUUGGGAAUCAAAGAUAAAAAAUAACUCUAUGGGACUUACGGAACUAGAAAGAAGGUAGCCCGACGGAUAUCCUAAAGGCUAUCCUCUGGUACCUCGGCCCUACGCUAACGCUAGAUUCCGAGGCUUCGGGAUUCCCUCAACUUUGAGGUUGAGUGAGUCCCUCGUCCCCAAGCACAGCGGCUCUUCGAUCUCUAUCUCUGCAUUGCACUCCGAGUAAAGAUAUACCUCCAUUCCUUUUUAGAAGGGUUCUUCCCUAGUUCCGGGAGGAAAGGAAGAGUGAUUAAAACAAGAAGUACCUGAAAUACUUUGUUUAAUUCUACCACUUCUACUAGGAGUAGCCUUUUUAGUGCUAGCUGAACAUAAAGUAAUGGCUUUUGUGCAACGUCGAAAGGGUACCCUAUCUAUCACAUUGAUCCCCUCAAGAUCAUUUUGAAAUAGACCAUUUAUUCGUAAUUACAUUCCCCGAAGGCCUUGAACAAAUGUCUCAUUUAUGGAUACAUUGGGAGCAAAAUUGGAAAAAUCCGCGAGCCCCUUCUCAUAUUCGGAACUGGUACAGUAAAAGCUCUUGUGGGCUCGCUCCUGCUGCUUGACUCGACCGGACGGGAGAGGUUGUUUAAGAGAGCAAAACAGAAACACAGGAACAAAGAAACUAUGUCCAAACCAACGAGUCCUUUCCUUUGGUUGACUCUAAAGAAUGUAUCAGGAGUUGGGAGUUAGCCAUCUCAUAGGAGUGAUAGCUGGGUUUUUCACGGAGUUUCUUCGUACGAUUGAAAAAAGAGUGCUCUAGGUCGGAGAAAACAAGAAGAAGAUUGUUCACCAGUCUGUCUCCCAACCUCUUUAAAGCAGCUACCUACCGUGAUCUGGUCUGGGGGGUGCGCCACGACGAAACAAGGGAAUGAAAGGUUGCUUUGCGUUGGAUGCUCUUGAACCCCGAUGCCACCUCGACUGCUAAUCCACUUGGUCCAGUCAUCUACUAUUUUCUGCCACUCAAAUCCUGAUGGAUUAUAGAGGAAUGGAGCUAGAGAGGGUGUAGUGAUAACCAAAGCUGACUGUACUAGAAACUUUAGAUCCUGUAUAGGCAACUGGCCUUAGAAUAGUGUCGAGAGGAUCAACCACUGUCAUAGAAAGAGCAGCGACUAACUAAAACCAAGGAACCCGAGGGGUUCGAAACUCGGGGAAAAGAAGGUCACAUAUGGUUGUUGCAGAAGAGCUUGUAUGGGCUCCGAGGCAGUGGUCAAAGAAAUUCGACAAGUUCAUGGUCGAUCGAUACCUUUCCAUCCCUGUUGUGGGGGCAGAUGAGCCUCCCUCUGUUCUUGCAGCUGCCUUAGGAGGCUACGCUUGCUUGCGCUCCACCCCGUAAGCUGACUCUAUUGCCUAGCAGUUAGCGACACUUUUCCAGUAGUACGAAUCGCUACGCUUCGCUUCUUUUUCUUUCUAUAUGAUAAUAUGCACCGUCAGUUGUGAAUAUGUACCCGGGCCCUGUACACACCGCCCGUCACACCGUGGGAAUUGGUUUCGCCCGAAGCAUCGGACCAAUGAUCACCCAUGACUUCUGUGUACCACUAGUGCCACAAAGGCCUUGGCUUGGGUUGGCUUGGCUUGCUCUUAUCCUGUCCUGAUAAGAGAGGGAGGUAAGCGCAUUCAUUUAGUUGAGUUUUCCUCCACUCCACCUUGGAACUCAUGCACAACAAGACAACUAACUACAUUUGCUUUUUCCCCCCAUGAGAUGCGCCAGUGCAUUGGACCGAUGGAUAAUAGAACUGAGCUGGCCAAAAAAUAAAUGGGUUACCUAGCCACAUAAUUACAGACAGGGACCCAACUCUUAGGCCAGUCCGAAGGGCAUUGAUGGAACAAACAAAGGUAGAAGAUCUUGAUUCUCUGCAAUUCGGCUUCAACCCGAUGUGUUUUAUCCAGCCCUCGGCUCCAAAGGAUCGUGCAGUAGAUGUGUCGGGUCGAAGCUUAAUCCUUAAUAGCCAACCGAUGCCUGGCACCACCGCUAAGCAUAAGGGCAAGAAAAAGAUUGGCCUUGCCUGAAUGGAAUGAAUAUUAAGAUAAAUAAAAGAAAGAAAAUAAACCAUUGAGAAAGUUAUUCAUUCUUAUAUUAAUUUCCUAUACUUGACCGAACAACUUCCAAUUCCGUUAUUUCAACUACACCAAAUGAUCUUUCGAAUUGGUCAAGACUCUCCUGUUUAUGGCCCCUUCUAUAUGGUUGUUGUUUCAUUGAAUUUGCUUCAGGCUCGCGAUUCGAAUCCAGUUAUUAGCUAUUUUAAACAAAUCCCGAAACUCUAAACUACCUGUUAUCCAAAAAAAACCUAGAAUUCCUAAUAACAGACCAAAAUCCCCUACACGAUUAGUUACAAAAGCUUUUUGACAAGCACUUGCUGCAAUUGUGGUGGAUGCUUUAGCUAACAUACUGGAAACAGCUAAAUCAAAUGGGGUGAUUCAUGGGCUUGUGCCACACCUAGUGCAUGUUUCCUUACCUGCUCUGAUUCUCCUUGGCCCCUCAGAAACCCAGGAGGCCAGGCAGUGAAACGUUCCGCAGACUGCUCACCCGGCCACACCUCGGAGCCGAUGAAGGCUGGCAAUACAAGCAUCAUCUGUCCAACAGCCUACUUCUCAUCCGUAAACAUCACAGUUCGUUAGUACAAGCGGGAAUGAGAACACCACUAUCUUAGAAGAAAUUAGUAGAACUUAGUUUAGAAUGUACAGAUGUAUGCUAGAUACUCUCACUACGAUUCCAGAUUAGAACCGGAAUAGUUAACCAAUGGAAUAGGUGUAGGCGGUUUGAUCGUUUCCUUUUCUCCGAUCAUAAAUAACCUGAUCUCUUUCUUUGUCUUUCAUCAAAUAAGUACAAGAAUUGCAUAGAUGAGGAUUCGGUAUUGAGAGAUCAACAUCUAUAUCAGGGUACACCCAUCUUUCCAAUCAAUUAAAGAAUCGGUGGGUACUAGACUAGAGCCAGGAAUCGAAAGAGAAAUAAAUCGGGAACUUCAGUACUGCGCUUCUUUAAAACAAACUGCGAAGGAGAUUAAUUAGAUAGACCUUUUUAUUUUUCGUCAUUCGAUCACGAAAACAGGGAUUCUGGAACGGCCAAGAAUCCCAGCUCCGAUAACACAAUUCCGGGAGGAGUCGGUAGUUGGGCACUGGAUCCCUUCGGACCUGGAGAACGUGUGACACUGGGUCGGUUUUGUAAAAUAUAUACACGAACCAUUAUGCCGAGGGGAUCCCUCUGGAUCCAUUUCACAUCGAUAACGCGCCCUCUUCCACCUAUCGGUAGUUUGAGAGAAGUUUCUUUUGAAGUGGAUACCUCAAGACCAAAUAUGGCCCGUAAUAAUCCAGCUUCCGCGAUAUAGGACGAUUCGCUCGCUAUCUGAGGCGUUAAUUUACCUACUAAAAUAUCGCCUGUUUCUACCCAAGCUGCCGAAAGAAAGGGAUGCAGUCUCUCCCUGGGCCAAGGGAGAGGACAGGGAAGAGAACGAAAAAAGGCAAAAGAUAGUGGCCAUGGUGGAUUCGAGGAUCUUACGCGGCAGAGCGAACUCUUCUAUCGUCUUGAACUCGAAGGUUUUUCCAAGGGAUGCCUGUUAAAAAUGCCUCGAAUGGAGCAUUACGAGUGCAUGAUUGAGUUGUUUAGUAAGCAUGGUUGAUUUUUAAUUAAUGGGAGUCGAUACAGAUUGGGUGUAGUGAAGAAUCGAGAUGCCAUGUAGAACAAAGAGGCGCUCGUCUGGGCCUAUUUACAAGCGAACCCGCUCUAUGACGGCUAAGUUACAUGCACACCCCCAUUUUGAAGGCUUAGUUACACGUAUAAUAGUCUGCUUGCUCUCAUGUUUAGCUGUGUACCCAUUUUGGGGCUUUACUCUUUCAUGAUGGAACGAGGAGCUUGAGUUGAUUUGUGCUUAGACUUUACUUUUUCCCCUUUCUGUCCUUUCCUCUAUUUGUUCGAUAGGGUCUUCAUUCUAUUCUAAUUCUAAACCCAUUGUCGUCCACAGUUUCCUUGUCGACGCGAAGGGGCAAGCAGCCCCCAAACAAAGAACUCCUCUGCUCUAUCUCCCGGACAGGUAUGAAAGUCAUAAUUCUUUGGUGUUUCUAGUCAAUGGAAUGAGCGGAGGGAGACACAUCCUUCCAUCCAAAGGUGCCAGAAGAAGCUUGUGAACGCGAUAUCAAGUGAAUACCGCCCAUGGCCAGGAAUAACUGAACAAGGAAGGAUACCCAGAUUUGGAAUAUGGCUAGCAGAAAGCAGCCUCGAAGAUGGUCGAGUGUAAUCACUUCUCUCAGUACGGAAAGGAAUCUGGGCCGAGGCGAACAAGACAAGCCGCUUAGCAAGCGCUUCCUUCUUCAAGUCUUUCGCUAGUGAAGUUUGGGAAAGCUAGUAGGGAACUGCAACCAGAGAGAGUUCUAGUGAGUCCAGACUCUUUCUUUCGUUCAUCAAAGCGAAGCAUGGCUGCAAUCCCAAACUCAUCCUUUAUAGUCAUCAGCCCUUGGCUUUUGUACCCUUCUUUCUAAUCAAUUUAGACCUUAAAUGAAUAGAACUACCCAUUUUUUUUCUAUGCCUUCCUUCGGGAAAGAAGAAGCCUAGCCUAACAUUGAAAUAAAAGUGCCGUAGAGAGAUCAUUUAGUGAUUUGAUCGUCUAAGAUGAAAUCACAUAGUAUACGGCCUAUAAUCUUGCUUCUUUUGCAUUCAACAAGAAAGAGAAUUGGUAGUGUUAGGUUUAGGUUCCGGAAAUGGAAAUGGUAACAGCGAAAUCUAUAUACUAAAAGCGUGGGGUAACUUCGCAUACCACUCCCAAUCAGAGCCCUCGAGCCAGAAAGAGCUUGGGCAUGACCCCCUCGGAGAAGGCGUCACUUUUCGCACCACCACUAUAAUGAAUGGCUCAAACAAAUAGGAGAUGAGAAAGUCGAGUAGCAGCACUGAUGGGAACAUUUUUUGAAACUAGAAUGGUUGAUAGUCAAAUAGGAGACUCGCGUUGUAGGUAAGGCUUUUCAAAAGGAGCGCGGGGGUGGUCCGGGGUCUGUGCCCAUUGCCCCUACCUUUCCCGUGUAUGUCAGGGGCUUUCUCUCGGACUUCUGGCUUCAGACUCAGCUUAAAACCUGAAGAUAUAUAUAAAGUGUUUCGUGAGGUCGGUUUACUUACGAGAAAUACCGGACUAAGGUGAAUAAGAGAGUAUGUUGGUCCUAAGAGAAGUCCCAGCCGUACGCACUAGAAUAACCUUUGAACUCUUUACCUCCUCAGCUGCAUCAAGUGCAGAUUUUUCGCUGAACACCUUCUUUGAAUGCGAAUCCGAGUAAGGUCUAAAGGCAUCAGAUCGAGGAAGGAAAUAGAGAAUGUUUUCAUAGAAGCUUUCUUUUUCAUAGGUCAACUCUGAGAUGAGGUAUGCUGAAACACAGGUUUUUUGAAUUCUGCCUACGCCAAAAGAAUCUAAAAAUAUCCGUUCGAAGAUGACUAAACUCCCAUGUUUUGAAAGAGGGUCCCAUUAUGUAUUAAAAAGAAUUCAAUAAAUUCUCGAAAAUCCACUGGCCCUUCAAUAGAUAUUCAAACUAUUCCUAAGGAAAAAGUAAGUUUACCCACGGAAGGAUGGAGCAAGCUUAUUCCGGAGAUCGCUCAAACUUUCUUGUUCUUGCAGCAUUCUCCACGCUUGUCUCGCUAGGAGGUUAAAUAAUUCAAAUCCUUAAACCCCAUCCCUCCCAUUUCUUGGUUCUGCUGGUUUGCUCAUUCAUUUCGUAACAAAUUCUUUAUAGUUGAUGAAUUGGUAAACAAAUGGGUCUUUCAUAGUCUCAAAUCUUACCAUUUCUUAAUUUCUACUACAGGGCUUCAUUUCGUUGGAAAAUCACAUAUUCAUUUCCUUCGUAUGAACAGAAAAAUAUGAUGACUCAAAGAAGUUCCCUACCAUGAACUUUGUACCGCGUGCAUUACUUAGAACAACUAGGAAAGUAAGAUAAGAUAAGCAAGAAUAAAAAAAUAUUUGUCGGAAUAGCGGAAUAGAAAGUUAAGAAAUGCAAAAAUGCAGAAAAAGAAGUGCCUCUAUUUAGAGAUUUAUCUACUUAGAUGAAAAAAUCAUACUCUAUCUAUAUUAUUAACGAAUAUGUAUCCCAACCCAUCUCGAGGUAUUUGUAUCAAUACCUAUUCGGAAGAUCCUUUUUUCCUGUGCCAGGAACCAGAUUUGAACUGGUGACACGAGGAUUUUCAGUCCUCUGCUCUACCAACUGAUCUAUCCUGACCUUUUCUUGUGCAUCAUCCUAGUAGAGUAUUUGUAUCUAUGUCAAUAUCCAAAAUUUGGAAAUGGGGAGGGGGGCAGUCCUAUGCAUUGUACAAAGAAAGCCUAUUUAAUAAUAUUUAAAUAUCGAGUUAAUAAUCGACAUUCCUUGCCGAUACUAUAAUAAAAAAGAAAUGUAUUCCAUUGAAUUUUAAACCUAUUAAUAAAAAAACAGGAUAAAUACUAGAGUUAGGGAAUAAAAGAGGGUUUGGGGAUAGAGGGACUUGAACCCUCACGACUUAGAAAGUCGACGGAUUUUCCUUUUACUAAAAAUUUCAUUGUUGUCAGUAUUGACAUGUAGAAUGGGAUCUCUAUCAUCAUGUACAUGAAACAUAAAAAACUUAAAAAAAAACUACAACCCGAAAAAACAACCACCUGUCAAUUGGACCAUAGGCAGACCUCUUGAGAUUCGUUAUUCAAUGAAAAAGUACUUUUUUUGAAUAUCAUAUUUAGUACUCUUUCUUUAUAAAGAAACGAUUGGUUCGGAGCUGGGCAUAUUCACUUAAUAGAAAAAGAAAAAGCAUAGAUAAACGUUUAUAACAAAACAAAGGGAAAUAGCCACUUAAGUCAAUAGCCACUUUAGUCAGUCCAUCAGUCUUUCCAUAUUAUAUUUCCAGUCAAGUCAGUCACCACUUCUACAAUCCAGUCUCGGGUAUCAGUUAUCGGAGUGAUCGGGGUGAUGGUGAUAGUUGUUACGAUCCGUAACUGGUGAUGAACCGCAAAGGUUUUUGGUUAGUUGACCCUGUUAACCGUAAAGAAAAGGAGAAAGAUAAGUGGACUGGGCAAUAAAUGACUAUGUCCAUAUUGUAAUAACCCGAGUAAGUAUCUGAGUAAGACCAAUAAGGAAAGUACACGGAGAUGUAUUAAAGUUAAAUCCGCUUUAUUGGGACAACUCGGAUGGAUUGGAUUGGAUAUAGUAGCAGGCUGAAUCCUUGGAGCAUAUAAGGAUAGGCUAAUAAAGUGGAACUGGGAUUUUUUGAUAGAAUCUACCCAAUGAGCCAAAAAGUGGUUGAUCCACUUCAUUCGCCAAGCGAAUGAUCUUCGCUUCGCGGGAACAACAAAAACCACCAUCUUGCUCUUUCCUUUCUUCGGUGCUACCUUUUUUUUUCCAACGCGCAAUCAAUAACUACCCUGCUUAGGUAUGAGCUUCCAAGUCCCAAAUCCUUUUGUCUCAAGUCUGGAAUAACUAAGCAGAAAUUUUGAAAUGAGCACAAAAUGUCUAUAAAUGAAUUUUCUCAUUAUUUGUUAUUUCCGAGUCUUUUCGUUGCAUUCACUUACAACAAGAAACAUUUGCGUUAAAUUGGACAAGGAAGGGGUAGGGGAAUACUAAAUUUCUUAAGAUGGUUUGUAGGUUUCUCAUAGCAAAUAGAGAUACCGAGGCCCCCCAACCUACUAGUUGUUGGUGGGGGAAAGAAGAGUGGGUAUGUGGGCUUCUUUCGCUUUUUGUUUUUGUGUUGGUGACGACAGGGGGGAGAGCAGAGCGGUUUGGUAAGGCCAUCAGCCUAUUGAUCAUGUUGGGAAAGAAAAUGCACACACAGUUGCUUAUUAGUCGCGCGUUCCCUGUACAGACCAAUCAGGAAGAGAGUCUUGUUGUCAAUGAAAGCAAUGAGACUAUGUCACAUAUCUGCCUAUCUCGUGUUGUGAGCUAAAAAGUACCCACCAGGGGGUGGACCAAGAAAGAGGCAGGCGAUUGGGUCCUUCCCAUCCUCUGUGAUGUCAGUCUCUUUGUCAUUUUUUCACCCUUGCUGAGUAGCGAGUACAUGAAUAAGGAAACGCAAAAGACACAGAGUAGGGGUAGUCAGAAGCGUCAAUGCAGACGCCAAUGGGUAAUCAAAUCCAUUCCACUUCUUCAGAUAGCAGUCGAUCUUGGAUCGUCCUCGCUUCCAAACUCCGUAAAUGAAUGAAACUCCUUCCCCGGUCCAUUGCUCGGGUGUGAUACAAAUACUUCUUUGAAGUUGUAGGAUGUGGGAGGCGAGAGCUUCAAGCCCGAUUUUAGGUGGCCCCAAACAAGCACCACUCGACGAGGGGGGAGCGGGGAAAGCUACAGGCCCAAAACCUUCGACCCUUCUUUCUAUAUGGGGGUGCCCGGGGCACCUCAUCUUGUCAUUUUGUUGCUCAUUCCCCUUAGGCCGAAGUGUUUGGCCUUUACUUCGGAGCGCUUUCAAGCCUUAUCAGAGAGGGGCUCGGGGCUGGAAGAGAAGAACCUUGAUACUAAACCAAGUUUCGAUAACUUCUUCAGCUUUCGUGGGAAAGUGGUAGUUUUUUCAUUUUGCUUGUAAAUCGGCUCUUUUUGGCAUCCCAGUUCUGAACUUUUUCAUCUCGCCUAGUCUUGAAGGCAUGGAGUUGAAUAUUGUUUUCAGGUUUCAACUCAACGCUAAGACGUGGAAACGUCACCCAUCAUGAGUACAUCCAAGUGGGAAAGUCGGUCUUAAUCAAAUUUAUCUCUUUGAGGAUAUUGGCUAUAUAAUUUGAAGAAGGAAAAGCUCAUAAUCAGCUGAGAUAUCUACAGGCUGCGAUUCACAUAUAGCCCCACUAAUGUAAGACAACACAAGCGAGUCUAGCCUGAGAUAUAAAAUCACACUAGCCAAUAAAAAAAGUAGCCAAACAAAGCCAGGUAGUUUUCUUACCAACGGUAGAUAGGAACCGAACUGUCUCACGACGUUCUAAACCCAACUCACGUACCACUUUCAUCGUCGAACAACCAAACCCUUGGGACCUUCUUCAACCCCAGGAUGUGAUGAGUCGACAUCGAGGUGCCAAACGACUCCGUCGAUAAGAGCUCUUGGGAGUCAUCAGCCUAUUAUCCCCGGCAUACCUUUGAUCCGUUGAGCGAGAGCCAUUCCACACGGGACUCCCGGAUCACUAUGGCCGACUUUCGUCUUUGUUCGACCAGUCGGUCUCACAGUUAGGCAGGCUUCUUCCCGGAAUAUGUCGAAGUCAAACCAUGAUCACUCCUCGAAAAAAGUGCUAGUUUUUUACCUCCCUAUUGAAAGUCAAGUUAGGUAAGUAGCAAAUGCGCCGCCUGUUAGGUAAGUAAGAUUUCGCCAACAAUGCUUUAGCCAACAAUGGUAAAUCCUGGUACAAGUUCUUAUCUUUACUCGGUGAGGGGGUUCCUAUUGUAAUGCAUGACUACUUAACCGGGGGAUUCACCGCAAAUACUAGUUUGGCUCAUUAUUGCCGCGACAACGGCCUACUUCUUCACAUUCACCAAGCAAUGCAUGCAGUUAUUGAUAGACAGAAAAAUCAUGGUAUGCAUUUCCGUGUAUUAGCUAAAGCAUUGCGUGUGCAAACUCAUCUACUUGUAAAUUCAUUGUGCAAAAUAACUCCAGGAUACCAUUACCUCUCGACGGUGCAUAUUAUCAUAUAGAAAGAAAAAGAAGCGAAGCGUAGCGAUUCGUACUACCGGAAAAGUGUCGCUAACCGCUAGGCAAUAGAGUCAGCUUACGGGGUGGAGCACAAGCAAGCAUAGCGAAUCACAUAGAGUUGCCCCUACCUGCCAGCGCGCAGAUAGAUAGGGCGGGCGAGCGCAGGGAUGGAUGUCUGAGCGGUUGAAAGAGUCGGUCUUGAAAACCGAAGUAUUGAUAGGAAUACCGGGGGUUCGAAUGCCCGAUCCAGCAAUAUCGCGUGAGUGAAGAAGGGCAAUGCCGCUUGUAAAGCUCUUUUGUCGAGUGCGCGAUCAUGACAGGACUCGAGGAAGAAGCCCCGGCUAACUCCGUGCCAACAGCCGCGGUAAGACCGGGGGGGGGGGGGGCAAGUGUUCUUCGGAAUGACUAGGCGUAAAGGGCACGUAGGCGGUGAAUCGGGUUGAAAGUGAAAGUCGCCAAAAAGUGGCGGAAUGCUGGCGGCAUAGGAACCACGGGAACCUAGGAGGGAGAAAGACGAUGUACGGUAUAUGGGAUCCUCGUAGUAGGCUGGACCAAAAUCCAGCCAAGAGAGGGCAGCCUUUAGAAGCAACAGGUGGGGAAACCAAGAGAAGGCUUCGCCUUUUCUUAUCUUCUUCCCGGCACAAAAAGAGGGAUUAGUAUUAUUGACCCCAUGAGAAAGCACUAACACCUUCCUCGUUGGGGCUCCGCGCACUGGGUCCGCGACAGGAAACUACAGGUCCUUAUGAUGAGUGAGUGGGGGUUGCUCAAUUGACUACACUAUUGGUGCACUCUAUGCUAUCUCCUUUAUGAGUUUCUUCCUUUCUGAAAGUCACAUUGCCUUGUAUAUUCAGAACAGUAAUGAAAUGUCUCUGAAUCUGGUAUCCAAACAUUGUAAGUCGUACCCGGUUAUAUGUAUCACCCAACAACACGUCAAGGAUGGUAUCUAUGAGUUGAUGAACCCUCAUGGGUGGUCUUACCAGAGAUAGGAAUUUAUCCAUUAUUCGAUGAUCCAACGCGCUAAGGGAAUUCAUGUUCUCCGUAUUUACCAUUACCCAGGAUUCUUCCGGAUCUAGCCCUGGAAAUUACGCUCUCAAGGAAGUGAGCCACUCAAUCUGAGCCAGCGGAUUCUCAUUCAGCUGUGCCGGUGCGCAAAGCAAGCACGCUUAGACAACAAUGUCCAAUCUUUGGUCUGCCCAUUAAGGGCUGACUCCGCUAGGCAAGAGGACUACUACUGGGAUUCCCGAUUGUCCCAGUAGUAGACGAGUGCUUAAUCGCAGAAAGGUCAGGUUGAGGUCGGUCCUUACAUUCACGGAAGUAAUGGUAAGGAAAAUUCCUUACUUUUCCAUUUCUUUGGAAAGCUCCUACUAAGAUUAGAAAUUCCCCAAUAAAGCUGCUAGUGGUGCGCACACACAAAUGCUAGGCGAGAUACGUAGUUCUCUCAACCCUUCCUAUCCAUCAUUACAGACCGGAACUAGAUCGGAUUAGGUAGAGCAAGACCUUGAGCCUCUUGAGAAACCAAUAGAAACGACAGUAGCUAGCUUCACCAGAAGAUGAAGAAAGACUUCUAUAACUUCACUUCCCUAUUGAGUAGAAUGCAUGGCAAGUUUCCACUGCUUUAGGCUACUCUACUAAGACUUAGAACAUACCCUUCAAAUCAAAAAGCAAAAAUCAAGAAAAGUUCGUCGUCUGUGAUUUAAUCAGCCCUAAGGGAGUUUACUCGACCCAUUCUCCAGUCUCCCGCACUGCUCAAGUGUGCGACUCCGUAUGAGGACCUCACCCUAUCCCUCGCUCUGCCCAGCCAGGGCAUAGAUCACUCUCUGUUUACUCCUACUUCUGUGAAGAACAGAGGCAUCCAAAAAGAGACGAGAAGAAGCCCGCGCCUUUGCCUGCUUCCUUAGCUACGUCAGCUUUGCCUGCUUCCUUAGCUACGUCAGAAGGUAGGGCCUGAUUGACAGACGGCUCCGAAGAAGAUUUGAAGUUGUCCAUAAUUUACUGAGUACUCAGUAUAACUCACGCAUUCGUGUACAAACAAGUGCAGACGAAGUAACACGAAUAUCUCCGGUAGUCAGUCCAUUUCCAUCAGCCGGCCGGUGGGAGCGAGAAGUAUGGGAUAUGUCUGGUGUUUCUUCCAUCAAUCAUCCGGAUUUACGCCGUAUAUCAACAGAUUAUGGUUUCGAGGGUCAUCCAUUACGAAAAGACUUUUCUCUGAGUGGAUAUGUGGAAGUACAAAAAUUUUACUUCAAUUUUUCUAUAAAAUUGAAAAAAGUUUCCGAUUCACCAAACUAAUUCUUAUCUAUUUCUGAAGGAAUAAAAAAAUACUAGAAUUCUUAAUUUUUCAAAAAUUUUCUCAUUGAAACAAUCAAAAAAUAAGAAUAGGUUUUGUUAGUUAAAGUCAAAAAGUUAAUGAAAUAACUUCGUUACCUAGUUAUUACCUAAAGAAGGACUUUUAUUAAAAUACAAAAAAAAGAUUGAAUCAUUUUACUUUAAUAUUUUUUUGUAUUAAAAUGAAGCAGCUCCCUGACAUUACCAACGACUGGAACCUGCUUGCUUGAUACAAAGCUGUGGUAGUUUUUCCCAUGGAUUUCCUGUAAACAUCUGAACAACUUAGUAUCUUCUACCUGUAUUGCAGACGGAAAAUAUGGUCCGGCCGGCCGGAUCCCCCUGAAAACCGUACGUGCGGGUCUCCCCGCAUGAAAGCCGAGCUAUUAAUUGAAUCAUGCUUUUGAUUGAACGACAAAACAUCGAUCUGUUAAAGUCGAUAAUUCUGAUUCGUCUUCGGGGUAUGCCGUAAAGAUAGCCGAGACCGAGGAUAGGUGCCAAUCUGUUUUACGGGCUUCUAUAGAGGUACGGGAAACGGUUGGGGGCAAUAAAGUAGGUGAAGUGGUUGGAUUUUGUGAGCUGUUCCAACCACUGCUGGAUGUGAUUCCAAGAGCCGAACCAGAAUGAAUACCACACAGAAGAGUCAACCCACCCAUAGCCGGUCUAACUGCAGAGAGAGAAAAGUGCUUUUCUUUCCCUAAGAGUCCUCAAGUACACACAGCUAUUGCUGAUCCUUUGCGAGAUCAGGAUGAGACCCUUCAGAAUUUAUAAUCAUCAUAAAUAUGAUCUAUCAAAUGAGGAAAAUCCAAGCGAAAAAGCGCCCUAUGCUAUCUUAUCCAAAAGAGGUCGACCCUCCAGCUCUAGAUCCUUAAAACAGUGGAUUUGCAUAUUGGUACCAUUGCUUCAUAGAAAGGGCAUUAACAUACGUUUUUGAUCGAUGGAGUGUAUUUAACAUAUUUAAGAGUGGUUAGGAGAGAGAAUCAAUGUUUAAUAGUAGGCCCGGUUCACCAGGUUAUACCACUGUUCGCCCCAAUUAUAGUCAAAAUAUGAGUUUGAUCCUGGCUCAGAAGGAACGCGUACUUUGAGUUUUGAACAAUAGUUAGAAUUUCUUAUUAAGUGAUUCCCCGGUUUUUGAUCUUCUUUUAGCACAUACAUGCAUACAGUAGGCCAUGAAUUCCUAUUUGUGACAUCUAACUUAGUACCAUCAAACUUUGCAUGACCGAAUAAUUCAAGGAGGGGCGCACAGCGGGGAGGGUCCUUUUUAGUAGAUGACUCGUCGGGCCGUCAUUUUCUAUCAGGAAGGCUAUGUCAUUUACAACCCCGGCGUAUUUCGGAUGCUUGAAGGCCCCGCUCACCCGAAGUGAUUUAGAAAAAUUCUUCUUUCUCGAUGGUGAUCGGUCAUGGUAUCCAUAACGUUGCAUCUUUUUCGGCCAAAUCCUGAUUUCGUUUUGCUUCUCCUGGUCGAUCGACUCGACUCUUUUCCCUGCCCCCCGGCCUCUUACUUCGUUUCGUUCUUCCUCUGUACACUCGCUUGAAUGAAGACACCCGAUCGGCCCGACUUUCCCAAAUGCCCACCACCGGCCCUUAUCCUUUCCGGGUCUUGAUUUGUCGCGUCAUUUUAGUCGUAGUGGUCAAUAAUUGGAAAUCCUUUUUACAAAUCUCCUCCUCAGAGCGCCCUGUAACCUUACUUUUUCUGAAUGGUACACCUUAUUUAAGACAUUCAGAAUAGAAGAAGAGCAGUCAUCGAUUGAUUGAAAGUGGAUUGACGGCAUUCAUCAGUUGAUUGAAAAUGGACUUUUCUUUUAUGAUCGAGCGAGGUCCCUUUUGGGCUUAAAAGUCCUUUGAGCCGUGGAAUCCCUUUUGUCUUGAUUUAGGAGAAUAGGCGCAUUGAUUAGGUUACGUGGUUUGAGCAAUCUGCAGGAAGUUUAUUUUUUUCUUUAUUAUAUAUACCAUUCAUAUUUAUUAUUCUAUAUACCAUUCAUAUUAAAGUAAGACGGAUAGGGCAUAUUUGACUAGGAAGCAAGCAAAGCUAGUCCCUCCAUACCAGCUAGCAGUCUUGCCUCGAGAAAGGAGCUCGCAACAAAACGAGAGCUUUUUGAUAGCCCGUUCACUCGAUUACCACGCUUAGUAAGUCUGUCUGCAGGGAUGGGAAUGGCGUAGUCUGUCUGAAAGUGCUCUAGACAUAGGUUCAUCCCGAGCACCACAUAGUUUCCAGAUGCAAGCUGGCGGGGAAGAGUUUAUGGUUCUGAGAGGACAUACCGUUGCAAACUCAUCUGCUUGUAAAUUCAUUGUGUAAAAUAACUCGUAAAUUCAUUGUGCCAGAAUUGAUCACUGAUCAGAGCUUGAAACUCUUCACUCUGUUGUUGCAUCCGUUCGGCUAGAUCUGUUUGGAUCUUAUCCAUGGAUUCUCUCAUAGCUCUAAUUUGCUCCUCAAGUUGUCUAGAUCGGUGUCACGUCCCAAAUCGACUCUAAAAUACAUCCUCGAAAUUGUGCAAAGAAUAAUUAAAAUUCAUGUGAAAGCCUCCAACAAUUAAAAUGUGCAAAGAUAAAAGUCAAAUGAGGCUUGGAGGAUUUUUGUAUAUUUCCUAGAAGCCUAAAAUGCGUAAAUAAAUUUUAGUGGAAUUUUCAGAGCACAAAUAAUAAUUGAGAAGAAAUAAACAAAGUUGAAAAGGUUUAUAAAAAGAAAAACCCUAAAAGAAGUCCUCUUUCUCCCCCCCUUCCUUUCUUGGGCCGGCUCGGCCCACUUCUCUUCCCUCUCUCUCUCCUUUCCCCCGCGGCCCAUCGGCUCCUCCCAGCGCGCGCGCCGCUGACAGGCGGGCCCGCCCGCCACCCUCGCUGACGGGUGGGACCCACCUGUCAUCGCCUUCCUCCCGCCGCGUCCGCCGCUCGCCCGUGCCCUAGCGCCGCCGCCGCCGCGGAUUCCGCCGCAUCCCGCCGUCCCCGCGCACCAUAAAGAGGGGGGAAAUAUUCCCCGCGAUUCCCUCUCCCGUUUCCCCCGUUUUCCUCUCUCUCUCUCCCUCGGAUUCGUCCCGAUUCAUGCCCGCAAAGUUCGCCGGCGCAAUCAAUGGCGGCCGAGAUCUCCGCGCCGGUUUCCAUCUCCUCCGGCCGCUCUCUCCUCCUCUCGGCCCUAUUUAAACGUCUCCCGUGCCUCUCUCCUCCGUUUCCGCCGUUCGCCGCUCGCUCUCACCGUCGCAUUCGUGCUCGCGCCGUCUUCCUCUCUCUCCGCCGUCGCCGACAAGCUCCGGUUCGCCGCCGCCGUCGCUCCGGACUUCCUCCCCACUCGGCGUCACCUCCAUCGGCUUCGCCGCGUUCCCGUCGACCUCGUCCGCGCCUCCGUUUCGCUCGCCGACCGCCGGAGCACCGUCGUCCUCGUCGUCCCGAACCGCGCCGCCGCCUUCCUCCGCUUCGGCCGCCGUUCCCGUCGUCGCCGUCGACCGGGGUGAGCCGAAGACCGCUCCAUUCGCUUCCCCCUUCCCUCCUCUCUCUCGGGUGCCGCUCCGCCGCGCCGGUGGUCGCCGGCGGUGACCAUCGGGGCGCGGGCGCGUCCCCCUCCCGUCGGCCGUGCCGGCGAGGCCGCCUUCGGGCGUGCCCUCGCGGCUGCCAAGUGGGCCCGGCCGUCAGCCGCCCGCGCCCGCGGGUGCGGCUGACGCGUGGGACCCACGGCACCGGCCGCCGUCAGCCGUGUGCGCCCGGUCCACCAUGGACCGAGAGGCUGACGCGUGGGCCCCACUCCCGUGGACCCGGUCCGCGCGCCCUCUCCCGGCUGACGCAAUAAAUGAGAUUUUUAAUUAAAAUUUAAAUGAAGAAAUCCGCAAAUAUCCAUUAAAGAGCAUAUAAACUUCAAAUGGCCAUAUCUUGGCCAUUUGAACUCGGAAUUGGACCGUUCAAGUCUCUAAUUUUUCCUUAAGAAGUCAAGAACCCAUUUUUGUGCUUUGUUUCUGCUGUUAUGUGGAGUUUAUUAGAGUAAAAGCCUUUUUCUUUUCCGUUGGUCGUGUAGACGCUGCAGCUUCGGAAGAUCCGCUCUUCGUGGAAGUCGAAGCCGUCGGUUGGGAAAGCGAGCAAGGCAAGUCACAUCAUCUUUGAACAUAUUGAAUCCCAGUUUGUAAAAUUAUGUUGAUUUAAAUUAUUGCAUUAUCGCUUUAUUUAAAUUCCCGCGUUAUCACUGUUUUAUUUAGCCAUGCCUAUUUACCUUUGUUAUGACCUUAUUAUUGCUAUUGUUAUUAUUAUUCCCUUGUUCACCCUAGAGCAAACAAAACCUCAACUAGUGGACACUCUACUCAUGGCACCACUAGUUUAAUUUUAGGUAGAUGCUUCGCAAUUUAAUUAGGUAACAUUAGGCGGUUUUACAACUCUAGACUUUGGGAUAUUCUCAUAUCAUUUGGACACUAUGGAAUUGUUGGUUUAUGUUGGAAUUGGACACACACCUCUCUUCCUCUUUCAAAACCCCUAAAACCUGUUUUCGGUGGGGUUUGGGUGCAUGUCAGUUGUGGGAAGUAGCACCCCGGCCACUAUAAGGAUUAAGCUCGGGCCUCUGUUGCAAAGCACUACCGUACUUCCACAUGUCUAGUGGGUAAGGCUUAGUUUGUGGCUCAGGCUAGUCAUAAACAAAAGUACACGGAUUGGAGAUGGAUGAAGUCGGGGGUCGAUGGACAUUCUCCAGGGCAAAUGAAGGCUACACGAGCUGCGGCCCGGUAGUCGAGAUGUCAUACGGCAGAGGGUUGGUGCCCUGCUGCUAGGGGCUCAGUCCUGCCUGCCUGUCCCGGGGGUUCCGGCCGUAGGCGGGAUUGGGUCGGUACUCUUGUCUAUGGCUAGGAUGGGUUGGAAACUAUGUCACGUCUUCCGUCUGUAUACCGUGGUGGUAUGUGGCACGUGGUUACACGUGAGGAAGAUGUGUCUUGUGGGUAAAGAUGUACACCUCUGAUCAGAGUAAAACCUAUUCGAAUAGCCGCGCCCUCGGUUAUGGGCAAGCCGAGCAAUGUACCCAAGUCAGUGUUAUAAUUCUUAAAAUUUGCUCAACAACUAAAAUGUGGAAUGGUUGGCCUGGGUUGGCUUGGGACGAGCUGGGACCCAGGGUCGGGUUGCCAGUUCGGUCUGAAUCAUCGUAGGCCUUGGGUUAAGGCAGGUUCGUGUGGGUUCACGGCCUUGAUUAAUAAUACUGUUUAGUUCUAGGAUCGUGUUUACAAAAUAGCUUUGAGCAACUAAAUGUCUUUAAAUGCUGUUUACUGCAACCCUAACCCUUUAUAUUAUAAUUCCCUUGUACUCCCUUGCAUUUAUUCUGCAUUUGUGGGUGUGUCUUGUUGAGUACGGUGGUUGUACUCAGUCUUGCUCAAUUUUUCCCAAGCCCAGAAGAGGAGCUCCUUGAAGAUGAAGGCUUUGGUGUCUAGCUCGUGCCUGCCGUCAAGCGCCUGUGGUCGUCGCCCUAGUCUUCCGCUGUUUUUCGUUUGUCUCUGUGUGUGCUGGGCCUUCGCUACCCAUGUAAUAAGUUAACUAUUUACGCUUCCGCUUGUUAAACUCUGAUUUGUAUCAACUUUUGGUGUACCUUGCCUCCUGGGACAAGGAUUAAUGCACGCACGUCAGGAAAGCCCGUUGGGUUAUUUCCGGUCGUGACAAGUUGGUAUCAGAGCCACCCUUGACCCUAGGACGAGCCGUAGAUCCCAAGCCUUAGCAAUAUUUUCCAAAAAUAAAAAUCCUUUGUUAUUUGUGAAAACUGUCUAGUCUCUCUCUGUCUUGCUGCUUCAUUUAUCGCCAAAAAUCUGACCUUUGAAAAUGUUGCUUUUCUUUUCUUUGUUUUUAGAUGGCCGGCAGCGUCACCCGUCGUGGUUUGGACAUGACUGGCUUCGUCUUGGAGCUGCGCGGCAUGUGCGUUGUCUUAGGGUAUCCACAUGGAGUGGACUACCAGGCCAGGCCGCUUCCGGAGCAGGAGGGUGAUGAUGCGGAGCCCCGCGCUGGUUGGGAGGUCACUGCAGUGAUCCUCGCUGGCUCUUCUGAGCGGACUUCGCUGACAGUCACCGCGGGUGGCGACUCCUUCCCCGCCGCUUGCCAGAACGCCGCUCUCCUCGCCAUCGGCACUCUUCACCAGCGCUACCCGGACGAGUUGCAGCACUCGUCCUACCGCUACCACCCUCGUCGCGGAGGAGCCCGCGACUACGCCACCUUCCGGGAUGCUAGCUCGGAGGAUGACGCUACCGUCGUGCAUCUGGCACGCAUGGUGGAGGCAUACGACGCGGCUCGUAUCGACUUCCAUCAGAUGGUGCGUCGUGGGAUGGUCGAGAACAACCUGAAGAUCCUGGAGCUGCGUCAAGAGAAUCUGCAGCUCAAGAAGGACCUCGACGCAGUGGAGGCGCAGCUGCAUCAGCUCAAGAUCGCCCAGGGAGAGGUCUGCCGCCCCAAGCGUCGCCGCGUCUGCCGCAGCCAGAAGAUCACCGCCCGCAAGAGCACCUCCAGGCCCGAGCUUGUCCGUCAGUCCCUGGCAUGGACCUGCUUCGUCGAGACCCCUUGUGCCGAGCCUGCGCCCGUGGUUCCCCAGGAGGGGGAAGCCUCCGGCGUUGGUAGCACGGAGGAUGUGCUGUUGCUCACCUUCCGUCCUGGCCCGUCGCAGCAGUAGACGAGCAGUUAGUAGGCUUGCGCGUGUGUUCUUUCUCGUUUGUCUUUUUGGAGUCGUGUGGGGCAUGGUUAUGCCGGUGUGUGGCAUAACUAUGUCGGAGCCUGUCUUUAUUUGUUUGCCUAAGCAACUUGAACUUUAAUGAACCAAUUUAAUAGCAGUGAUAAAUUUAAGAAUAAUGGUAGUCGUGGGUGGUUAGUUUUAAUUGUUAGCUCUUUCCCUGUUUGCUGGUUCUGUGUGGGGUUUCCAGAUGGUGACGACCAGGAGAAACGCUGUUACCGGUGAUGGCAACCAACCUGAAGGCAGCAACCACAACCACCAGGGCAACCCACCUCCACCUCCACCUCCUCCUCCACCACCACCACCAGACACCAACGCCAUUCUCACCCAAAUCCUCGCCCAGCAAGCCAACAUGAUGAAUGCUUUCCUCCACCACCUCCAAAAUCCACCACAACAGAAUGCUCCACCACCACCUCCCCAACACUCUAAACUCGCCGAGUUCCUCCGCAUCCGCCCACCUACCUUCUCUAGCUCCAACAACCCCGUGGAUGCGUUGGAUUGGUUGCAUGCCGUGGGGAAAAAGCUAGACACGGUGCAGUGUACCGAUGAGGAGAAAGUCAUCUUCGCCGCCCACCAACUGCAGGGGCCCGCAUCUCUCUGGUGGGACCACUUCCAGGCUACGCAGCCAGAGGGACAGCCGAUUACUUGGGCCCGCUUCACCGCCGCUUUCCGGAGAACCCAUGUGCCCGCUGGAGUCGUGGCCCUUAAGAAAAGGGAAUUCCGAGAGUUGAAGCAAGGCAACCGCUCCGUGCUGGAGUAUUUGCAUGAAUUCAACAAUCUGGCCCGUUACGCUCCGGAGGAUGUGCGGGGAGAUGAGGAGAAGCAAGAGAAGUUCCUGGCAGGAAUGGACCCUGAGCUGUCCGUCCGCCUAGUCUCUGGGGACUAUCCGGAUUUCCAACGACUGGUGGACAAGAGCAUCCGCUUGGAAGCCAAGCACAAGGAACUGGAGUCGCACAAGCGCCGCUUGGCGAAUUUCCGCAAUCAACAGGGUGCUAACCAGAGGGUCCGCUACACCAAUCCCUAUCCAGGGGGAUCCUCCUCGCAGCAGCAACAACAGCAGCAGCAACCUCGCCCAGCGCCUCGACCUCAAUUCGUGGUGCGUGUCCCACAGCCGCAGCAACAGCAGAAUCAACAAGGGACUCGUGCGCCCCGUCCUCCUACGCCAACUGUGCCGCCUGGUCAAGGCCGCAGGGACGCUCAAGGUCAGCAGCGUCUGUGCUUCAACUGCUUCGAGCCCGGGCACUUUGCGGAUAAAUGCCCAAAGCCAAGGCGUCAGCAAGGCCAAGCGCCUCCCCGCUCCAACAACGGCGGGAAGGAUGUCAUUCGGGGUCGUGUGAAUCACGUGACGGCCGAGGACGUGCUGACAACUCCAGACGUCAUCGUUGGUACGUUCCUCGUUCAUUCCAUCCCUGCUACAAUUUUGUUCGACUCUGGAGCUUCCCACUCGUUUAUAUCUGUGCCAUUCGUGGGGAGAAAUCAGUUGGGGGUAGAAAGGCUUAGGAACCCUCUGCUCAUCACCACCCCUGGAGGGGUUAUGACAGCAAAGUAUUAUAGCCCUGCCGUCCCUAUAGAAAUUCAGGGGAUUCCUUUUCCCUCGGAUCUGAUUCUGCUAGACACAAAGAACUUGGAUGUGAUUCUUGGAAUGAAUUGGUUGGCUCAAUUCCAAGGAGUAGUGGAUUGCGCGAGACGCACUGUCACUCUGUACCGAGGGCCAGAACAACCGGUUGUUUUCUUUGCACCCCCAACCUCUGUCAGAAGUUCAGAACUUCAUCAGAUAGGACUGUCAGAAAUCCCCAUCGUCAGGGAGUUCGGAGAUGUGUUUCCGGAAGAACUACCUGGUAUGCCGCCCAAGCGAGAGAUUGAGUUCCGAAUAGAUCUUGCUCCAGGAACCACUCCUCUGUACAAGCGACCCUACCGUAUGGCAGCAAAUGAACUGGCCGAAGUAAAGAAACAGUUGGAAGAGUUGAAAGAAAAGGGGUAUAUACGUCCGAGUACUUCCCCAUGGGGUGCUCCUGUGAUUUUUGUAGAGAAGAAAGACAAGACGAAGAGGAUGUGCGUUGACUACAGAGCUCUCAAUGAAGUCACCAUCAAAAACAAGUACCCUCUUCCCCGGAUCGAUGAUCUGUUCGAUCAGCUUAAAGGUGCCACUGUAUUCUCCAAGAUUGAUCUCCGUUCCGGAUAUCACCAAUUACGUAUUCGUGAAGAAGAUAUUCCGAAGACCGCAUUCACCACGCGAUACGGGCUGUAUGAAUUCACGGUGAUGUCGUUCGGUUUGACCAAUGCACCUGCCUUCUUCAUGAACUUAAUGAACAAAGUGUUCAUGGAAUACUUGGAUAAGUUUGUUGUGGUUUUCAUUGAUGACAUUCUGAUAUACUCACAAUCAGAGGAAGACCAUCAGCACCAUCUCCGUCUGGUGUUGGGAAAGUUACGGGAACAUCAAUUGUAUGCCAAGCUUAGCAAGUGUGAGUUCUGGUUGUCCGAAGUCAAAUUCUUAGGGCACGUGAUAUCUGCUAAAGGAGUUGCUGUGGACCCCGAAACAGUGACCGCCGUCACCGAUUGGAAGCAACCCAAGACAGUUACCCAAGUCCGUAGUUUCUUAGGUUUGGCAGGAUACUACCGGAGAUUCAUCGAGAACUUCUCCAGAAUCGCUCGACCCAUGACACGGUUGUUGAAGAAAGAAGAGAAAUUUGUGUGGAGCCCGCAAUGCGAGAAGGCGUUCCAAACUCUCAAGGAAAAGCUAGUUUCCUCGCCGGUGUUAAUCUUGCCGGAUACUCGCAAGGACUUCAUGGUGUAUUGUGAUGCUUCGCGCCAAGGAUUGGGGUGCGUGCUCAUGCAGGAUGGUCAUGUGGUAGCCUAUGCCUCCCGUCAGCUUCGACCGUAUGAAGGCAACUACCCUACCCAUGACUUGGAAUUAGCCGCAGUGGUUCAUGCUCUAAAAAUCUGGCGGCACUAUCUCAUUGGGAAUCGCUGUGAAAUAUAUACCGACCAUAAGAGUCUGAAAUACAUCUUCACCCAGUCGGAUCUGAAUCUUCGGCAAAGGAGAUGGUUAGAACUCAUCAAAGAUUAUGAUGUGGGAAUUCACUAUCAUCCUGGUAAGGCCAACGUGGUUGCCGACGCUCUAAGUCGAAAGAGCCAUUGCAACACUCUUAACGUCCGUGGCAUUCCACCCGCACUUAAUCAACAGAUGGAAGCCCUGAACCUAAGCAUAGUUGGUCGUGGAUUCUUGGCUGCGUUGGAAGCCAAGCCUAACUUGCUCGAUCAAAUCCGCGAGGCUUAGAAGAAUGAUCCGGACAUGCAUGGACUCCUCAAGAAGAUGAAACAGGGUAAAGCCGCUGGUUUCACAGAGGAUGAACACGGAACCCUAUGGAACGGAAAGCGGGUAUGCGUUCCAGAUAACAGAGAACUUAAACAGCUGAUACUUCAGGAAGCUCACGAAAGUCCUUAUUCCAUUCACCCGGGCAGUACAAAGAUGUACUUAGACUUGAAAGAGAAAUACUGGUGGGUUAGCAUGAAGCGGGAGAUUGCAGAGUUUGUGGCCCUAUGUGAUGUGUGCCAGCGUGUCAAGGCAGAGCACCAACGACCGGCCGGACUUCUCCAACCACUCCAAGUACCCGAAUGGAAAUGGGAUGAAAUUGGGAUGGAUUUCAUCACCGGACUUCCAAAAACCCAAGGCGGAUAUGAUUCUAUAUGGGUAGUUGUGGAUCGAUUAACCAAGGUAGCCCGAUUUAUUCCUGUGAAGACCACCUAUGGAGGAAACAAGCUAGCCGAGCUCUACUUCGCUAGGAUCGUGAGUCUCCAUGGCGUUCCCAAGAAAAUCGUAUCUGAUAGGGGAAGCCAAUUCACCUCUCACUUUUGGAAGAAGCUCCAAGAAGAACUGGGUACUCGAUUGAAUUUCAGCACCGCCUAUCACCCGCAGACAGAUGGACAGACCGAGCGUCUAAAUCAGAUCCUAGAAGACAUGCUUCGCGCAUGUGUACUAGAUUUCGGGAAGACCUGGGAUAAGAGUCUCCCCUAUGCCGAGUUCUCCUACAAUAACAGCUAUCAAUCCAGCAUACAAAUGGCACCUUAUGAAGCGUUGUACGGGCGCAAAUGCCGGACACCACUCUUGUGGGACCAAGUAGGAGAAAGCCAAGUGUUCGGGACUGAUAUCCUGAGAGAAGCUGAAGCUAAAGUUAGAAUCAUUCGGGAUAAUCUAAAGGUGGCACAGUCCCGGCAGAAAAGUUAUGCAGAUAACCGCCGCCGUGACCUGGAAUUCGCAGUGGACGACUUUGUGUAUCUUCGGGUCACGCCAUUGCGAGGUGUACACAGGUUUCAGACGAAAGGGAAGCUCGCACCUCGGUAUGUGGGUCCUUUCCGUAUCGUUGCUCGACGUGGAGAAGUCGCUUACCAAUUGGAGCUGCCCGCCUCCUUGGGCAACGUGCAUGAUGUGUUUCAUGUGUCGCAACUCAAGAAGUGUCUCCGAGUGCCAUCCGAGCAGGCCGACUCAGAGCAAAUUGAAGUUCGCGAAGAUUUGACCUAUGUGGAAAGGCCAGUGAAAAUCCUGGACACCAUGGAGCGCAGGACCAGGAACCGGGUAAUCCGUUUUUGCAAGGUCCAGUGGAGCAACCACGCCGAAGAAGAAGCUACCUGGGAGCGUGAAGACGAGCUGAAGGCAGCCCAUCCCGAUCUCUUCGCCAGUUCUUCCGAAUCUCGGGGUCGAGAUUCCGUUUAAGGGGGGUAGGUUUGUCACGUCCCAAAUCGACUCUAAAAUACAUCCUCGAAAUUGUGCAAAGAAUAAUUAAAAUUCAUGUGAAAGCCUCCAACAAUUAAAAUGUGCAAAGAUAAAAGUCAAAUGAGGCUUGGAGGAUUUUUGUAUAUUUCCUAGAAGCCUAAAAUGCGUAAAUAAAUUUUAGUGGAAUUUUCAGAGCACAAAUAAUAAUUGAGAAGAAAUAAACAAAGUUGAAAAGGUUUAUAAAAAGAAAAACCCUAAAAGAAGUCCUCUUUCUCCCCCCCUUCCUUUCUUGGGCCGGCUCGGCCCACUUCUCUUCCCUCUCUCUCUCCUUUCCCCCGCGGCCCAUCGGCUCCUCCCAGCGCGCGCGCCGCUGACAGGCGGGCCCGCCCGCCACCCUCGCUGAUGGGUGGGACCCACCUGUCAUCGCCUUCCUCCCGCCGCGUCCGCCGCUCGCCCGUGCCCUAGCGCCGCCGCCGCCGCGGAUUCCGCCGCAUCCCGCCGUCCCCGCGCGCCAUAAAGAGGGGGGAAAUAUUCCCCGCGAUUCCCUCUCCCGUUUCCCCCGUUUUCCUCUCUCUCUCUCCCUCGGAUUCGUCCGAUUUUGUGCCCGCAAAGUUCGCCGGCGCAAUCAAUGGCGGCCGAGAUCUCCGCGCCGGUUUCCAUCUCCUCCGGCCGCUCUCUCCUCCUCUCGGCCCUAUUUAAACGUCUCCCGUGCCUCUCUCCUCCGUUUCCGCCGUUCGCCGCUCGCUCUCACCGUCGCAUUCGUGCUCGCGCCGUCUUCCUCUCUCUCCGCCGUCGCCGACAAGCUCCGGUUCGCCGCCGCCGUCGCUCCGGACUUCCUCCCCACUCGGCGUCACCUCCAUCGGCUUCGCCGCGUUCCCGUCGACCUCGUUCGCGCCUCCGUUUCGCUCGCCGACCGACGGAGCGCCGUCAUCCUCGUCGUCCCGAACCGCGCCGCCGCCUUCUUCCGCUUCGGCCGCCGUUCCCGUCGUCGCCGUCGACCGGGGUGAGCCGAAGACCGCUCCAUUCGCUUCCCCCUUCCCUCCUCUCUCUCGGGUGCCGCUCCGCCGCGCCGGUGGUCGCCGGCGGUGACCAUCGGGGCGCGGGCGCGUCCCCCUACCUUCGGCCGUGCCGGCGAGGCCGCCUUCGGGCGCGCCCUCGCGGCUGCCAGGUGGGACCCGGCCGUCAGCCGCCCGAGCCCGCGGGUGCGGCUGACGCGUGGGACCCACGGCACCGGCCGCCGUCAGCCGUGUGCGCCCGGUCCAACCGUGGACCGAGAGGCUGACGCGUGGGCCCCACUCCCGUGGACCCGGUCCGCGCGCCCUCUCCCGGCUGACGCAAUAAAUGAGAUUUUUUAAUUAAAACUUUAAAUGAAGAAAUCCGCAAAUAUCCAUUAAAGAGCAUAUAAACUUCAAAUGGCCAUAUCUUGGCCAUUUGAACUCGGAAUUGGACCGUUCAAGUCUCUAAUUUUUCCUUAAGAAGUCAAGAACCCAUUUUUGUGCUUUGUUUCUGUUGUUAUGUGGAGUUUAUUAGAGUAAAAGCCUUUUUCUUUUCCGUUGGUCGUGUAGACGCUGCAGCUUCGGAAGAUCCGCUCUUCGUGGAAGUCGAAGCCGUCGGUUGGGAAAGCGAGCAAGGCAAGUCACAUCAUCUUUGAACAUAUUGAAUCCCAGUUUGUAAAAUUAUGUUGAUUUAAAUUAUUGCAUUAUCGCUUUAUUUAAAUUCCCGCGUUAUCACUGUUUUAUUUAGCCAUGCCUAUUUACCUUUGUUAUGACCUUAUUAUUGCUAUUGUUAUUAUUAUUCCCUUGUUCACCCUAGAGCAAACAAAACCUCAACUAGUGGACACUCUACUCAUGGCACCACUAGUUUAAUUUUAGGUAGAUGCUUCGCAAUUUAAUUAGGUAACAUUAGGCGGUUUUACAACUCUAGACUUUGGGAUAUUCUCAUAUCAUUUGGACACUAUGGAAUGGUUGGCUUAUGUUGGAAUUGGACACACACCUCUCUUCCUCUUUCAAAACCCCUAAAACCUGUUUUCGGUGGGGUUUGGGUGCAUGCCAGUUGUGGGAAGUAGCACCCCGGCCACUAUAAGGAUUAAGCUCGGGCCUCUGUUGCAAAGCACUACCGUACUUCCACAUGUCUAGUGGGUAAGGCUUAGUUUGUGGCUCAGGCUAGUCAUAAACAAAAGUACACGGAUUGGAGAUGGAUGAAGUCGGGGGUCGAUGGACAUUCUCCAGGGCAAAUGAAGGCUACACGAGCUGUGGCCCGGUAGUCGAGAUGUCAUACGGCAGAGGGUUGGUGCCCUGCUGCUAGGGGCUCAGUCCUGCCUGCCUGUCCCGGGGGUUCCGGCCGUAGGCGGGAUUGGGUCGGUACUCUUGUCUAUGGCUAGGAUGGGUUGGAAACUAUGUCACGUCUUCCGUCUGUAUACCGUGGUGGUAUGUGGCACGUGGUUACACGUGAGGAAGAUGUGUCUUGUGGGUAAAGAUGUACACCUCUGAUCAGAGUAAAACCUAUUCGAAUAGCCGCGCCCUCGGUUAUGGGCAAGCCGAGCAAUGUACCCAAGUCAGUGUUAUAAUUCUUAAAAUUUGCUCAACAACUAAAAUGUGGAAUGGUUGGCCUGGGUUGGCUUGGGAUGAGCUGGGACCCAGGGUCGGGUUGCCAGUUCGGUCUGAAUCAUCGUAGGCCUUGGGUUAAGGCAGGUUCGUGUGGGUUCACGGCCUUGAUUAAUAAUACUGUUUAGUUCUAGGAUCGUGUUUACAAAAUAGCUUUGAGCAACUAAAUGUCUUUAAAUGCUGUUUACUGCAACCCUAACCCUUUAUAUUAUAAUUCCCUUGUACUCCCUUGCAUUUAUUCUGCAUUUGUGGGUGUGUCUUGUUGAGUACGGUGGUUGUACUCAGUCUUGCUCAAUUUUUCCCAAGCCCAGAAGAGGAGCUCCUUGAAGAUGAAGGCUUUGGUGUCUAGCUCGUGCCUGCCGUCAAGCGCCUGUGGUCGUCGCCCUAGUCUUCCGCUGUUUUUCGUUUGUCUCUGUGUGUGCUGGGCCUUCGCUGCCCAUGUAAUAAGUUAACUAUUUACGCUUCCGCUUGUUAAACUCUGAUUUGUAUCAACUUUUGGUGUACCUUGCCUCCUGGGACAAGGAUUAAUGCACGCACGUCAGGAAAGCCCGUUGGGUUAUUUCCGGUCGUGACAAUCGGGUCUGAGUUCCUUCGUUUGCCAUGAUCGAGCUCUGAUAGUCUAGUUGAGCAAAGGCCCAUGCCAAUGCCAUAGUUGUGACGAAAGCGAACUGAGCCAUUUUCAUGAUUUUGCAAUCAAAGAAAGUUCCAUACUUUUUUAUUCCCGGUAUGGAGCCAACGUCGCUUCGCUUUCGCAAGACAAUUUCCUUCUGGAAAAAUAUCAGCAAUCAAAUUAUCGUAAAUAGAUAGUACGGUUGCGUUGUUUCAAUUUCUGUUCGUUGGUCCUUGGGUUACGAAGGUGUGGGUUUACUAAUACGGAGAGCGCUAUGUACUAGUUGACGAGCUUGCCUCCAGUACUUGAUAGAAGCCCAUGACUCUCUAUCUGAAAGUGGUCUUGGCCGUAAGCCGAUAGGCGUAGUUGUAGCGAAGCGGCGUGUAUCGUAGUUGUUCGGAUAGCAAGCUACCUGACGUGAUAAGGCUACUAGUGCCCUCCACUCGUGCCUACUUUCACUAACCUAUAGCUAUUGCAUGCAAGCUCAAUCUUCUAUCUCGCAUUGCUACGUGCUCGAAACAGCCAAUUCGCUCGUAUUUUUGCCUCAACUCAUUCCAUGAAUGUUGUUUCAUUCCCACUAAAUCCAACUCAGUCUUUAUCCUGCCUUGGAGUUCUCUCUCAUAACUGAAGCCAGGAGGUAUUCGAUUUAUUGGAUUUCGAGCCCCUUUUCUUGCUCCUUGCCAUUAGCGCAGCCCUUUUCUUUUUCUUAGCUUUAUUUGAAGCGUAGUUUUUCACCUGAAAAAGAAGGAGCAGCGCUUUUGUAGUGACCCCCCGGGGUCCCGGGUUGCUUUGGCGCGCCCCACCCCGUCAGUCCUAUGUUGGGUAGGAGCGGGUCGAGUCCGUAUCACCGCGGAACAACUGCAGCGUCCGGAUCUGAUCUAUCUACUCGGCAAUUCAUCCGGUGACUUCACGGUCGCCAAAGAAGCCCCAAGAAGCAUCAAACAUUUCCGAUGAGAUCCAUGGUGCUAUUCUGAGAUAGCAGGCACUAGCUCCCAGUGCGACUUCAUAAAAAGCAAUCAAAGAUAAGAUCGAAGAAAAUGAAACGCACGUGGUGGUCAUUAUAGCGGUUCCUUCAGAUCCUAGAAAACGUCCAAAAAAACUGGCUACGGAACUACCGAGCAAAGGCAAAAAGACAAUAAGUAGAUACAUAAGAUCGAGUCUCUUCAAAAAAAAAUCAGACAAUGUUCGAGCGGCCUGUCAUUGAGACAAAAACGUGUUAAGCAUAUAAGACCUGAGACUUUCCUCUCUCUCCGAUUGCCGCUUUAUCGCAGAACAUCUAUUUGCUUUCUAUUCGACAAGAAGGACAAGGAAAAGAUAAUGGAUAUGGAACACAGGUCCUGGCACUAUUGGAAAAUGAAGCUCUCUCAGUUCAAACAUAUGAGAUUACUUACCCCGGGAACAAUUUCAGUACAUAUGGCGCAAGACGAUUCCACAUAUAUAUCGAGGUCAGAAUGGGAUCGGGUGUUUUCACGUCUCACCGUAGUGCAGCUUUAUACCACUGAUUUGACCAUUUUGCUGUGCUAGGCUGACCAUUUGGGGAAGAUACUCCAUUAAAAUUCUGAACAAGUAAGGGAACAGCUCUGGAUCCCAAGACAAGACUUCCUCUCAUAUUUAUAUUGAAAAAUAUGAAAACUAAUUAUCUUUAUUCUAGUUCCCUAAAACCCUUUCCGUGGCAUUCCUUUCUGUUCCACUCAUCCAACAUUGUUGGAUGCCAAAGACUUUGACGAAGACCAUUCUUUACCAAAGGAUGCGUCGAAGCGUGACAAAGAAAUGGCUGUCAAAGAGAAGGCCAAAAAUGCCAAUCUUCAAGCCAGAGGCGAGGGACAACAACCUUUGCCCGGCGGGGCGGCGGCUUCCUCAGAAAAAGAGAAAACUCUCUCACUCUCCUCUUUGACUGAACACUUGAGAUAGAUAUUGAUCAUAGAUAGGUACUCACAUUCACGGAAGUAAUGGUAAGGAAUCCCAGUAGUAUCUUCUCCCGGUGUAUGUGAAAGAGAAAAAGUGACGGGGCUCAUACUUCAGCGCUGCAGUGCUUGGUACUCGGACCUCGGCUCGAUGCAUUUUCUCUACCCCUUCUUACCCUGAAAAAGCAGGGUCACCUUGUGUCGUUUUUAUGAGAAGCGAGUUGUUCUAGGCUGGGCGGAUCCUGAUCUCUAAUACCGGUACUACGUCCUUGCCAAGAAUUACCAUAGGCCGGUCUUUCUUUGAAAUAGUCCUCUCACGCAUAUUCCUUUACUACCAAAGUAAUGCAUAUCCGGGGACCUUUUCAACAUACUUCUUUUCCUCUAUCAAAAAGCCAAUACCGACGCUCGCUUAUCAGCUUACCAGUUCAAACGGGUUUUAAAGUAGGUUCUACACAUUCGAGAAGACCCAGGCGGAUUGGAGUGGUUGUGCGCCGGGGCAAUCUCUGCUUGCAUUUCGCAUUGGAAUUUCAAGUACUAAGACAGGGGAGAGAUCUUUAUAAGGAAGGCUUGCAUCUGAAAAUAGUAGUAGUAGUCUAAGGAGUGAUUUGUACUGGAAAAACCUGCCAAUGGGAGCAUAGCUGGUCUUUAUUGUCCGCUCACUUCCUUCAAUCAAAGCAAGGGUUGUCUUUCCAGGAACUAGCAAACCAAACAAGCAGGCUAGCAAAACUAGGAUAAAGUUUGAUCCACCACUUACACUGGAAGGGCAAGAACUAAUGCUUAUGCGUAUUCUUCCACGGCAUAUAGAUGGUUAACUACUCCAACUCGAUGGCUGAGAGAAAAGUGAAAUCCUAGCUUGGAUAAGAAUCAUACGCUGCGAAUGAGCAGACGAAUCGACCGAGGGCUUACACACAAGAACAGAACCUAACUCUACUUCUUUUUCCUCCUUUCCUCUUUACUGCCCCCGCUAUACUAUCAACAGGUCAGUCAAUAUCGCAUCACAUCACCUAAAAGACUGAUAUCCAGCUCCAUAUAAUCCAACAAUUGGGCUCUAUUCUCCUGAAGAGAAGACACUUGAACUUCGUCAUGUGCUAUUGAGCCUUUUGAACCUAAGUGCGGACAUAAAGUCUUAGCCAAUGUUUCUAUACUAUUAGGGAGUAGAGUGUAUGAAUCUCGAUUUGACAUGACAGAGAGAGACUGUCAUCGCCAUCUCUUUGGACAUGCAUGUGUUAAGCAAAUGGACUGAACUGGUUUCUUCAGCCCUUUUUCUAUGUGUUGGUGUUCUAUAUGACCGACAUAAGACUCAACUUGUUAGAUAUUAUGGAGGUUUAGUGAGCACCAUGCCGAAUUUCUCUACCAUUUUCUUCUUUUUCACUUUAGCCAAUAUGAGUUUACCCGGCACUAGCAGCUUUAUUGGGGAAUUUCUAAUCUUAGUAGGAGCUUUCCAAAGAAAUAGCUUAGUAGCCACAUUAGCAGCGCUUGGGAUGAUUUUAGGCGCGGCGUAUUCCCUUUGGCUAUAUAAUCGUGUGGUUUCUGGAAAUUUAAAACCUGAUUUCCUCUAUAAAUUCUCCGAUCUAAAUGGCAGAGAAGUUUCCAUAUUUCUACCUCCAACAGACCGACAAGGAAUGAAGUCAACCUUAGAAAGUAGCCGAUGGGAGGUUUGAUCGGUUAAUGUGGAAAGACAACCCUUGCUUUGAUUGAAGGAAGUGAGCGGACAAUAAAGACCAGCUAUGCUCCCAUUGGCAGAAAUAAGGAUUGAUCGGGUAGUCCCGAUCGGUCCCGAUCAGUUAAUCCCGGAAGUCAUCUGCCACAAUGUCGGGAGCAUACCUCAUCAAGUUGUCGCAUUUCAUAUUGUAGUCCUGAACAGUACCACUCCCUUGUUUUAGGCUAACGAAUUGCUGUCGAAGCGCUUCCCGAGACAUCACAUCUAAAUACUGAUCAUUGAAUUCUCGCUCGAACCACGCCCAAGGAAUGGUUGGAUUUGAACCAUCAUUAUCUCCAUUAUGUCUCUUCUUUGCCUCCUGCCACCAAAAAGGAGAAAGUUUUCUCCCUUUUCACAUAACCGAGAAAAAAGGAAAAGUUACCCUACUACAUGUAUUAGCUAGUUUUGUCUAGUCAACAUCUAACGCUCAUUUCACUAUGGGAUUUAUUUACUCCGAUUGCUUCUACUCUCUUACAGCUGGGUGCGCCUAUAAGGAAGACUUUUCAUAGAUUGACUUUGGGCAGGCAAGUUGAACUAUCCGGCUUCCCUUAAAGUAUUCACUUUUCCAGGAGCCGACUUACCAGUUAGUACUGGCACUUUUACAGGAACAGUACCAGAGACUCAUCUCGUAAGAAGACAUUUUCAAUUAGACACUACUAGUCGAGGACUGCGAACUCAACUAGAUAUUCUGCACAUUCCAGUUUACCUUUUUAAAUCUUUUUUUAACUCCCCGAGCUACUACUCUGUAGAUUAACUAGUGUCUCCGAUUGCUUGGAUGAACAGAGCUCUCUUCUCUCCCAAUAUGUUUAUUUGACGGAGUCUAGUGCGUAUUCAUUUUCUUCAAGUCUUGGAUUCAAAAGGUUUUUUCCGGUGUAGGAUUCUUCCUACCCAACUUUGGCCAUUGAAGAAUGAGUCUUUGCUUUGUCCCCCGGGAUCCACCACAGGUUGGGUUUGAGAGCCGUGUGAUGGGUGACUAUCUAGCACGGUUCAGAGAGCACGUGUAUGUAGUCUGCGCUGGUGAAUACCACACGUGCAAGUUUCCCUGCAUGUGGCUCGUCCGUGAUAACUUCUUCGGAUUUGCCUGAACUAGCGGACCGAUCACUAAGUGGUUGCUUUCGCUGAUCGGCGCUAGUCUUUCCUGCUGUGAAUUUCCCAGGUCGAGAGGGGCCCUUUCCUUCUACCUUACUGAACCCAUUCACCAAUGAUUGGAGCCCUUUCACUAGUGGUUACUCCCGAUCCGAAGCACCCCUUUUCCAUUCAUAGAGAAAUCCAAUCGUCAAAAUCAAUAAAAAGGCCAUCAUGGACCAAGAUCCAAACAGAUCAAUCUUGUUAGGAGGUACUGCCCAAGGAAAAAAAAGGUGACUUCCUGAUCAGGGAUAAUAAAUAAAAUAGGAACCGGAUAAAAUCGUAUAUCGAAACGACUUCUGGCAUCACCGGAGGGAUUGAAACCACGUUCGUAGGCCGACAAUUUUUCUGGAUAGGUCGAACUAUUGGAAGCAAAUGGAAAAGGAACACCGAGUGGAAUCAAAGAAACUAGCGGACUGAUCACUAAAUAGAUACAAAUAGGUGCAAAUUCCGACAAAAAUGCACUUUCAUAGCCAUUUAUCGUGAUAGCGUAACUGCCAAAUCAUCCAAGUAAGGAAAUCGAUAAGCACGAAGAUUUCUCUCAAAGACGAGAAUAUCAUUCAGUCUUGAGAAAUGCAUGUGAAUGAGGAGCCGGUAUAAAUCGUAGGAACUCUUUGGAAGAACGAAUAACCACUGGGAUAAAAUGCCCCAAUGGAGCUUACGUUCUGAAUAUAUCCUCCUUGCUCGUAAGCAGGAAAGAUGAUAUUUCUCCAAACUGAAAUUAACAUAAGAUCAUUGGUUCACGAAGGGUAGAUUUCGCAGAUUUGACUGAACACAGAUAAACUAUAAACGAAAAUAGAGAACUGGAUGCGGUUAAGCAUACCACUUCGGAAAAGUGGAAAGGCACGGUGUUAAACCAUAGGCCUUUAACGGAACUCGAUCACUUAUUAGACCGAUAUAUGAACGGCAACCUCUUUAGCUUUUCCACUCCCUCACCACACCAACCACUGUGUGAUACUGAACACCCACACAAUCUCGAUUUAAAAGAGAGAGACUGUAAGGCUAGAAUUGGUUCACACAUAUGUGUGGGGGCCGGUCCAAUCACUCGGUAGAUCACGCUAUUAUGUCACCUUCAUUGAUGAUGCGACUCGGAAGGUAUCCAGCUGUUACGAACUAUCAGAUAGUCAAGAAUUGACAGGAAUGAAGGGAAUUGAUUUCAGGGAUCAGAUAAAGAGGGAAUUUAUGAAAUAAGAGUUACGAGAACAACUAGUCGAACGGAAGCAUUAGUUUCUCUACGAGAUGGAGAUGGCUCAUUCUCUAGUUUUCCUACGAGAUAUAAGUCAGUUUCUAACGUACUUUGAAGUUCAGGAAGGAGUUAUUAAUUAAGACGAAGAAGAACCCUCGCUUGGCUUUGUCCCGAACCAAGGAGGCAUGAUGGCGGGCGCGUGCGUGUGCCGACUGCAGAGACUACAAGCCGACGCCGGAAGCAUCGCUUUCUUUCUUCUCCCUCCAUUUUAUUCACUACUACCGCUUCUACACAUAAAUCAAAGAAGCAUUGUGGAAUAGUGGCAUUUCAUUAAUGUCGAAAAUGUUCUUAGUGAAAGGGUUGCCUUCCUUCUUUUCAAUAAGAAGAAGUAUUUGAAAUGAAACAAAUUCCUCUUCAUUCUGUUGUGCUCAGCGAAGGAACUGCGUAAGCAUACUUUUGCGGCACCAUUGGCCGAAGCAGACCUGGAAGCUGAUCUGCGAGUGAAUGAAAUUGAACGAUUAAUAUCGCCUUUCAUGCUAAAAUCGGACGAUUUCGACCUUACGUUCACGAUACUCCUUCCUGUCCUUGCGAUGUUUGGUUAAGUGUUAUCAAUCAGCUUUACUCUUCUUCCAGCAUUCUUCUAAGGUUUGCCUCUAACGAUGGUUGAAUAGCUCCUGUUGUUUUUAUUCCAUUGAAUUGAUUUCAUGAACUUCCCUCAAGCUGAAACCGGAACGGGAUUGUCAUUUAGCUUCAAUUUCUUCAGUCUCACAAGCGGGUCCGCAUGCAACAAAAGAAAUUGUAUUUGCCUACUACUCCGACCUCAGGAAUGCAAGCAAGCGAGGCCAGAACAAGGAGUGUCAAGAAAAACAGUAGCCGUUUACUCACAAGCUAACACGAAGCACGAAACACAUGGAUUCUCUGAGAACCGGACUGACCCAACCAAGCAAUCACUUGAGCCAUUCACACCUUGGAAGAGCUAUUCAAAGGUUUUCUGGCUGACUAUGAGGACACCUCUGCAUCCCAGGAGCAGACCGCUCCCCCGGAAUCUGUGGUCAGUCAAGAGCGGCAUCCGAAUCCCGCUCCGAUUCAACCUUGACCCCAGGGAUCUCCUCUCCCCAACUACACUAGGCUCAAGGUGGAAUAACGAAAGGAGGGUGCGUGCGAUAGCUAACCGAUUGAAGGAAAUUCCUCGCCUAUCUUAUUCUUUUUCAGUUCCGAUCAUCAUUAUACGAUCCAAGUCGUGGAAAAGCCGAGUGGGAAAGCCGAAACCGAGGUAACUUAGGCGUAGGUCAAAGCACGGGCAUGGAAAAGGGAUUAUAUGGCGUGCUGGGCUGGAUGAAAGAAGCAACUACGCCCCUGGUACAUUUCAACGCCCAUGAAUUCUAUAUUUCAGCAGUAUCUGAGGCCAUAGCUCUCAACUCAGCUUCAGCACUCGAGCGGGACACUGCAGUCUGCUUCUUGGUUUUCCAAAGGUCCGGAGGAGCGGAAGAGUUUAUAGUCGAGAAGGGUCGGGCAUUAGCAAAUCCUUCAAUCCCAACUCUUGAAAAGAAGCAUUUCCUCCUGAUUGUCCACCUUUUCGGAGAAAGAAGCACAUCACUUAUACGAGAUUCUGAAAUGAUUGUUAUCUCUAGGCACAUCUUAUGGGCGGAUGUUGCUCCUCGGAAAACGCGUAUAGUAGUCUCAUUGGCCUUCGUCGAUGGGACAAACGCUCCAGUGUAUGCGUUACAAGGCAACUAGCAUGUUGGAUUAGAAGUUCGUGAAAGUAUGUUCUCAUUUUUCGUUGGAACAACCAACCAUUUUCUUCUCCAAGUUGAGGUUCAGGGUUCGGCGGGGUGUGGCUUGUGGAUGGCUCUCCCCGAUCUGGAACAGCCCCGAAUACGUGUUCCAGGGGAACUUCCGGAAUUGAAUAAGGGUCAAAACGGGGCUGUUCCCCUUGCGGCACCUCUCAGUUCGGAUUGUUCUCUGCAACUCGGGAACAUGAAGUUGAAAUCGCUAGUAAUCGCGGAUCAGCAUGCCGCGGUGAAUAUGUACCCGGGCCCUUCCUUUGUUCCUCUUCCUUCUGCGCAGAUACUUUUGAUCCACUCCUUUCCUAUACCGCGCCCUCUGCCUAUUACGGUCGAUACCCAGAAAGUUGCCGACUACUUUUUUUCAUAAGGGGGGAAGCGAAGCUUAGUGAGCUUAGAGCGAUUUCCUCACAAAAAAAGCACGAGCGAGAUAUUCAUCCUUAACAGGGAUCUCAAUUGCGGGAAGAAGAUUUUUUCUUCAGGAUGGAGCGCAUCAGAUAUUAACAUUUUUGGAUUACUUUUUUCGGGGUUAAUCUGACCUUCUUUCCCAUGCAUUUCUUAGGGCUUUCGGGCAUGCCACAUCGCAUUCCAGAUUAUCCAGAUGCUUACGCCGGAUGGAAUGCUCUGAGCACUCUCAACGGAUCCUCCACGCGCUGCGCUGGGCAUACCAUAGUUCUUCCGUGCGUCUUUAUCGUGGCGGAAACAGAACAAGAGGGAAAGACCCGGCUGGCUCAUUCCAUUGAUAAGCUCAUCGGGCUGCUCGUCGUUAGGAAGAGAAAGUCCUACUGCUGUAACCGCAACAUCAAGCAAGUAGGAUCGGGAUUCAGAUGUUCAAUAAAUAGGUUUGUUAGAAGAGACAGGAAUUUAUUCUUUAUUAGUGCAUGCCUUUUUUUUUGUGAUUCGAGCAGUUCUUGUCACGAGAUGAUGGGCCAGAGAAAAGUUUGAUAGGAAAGGAAGGUGGGGCACUUCGUUGCUGGGCUGGAAUAGAAACUGACGUAUGGAGGACUUGUGAGAUCUUUCACUCUUCGACAACGAAAGCCUUGAGGACGUCAGCGAUGUGUUAUAGGGACGUCAACGAAAGCUAGUAGGGAACUGCAACCAGAGAGAGAGUUCUAGUGAGUCCAGACUCUUUCUUUCGUUCAUCAAAGCGAAGCAUGGCUGCAAUCCCAAACUCAUCCUUUUUUCCGCGAGCAAUCUACGUUUGUGAUCUCGUAUAUUUCGCUUCUCCGACAUCUUACUUAGUUUCCCCCUCAUAUUUUAGCAAAAAGCCGCUCCACAGUAGUAAAGUCUCAUCUUUUGUAUUGGCCGAAGUGACAAUAGUCACAUUACAAAGCAGAGCCCUCGUGAAUACACGUACCAUUAAUGAAGGAACAGCUAGUACUAAUUAUAUGAGGGAAUACUAAUUAUCUAUUCUUAUGUAUUCUCUCACAAUCACUCCUAGCAAUAAGUGAAAAGGCGGCUAUCGAUACUGUCCCAACAACCUCCUCUCAAUUGAUCCCUCGUUACUGCCCAUAGGAGAAGUAAUAGGUAGGGAUGACAGGAUUUGAACCCGUGACAUUUUGUACCCAAAACAAACGCGCUACCAAGCUGCGCUACACUCGUGAAGGUAAUGAAAUUAUCCGAUCAGCUUGCAAAUGGAGUCCUGAACUAGCCAGGUCUCGUUCUUAUAUGCUACCUAGAAUUAUUUAGAACUUAAAUCUUUAAGCAUGUGCUUAGUCAAGGAGGAAACUACUAAAGAACAAAGAAGUCGUCUUUGGUCAGUGAACCAACUUUUGCCGAGCCCCAUUGCCAACUCUAAAUUACAUUCAUUUCACCAGUCCGCCAAUCCAAUUAGGAUUCCCAUCGGUUGCAUCGCUCCUGCUCGCAGUAGUCGUUUCUUCUCCGGUGAAUCAAUUUCUUCUAAACAGAAUAAGGGCGGCAUCCUGCUCUCGACUAUCUCUGCCGCGGAAUGGGAUCGCUUGCCAGCUAGGCCCUCUAGAAAAAAGUUGGAGCAACAUUGUAUGAACUCUCGGGUUUGGAACAGAUAAGUUCUGUACGGAUAACAAAGAAUAGAAAUUGGAGAGCAGGUGCCCUUCCCUGGUUGUUACCUUCCCAGCCCCAAAGGAAAAGCCCUGAUCAUUUGAAAAAAAAGAAGCCAUGCAUGCCGACACGUUUUAACAGAUCAGUAGCAUACUUCUCUUGAGUCAAGAUAAUUCCAUCAUGAACUUUAUUAACUUCUAUGCCCAAGAAAUAGUGCAACGCACCAAGAUCCUUAAGGGCAAAUUCUUCUUUCAAAUCUUGAAGUAAUGCCGAAGUUGCUUUUUCACAAGAACUAGCAACAAUGAUGUCAUCAACAUAUAUCAACACAAAUAUGGAGAUUGUACCUUUCUUGUAAAAGAAGAGCGAAGCAUCUGCUUUUGACGGUUGAAAUCCAAGCCUAGCUCGUUAUUCUUUGAGAUAUGGAUAGAGUCUCGCUUCGGGGCGGGGGAAGCAGCAAGCGUAGGCUAAAAAGAGGUGGGUCGGUUUAGUCAUCAGCUCAAGAGGACAGGGGAGAGAUAGGAGACAAAAAGAGGCAAAGUGAGGCCCGCCCAAGCAAGUGGUUUGUUUUUGAGAGAGAAGUGUUUUCUUUGGAAAAGAAGAGCUCUUUCUAAGUUGACUUGCUCUGUUCGUCCGCUGUCAGAUCAAAACGGGUAGGGAUCGGCCCAGCCUAGAACAACUCGCUUCUCAUAAAAACGAAUCCCUUUGUGCCUGGAAGAAAUGCAAAGGGGAAUGCUGGGUCAGAGCCAAAGAAUGUGAACUAUACAAGUUCACAAUACCCUUUGAUGAAAUGAAAGAAAGGGUUCCGGUGUAUAGAGAGGGCCUGCGGACGGCUGUCCGAAGUGCAUGCAAUGACGGGCUCGGAUAGGAUAGGGUUGUGCGUGCCGGGCCCUUCGGGUGUCCAUAUUUUGGCCGACCCAUCCUAGUCUUUUGCGACACAGCUGGUUUACUUAUUUUGUUAGGUCUCGACUUCUCCGCUAUGAUCUCCCCAGUAGUUCAUAUAGGAGCUAUUGCCGUUUCAUUCCUAAGCAAGCUGGAGCACCUUUCACUCUCGGGCAUAAAGGCUUUUAUCCAAUUCAUUCACAGGAAGGGUAGAAGGAGCUUCAAAGCUUUUAGCCGGCGUUGGAGCUCAGACGGUGCAGUUAGUAUUGACCACUACCGCCAAGUCCAUAAUUAAAAAAUUGAUGAAGUCCACAUAAUGGAGCUCAAAAGCCGAUUAAAAAAUCUACUUUUUGAGCAUCUUGAAACCGCACAUAAAAAAUAUUAUGAAUGAAUCACCUUACAAUAACAUACGAGAGACAGCUUUCGAUUUUUUCGAACAACAAGUCGAACCCAAUGAACAAUUCCAUUCAAAGGAAUGUUCUAGAGGGGGCCCUUUUCCGCUAUAUUCGCGAUAUUGAACAAAAUGGAAGAAAUUCUUCACGAUUUCUAGAGUUCCGGGAUUACUUCACGGAAGAUCGGGUUAAAAAAUUCUAAAGCUUUCGUCUCAAUUCAUAUUUAGCCGCGAGCAAUCUACGUUUGUGAUCUCGUAUAUUUCGCUUCUCCGACAUCUUACUUAGUUUCCCCCUCAUCUUUUAGCAAAAAGCCGCUCCACAGUAGUAAAGUCUCAUCUUUUGAAUUGGCCGAAGUGACAAUAGUCACAUUGAACCCUCGAAUAUGCUCGAAGAUCUCGAAAUGAUCUUCCAGUUCCGGGGAGAAUUCGCAAAACUCCGUUUCCAUAAAGAAUGCUAAAUGACAAUCUGAACCUACUUGCUUACAGGAUCUUUAAGAAAACUGUGGACUUUUGCACCUUUCUGUCUAGCUUGAGUUAUCUUUUAGUUCUCUCCCCUCGGCAAAGUGGAUAGGAAAGAGUCUUGCAGGUUGAUCAACAAGUAAAUCCUCCCGGAUAUGAAAAGACAAGAUCAAUAUGUCAGCUAGCUUACUAAUACGGCAGCUGCUUAAACUCAUGCUGUACCUACAUAUCUCAUUUGGCUAUCCUUACCUAUUGGCUAUCCCAGGUGACCUUACACCUAAUGGACUAAUGCCAAGCUUGAAACUCCUAUGUAGAGGGAGCUAUCUCGCCUAUGUUUACGUUGCAAUGCUACUCCUCUGUUCUGUUUCUAGUGCGGUUAUGUGUAUUACAAGUUUUAAUAAGAGCGCACUACUCAUCCCAUGGGAGAUGGAGCCAUAGAGAAAUCCAAUCGUCAAAAUCAAUAAAAAGGCCAUCAUGGACCAAGAUCCAAACAGAUCAAUCUUGUUAGGAGGUACUGCCCAAGGAAAAAAAAAGGUGACGUUAUGGUAUUGACUACGAAGAGACUUUCAGUCCUGUAGUCAAGGCGGCCACAAUUAGACUAAUAUUGUCACUAGCAGUCGAUGACAUAGAUAGAGCCUCCUUCUUUGAUCCAUUCAUUGAUAACAAUCAAUAAACAUCUUCAACCAAUCCAAUACAAAUACUGAAAAAGAAGCAGUCUACCAACUUUUCUUUCACAAGGCCGCAGGCGCAAGGGAUGAGCGUGAAAUCCGUUGCUUGUUCUUUCGGUAGCCUUCUUUCAUUUCCGAAUUAGCUUGCGAGCAGUCCUUGCAUUAGUAUGAGUUCGUUGACCGCAUAAGGGCGAACAAAACGGAAUGUACCGGAUUUUUAGCACGUACAACCAUCAAACCAGAGACCAAAGCAGGGCUCGACAAAACUGAAAGUAUCAUGGUACGUCGUCCUCCCUUGAAAUGGAACUUGAAUGCUGGAGCAAGAAGACGCAUUCAAGUCGAUCUUAUUGCAUCACCCACACCUAAUUACAACAGUUGAAUGCUGUAUUUGCAUUUUGAUAUUGUACAUAGCUAUUUACUUCUAUUAUAAAUGUACCCUUGGUCGGAACUAGUUUUUUCGCUUUUUUAGCCGAUUUUUUACCUUUUUUGGACCCAUUCUAUAAAUGGAUGGAAGAAAUUAAACCAAUUCUUUCCCGCCAUAGGCGAAAAGUACUAAUUUUUAAUUCGCCUAAGGAAUUGGCAUUUUUCCGGGUUGUUUUAAAAAACAUUUGUUCCAGCCAUAGCGAAAAGUACUGAAAAUUCACUUUCCCUCGUAAAAAGGAAAAAACUGGGUGCAGAAAAAGGAAACUUUCUGUCCAGUCUGUGGCAAAAGUAAUACUUUUUCCAUUUUCCUUCGCGAUCGACCUUUCGGAUUUUAUAAACUAAGGAACCUGGUGAAAAAAGCAACCCUAUUAUUCCUGAGCAAAAGAAAGCUUACUACAGCACGGUCUUACGUCCAGGAUUGGAACAUUCCAUCUCUUCUUGUCCACUGGUAUAGAAAGAAUAUGCAUUUUCUUGACUGCUUAUUCAACGCCCUGCCGACUUGGAUACUGCUGGCUCUCUUGCAUUACGUGAUAGAAAUGAAAUGACAGAAGAACAAAGCAAGGGCUUUCAAUGCGCGAAAUCCGUUUCGAGUUAGAGUGCGAAACUUCUUGCUGCAGCCGUUUUAUUCGCUGCCAAUUGCACAUCAGGAGAAGAUGUCACUACAGAUCCUGCAACCUCAAGAGGGAGCAGCCUGUCCGUCCUAUUUAAAAGACUUUGGAUUUUUUUCUCCGGGGAUCGAGGUCUCAUUAGCCGAAGAAGACCCAGGCCAAUCCACGUGGCCUCUUUGACCAACGUCAGCGACAGAGACAUAGUAAAUUGGUCCGCGGGCAUCGCGAUAAGUCCUCUGUCCUACUACAGGUGCUGCGACAACCUUUACCAAGUCCAAACGAUUGUCAACUACCAGAUCCGCUGGUCCGCUAUAUUCACCCUAGCCAGCUAUCUCCUUUAUGAGUUUCUUCCUUUCUGAAAGUCACCACAGUGGAGAGUUACUAUCGACUUUCUCCAUGUGCCACUCGCCAGGGUUGAGUUGAGGGGGCAGCCCGUGCGCUAAUUGGGCUUCGAGGUUGGCUAUACGCGAAAAAAGCUCGCUUUCUACUGAGCUGUCCUAAACUGUUCCAGAAUGUUAUUUGUUUCAUAGGAAGAUUCCAAAAGCACAUUGUGAUGCCGAAAGAAUCUUCGUCGCCCUCAUUCCGUAGUUGAGUUCUUUCGCAUUUCUCGUAUAGUUUUUCGUGGAUUAGCAUCUCGAGGUUCUUUGAUGGGCAUAAAGAAAUUGUCUUGCUAGCAACCACCAAACCAAUAGAACAAAGGUUAGCUCUGCAGCUAGUCCACAUCUAUUUGUGCAUUCAAUGCUGCCAUUCCCCCGGCCCCAAAGGACAAGAUUGAGUCGCCGCUAUCACUUUUUUUGGGGGGCCAAUCCCGCGAAGAGUUAUGGAAAGAUUUUAUAGCUCGUCACAAGAAAGGAUUGAUGGUCGAGUCCCCGUGCAUGAAGUCAGUGGAUUCGAGUGAACUGACCGUACUACAAAUCGACAUACUUGAGGAAGCUUCUUACUAAACCAAAGAAAGGGCAGCUCCAGUUGUAUUGUCGAUUCCCUUCUCCCGAGAGCUUUCACACUCUGGGAUGGGAGUCCCUUCCAAGACUUGACCAAAAGCUUAUCUCUUGAAUCUAAAUUUAACAUUUUCCAAAACGCGGCUAGACCGAGGCAGAGCAAGAAUCGAGUUCCGUUAAAGGCCUAUGGUUUAACACCAUGCCUUUCCACUUUUCCGAAGUGGUAUGCUUAACCGCAUCCAGUUCUCUAUUUUCGUUUAUAGUUUAUCUGUGUUCAGUCAAAUCUGCGAACUCGACUAGAUAUUCUGCACAGGCCCUGGUGGGUUCUCCAUAGCGGAAGCAACCUCUGGGCCUUCCACAAAAAAAAACGAAAACAAACCAGAGAAGGAUCCAAUUAGAGUAGAGGAAAAAGCCUCCCUCCUCCUUCUGACAAUAUAAAGUCCCAAAAAAAUGAGGGAAAUAAAAAUAAAAAUAAGGUAAGGUCUAUCGGUCCACAAACUGCAGCCCAGGACGGGCGUCGUCAUCUAGGCGUGACUUCUUGUUUUGAUCUCCCCUACGCCUAGGACGUAGUCUGGGCCAAGAGCCAUAGUUAGUUGCUGUUUCCAUUUGGUUCUUCUUUCUCGUUGUUGAUACCGGCAAGACCCGAAUAGAAGAAGAGCAGUCGUCAAUUGAUUGAAAGUGGAUUGACGGCAUUCAUCAGUUGAUUGAAAAUGGACUUUUCUUUUAUGAUCGAGCGAGGUCCGUUUUUGGGCUUAAAAGUCCUUGUAAGCUUAUGCCUCAUCAUGGUUGGGAAGGUUAUAGUAGCUUCAGUCAUUGGAAUUACUCUAUUUCUAUAUAUAGGCCUUAUCCUUUUUGUUAUUGCGUUAUGGUAGAGGGAAAGAGAAAAGAAAGAAGAGAAAUUGGGCCAUGUUUCCCGAGAGAGACUGCCUUCUCUCAGGCCAGCAGUCUUAUACUUAUAGUCGACUGCUCUAUGACGAUCUGACCUCUUUCCUGGGCUCUGCUCGCUCGUCUACGCUCCUACCAAUUCAAGAGCAAUUCAAAUGCUUUGAUUGCUUAUCAGAUAAGAGGUAAAAAUAUUCUUCAUUCAUUUAUUUUUUUAAUGCCAAAUUUCAUUCAAAUCCAUUCUUAAAAAGGCAUAGUAGAGAAAGGCGGACCAGGCAAUCUCUGAGUUGAAAUCGAUCCCAGACAUCCAUCUCUUUCAAAAAGUUCUAAAGGCCGACUACUACAGGGUGCGUGCGCUGGGACUGAUCGGGACGACCUUGUCGGUCCUCACAUUCACGGAAUGAAGUCAACCUUAGAAAGUAGCCGAUCGGGACGAUCAUGCGUCUCAAGAGGAGAAGCAUGGACUGUUGCUAGCGCUCAUAAAUAUCCUUAUGACCCCUGAAGAUGGAGUUGUUUAGUGAAAAAAGGCCCAGCAGAGAGAACAGUCAAGAUAACUAGCGCGGAGUCCGCUUGGCAGGCGGCAGGAGCUGCGGGCAAGUGCUUGCUUGGUAGGCCAACAGCCCUGUGAACCGGGCGGGGCACCUCCGGUUAUAGAUGCCCUAACAAAACUUCAUAAGAAGAUAUCGCGAGAAAUAGUUGAGGAUCGAACUCUAUCUCAAAAGAGAAAUCGAUGUUUUACUACCAGUCACAAGCUUUAUGUUCGGCACAGUACUCAUACUGGAACUUACGAGCAAGAAUUGCGGAUAAGGGAAAGCCCGCUAUAUUAUAUAUAGUAAUCACCUGCCAAAAGGAAAGCCUGACCGAUAAUAAUAAUAGGUCUAUGCGCCGAACAAGCAAUGGUAUAUUAGAGAUAGUAAGGAGUUGUAUACACGGGGGUAUGCAUUCAUGUCACGCUUUCUGUGUGAUAAGAGGUUGCUAGCUAGCAAGUAUAGAAACAGGAGAUAUGCGUAGUUAACAGAAGCAAGGGAAUAUGCGUGAGUUGAUUUGAUAGUUUUUUUGAGAAAAAGCAAUUUCAUGAAGUUGGCCUUAGGUGUAAUAGGACUCCCAGUUACUGCGCGCGAUCGUAUACUGAGGUGCUCCCCGUCGGUUGUUGGAACGACGCGAGCCCCAAAAUAAUGUGACUUGGUCCCAAGGUAGAAAGUGAAGAACACUGAACAGAGCUGAAGCUGCAUGAUUAUGAAAUCCCCCAGGGCGCUUCUGAAGCCUCUUUCUAGUCCAAUCCCCCCACAUCGCGUAUAAAGGGAAUCGAACCCAACUCUUCCACUUGCCGCCAAUGCGGAAGGAUGCCACCAAAAAGAAAGGAGACUGAUCUUAACGUUGGCGUCGGUUUUUCCAAGAAAAGUUAGAUUUGAUUUGUCUUUUUCAUGCGGAACAGAACCGUAUUAGUAAGCGGGCCAGUUAACAGAAGCAAGGGAAUAUGCGUGAGUUGAUUUGAUAGUUUUUUUGAGAAAAAGCAAUUUCAUCUCAAGGGAAAGAUCAGAGGAGGAGAAGAAUGAAGGUGUGGGCGGGAAGGAGGAGGCAAGGCCCCCUCAAUGUUUAUUCGACUACUCAUUACGGAACCACCGAUUGAUCCGAUUAGACUUUCCGUGGUAUGUUGAGUUCUUGAAGCAUUGCCGAUAUCGAUAUAUAUUUCUUUGCAUGGGACAGUAGCCUUUUCUGCGGCGGAACAAGCUAAGAAGUGCAGGCGGCUCUUAUUUGAUAAGAUAAGGCAGAUGGUAUGAUCAAAUUCACUCUUGCGCUUUUUUUUGUAUUGAACGCAUGGCGUAGCUAGGACCCCUCCAAUCAUGUUUGAGCCUAUGUUCACCCGGGGUCCAAAAAGGAGAAUUCCGGAAUGCCUGCCGACGUUCAGAUAAAGUGCAUAUCCCUUACUACUAAAGGAAAGGCUCGACGAAGGGGGGGGAUUUUCCGGGUAAGGAAAAUGCUUUCGGAGAUUGAGAUGUCGAUUUGUUUUUCAUCGAAAAGGAAGAAGGCCGAGGGGAUAGCUGCCUUCCUUCGGGCUUUGCCUGCCGACAUUCUAAUAAAGAAUUCCGGCUCGGCCCGGGAAAGCGCUGGCAACAACAUAAAGAAAGGGGUCCAUGUAGCUGCUGCGCCCGCCCACUGAGCAGCAGGUUCGGCAUCUACUACAAAAGAGAGAAUCCACUUCAGAUAACCACGCCUCUGCUAGGCAGCGUGUGGAAUGGCCGGGAGCGGACCAAAUGGAUAUAUAAUCCAAGCCGAGAGUGGAGUUACGUGAACAGCCGUCUGAUGGAAAACAACUUUCGACUAGGAAAAUGAAGACAAAGGAAUUUGGAAUUACAAGACGGAUAUCAGCUUGCUACUUCUGACUUUGACUUUCAAUAGGGAGGUCAAAAACUAGCACUUUUUUCGAGGAGUGAUCAUGGUUGAUGUCUACUUGCCGGGCUGCCCACCUAAACCGGAGGCGGUUAUAGAUGCCCUAACAAAACUUCAUAAGAAGAUAUCGCGAGAAAUAGUUGAGGAUCGAACUCUAUCUCAAAAGAGAAAUCGAUGUUUUACUACUAGUCACAAGCUUUAUGUUCGGCGCAGUACUCAUACUGGAACUUACGAGCAAGAAUUGCUCUAUCAAUCACCAUCUACUUUAGACAUAUCUUCUUCAACUUUUUGAAAAUCCAAAAGUCCAGUAUCUUCCUACAAAUUAGUGAAUUUGCAGCAUUCUGAAUUCAUAAUUCGAACUGAUCAGCACAGUCUCGUGCAUUUAGAAGAUCAACGACUACACCUUGGCAGCAGAAGGCCUUCACUAAGUUUCUUGGACUUCAAUACCGACGCAAGGGAGCCAAGAAUGGAGCAGCUGAUGCUUUGUCCCGACGCAGCCAUAGAGUCGAUCUUGCAGAUAGGCGGAGGUAUGAUUGCUUGCUCCUUGCAUGUGAAGGUGGGAAACAAGGAAACAGCAGAAAUGCUUACUGGGACAUAGCCUUCGGUACGAGUUGAAGGGAAGAGGAUUGCUUGGAACCUCUAAGACAUGGCACCCCUGCCCCUUCCCGGCUACUGGAUCACUCCAGUGCUUCGGGUACUACGGACCCUCUGCCAUCCAUUGCAGCAGAGCCGUUUCAUGAGCGGGGGGGCUAAGCGCAGUUCUUUGAAUCAAAGGUUUUAUGAAAUCGAAAUUGAUUCUUUUUUAGAUAUCUGGAUAGAUGGAUGGGGCCUGGGAGUGAAUGUGGAAGCUUAACACUAGCAACGGGCAGAACAGUUGGUAAAGGAGAUCAUUGGCACUAUGGCGCAUGUAUGUUGAGUUCUUGAAGCAUUGCCGAUAUCGAUAUAUAUUUCUUUGCAUGGGACAGUAGCCUUUUCUGCGGCGGAUCGUUUCCUUUUCUCCAAUCAUAAAUAACCUGAUCUCUUUCUUUGUCUUUCAUCAAAUAAGUACAAGAAUUGCAUAGAUGAGGAUUCGGUAUUGAUCGCUAAAAUGCGAGAAAAAGACCCACGUUUCUCUGUUCGUCCGCUAUCAGAUCAAAACGGGUAGAAGCAGCUUGUUCUUUCGCGCUAGUGCGCUCAAUCCGUUGCUUGUUCCUUUCCUUUGGAUUUAUUAUCAUAAUAGCGUAGACAAAAGGUAGGACCAGAUCAUGCGAAGAACUCUUCGCCCUAUUGAUUAGGAAUCUCGAUUAGAAACCACCAGGCCAUGUCUCCCGAUAAAAGAUGAUCCCCACAAUGGAUGUCAGGCCUUGGCUUCAUAAAAUCUGAUUGGAUCCGCACUAGAGGAUAAGAAUACAGAUAGGCUGACUUAGAAGAUCUUAAAAUUGGCGUAGACAAAAGGUAGGACCAGAUCAUGCGAAGAACUCUUCGCCCUAUUGAUUAGGAAUCUCGAUCAGAAACCACCAGCCUCGAAUGGAGCAUUACGAGUGCAUGAUUGAGUUGUUUAGUAAGCAUGGUUGAUUUUUAAUCAUUUUUUUCCACCUUAAGGGCCCCAGAAACUUCUAGUUAUUCUCCAGUAGGAAAGGUUCUAGUGACAUUGCUGCUAUUGCUGGAAGUCCCGCAGCUUACUGCUCACGGAAACAUCCGACCUUAUGGUCAAGUCGUCCGCCUAUCUUUCUGAUCUCAUUCGUUUGUAGAUCGCAUAAAAAGCUCUUCGUUGUCUGAGAGGGCAGAAGGCAUCAGACUUGUAGUCUAAAUGCUGUGUAUCUGACAUACUUCAUUCUCUGUGCAGGGUACGAUUUCACUAUGGACAUCCUGAUGUGUUCGACAGGAUUUUUAUCUGGUGACUCCCUUCCCCCUUUUUUCCCAGAAUGAAUUCGCCCGACGCGACGAAUCCUGCCCUCCUGUCUUUCUUUCUCAUUGGCCCCGCUGCCGCUACUGCUCGAAAGCAUGACAGCUCCGCUUCCUCGUCUUGCUUCUACUUUGCUUGUUUGCGCGAAGGCUUAGAGUCCUUUUCGCUAGGUCCAAAUUCGUCAAAGUCGCCACGACGACUCUCCGUCGUGGAAUUAGACCAAGGGUCGAAGACCUAUACCAUAGGACCCCGUCCGAUUUCAGAGCCCACUUUAUUAAAAACUUCGAUUUGAAGCCGAGAACCCACCUAAAAACAAUCAUUUGACUAAAAAAUUCGUUGGAUAGGUGCAUCACGAAAUCGGUACUCAAUCCCUUGCUUGUUCGUGGGAUGGGAGUAUCUCCUAUUAGCGAUGCUCAGAUUUCAAUGGAAGGAAGAUAGUUAUUCCAAUCACUUUUCUCGAUAGGCAGGGCGGGACUCAAGAAACCUGCGUACGGCAGGGCUAGGUUACCAGCGUACGGGCAAGAGAAAUUUUAUCUUCUCGUCAGGUCAUUAGAGGCUCCUCUGGAGGCCAUACAAGAAGGAUCCUUAAUUCAUUGCAAGGCAUUCUCCAAUCCCCAUUCACACUCUCCUUAUUCAUACAUCAGUUCAGCUACAACAAAGAAGAUAUCCUCCCAUUGGUUAGUUGGCUCCCUGUAUGGUUGGUACCUGCUUUCCCGUAAGUCUGUACGGAGAAUCAAUAAAGGCAUCCGCAGUGGAAUCAAACUCAUAAGGGACAGGAUCACCACCAUUCGGUAGACCAAACACCCUAUGAACACUGCCGGCAUGAGAUAUGAGUCGUUAGAGCACAUAUCUCCGUGAUCCCUUCCACAGCUAAACGUAGAUCUCUAUCUUGUAGUGGAGUGUAGAGUAAAGAUAUACCGGAGCGGAGUGCAAGAAGGUUAUAGGGGAGUGUGGCGCCCGCUUGCCCGCCUUUCGUCUCGGUUGAAAAACAAAACCGUUGCUUGCUUUGUGGCCCUAUCGCUUAAGGUUCCUUUUGAGUACGAUCAUAUUAGUGAGAUGAGGCAUAUCUAGAUCCAUCUGAAUCGAACACCCAAACUCAUACCUAGAUUAUAGGAGAGAUCGACAUCUAUAUCAGGGUACACCCAUCUUUCCAAUCAAUUAAAGAAUCGGUGGGUACUAGACUAGAGCCAGGAAUCGAAAGAGAAAUAAAUCGGGAACUUCAGUACUGCAGGCUGAGGACAGUGGUUAAAGAGAGUCAGGGAAUUAUUGGUAGCAUCAAGUUUUUUCUUCUAAUUUCUACUAUUUCUUCCAGGAUCAAAAAUAUUUUACUUGGUUGAGCUUUGUCAACAGAUUGGCAGUGAAAUAGAAACUUUUCUAUGGUGAAAUAUUAGAGAAUAACUAUAUAAAAUAAAAAAUAUCUCUUUGAGAUUUCCCCGCUGGCGCUCGCUCAAUCCGUUCACCAGGGUUCCUUUCCUUUCCUUUACGGUCGAGCUACUUCUCGUUCAUCAUCAAGUGGUUUCAAUUAUAAGAAUAAUUAUACUAGUGAACUAACAAUUUGGCUUUUCAAAGUUCGUUUAAGAAAAUGCAAUGAAAUGUUUAGCAUCUAGUUUAGUGGGUGCUUGCCUAUGGUUCCAUUUAUUAAUUAAUCAAACCAUUUCCUUUUCAUGCCAUCCAUCGAAUUUAAACUUUAUCGUUAUCAUUGGCUGGAAUGAGAAUAGCUGCAGGAUCCAGAUCACCAUUUGUUGUAUCAUAGUUGGAAUGGCUAAAAUAAGACAUUCUUGAAGAGCUAUAUAUUAUUUUUGCUGAUCAAUGAUGAGCACAAUAUCAGGUAACCCUUUUGGAAUGAAAAACUAUGACUUCGUAGUUUUCGUUAGUAGAAACCUAAUUCAUUAAAAUUCCGUCCAGUAAAACGGAAGAAUUAUAAAUUUCUAAAAUAAUAGAUAGGAAUACCGCGAAUAAAGCCAUUGCGACCCCCAUAAAAGGAGUAGUCCCCCAACCCGGAGCUACUUUCCCAUAUUCCGAAUUAAUUGAUCAUAACGAUAUCGUGGAAAUGCUGCACGGACCCAUAUAUAUAGAAACAGAAAAAGAAGAACCUUGAUACUAAACCAGAUCGAACAAGGGAUCUUCUUGGAAAUGGGAAGAUCUAGGAUAGGCGGCCAACCUCCUAGAAAGAGCGAUGUGCAUAGACCGGGUGAGUAGGGAUGCAGCUCCGUGGACCGCUCGUCGGGCCUGAUAGGUGGUGGUAUCACACCCUUCUCCAAGGAACCGUACGUGAGACUCUCGCCUCAUACGGCUGCGUCCUGGAAUCUGGACAGUUUUGUCUUUUGUGCCGAAGCUAUUUAUAAAGCACAGGCCGAAACCGGUGAAAUUAAGGGGCAUUACUUGAAUGCGACUGCAGGUACAUGCGAAGAAAUGAUUAAGAGAGCUGUAUUUGCGAGGGAAUUAGGGGUUCCUAUUGUAAUGCAUGACUACUUAACCGGGGGAUUCACCGCAAAUACUAGUUUGGCUCAUUAUUGCCGCGACAACGGCCUACUUCUUCACAUUCACCGAGCAAUGCAUGCAGUUAUUGAUAGACAGAAUAAUCAUGGUAUGCAUUUCCGUGUAUUAGCUAAAGCAUUGCGUAUGUCUGGGGGAGAUCAUAUCCACGCUGGUACAGUAGUAGGUAAGUUAGAAGGGGAACGCGAAAUGACUUUAGGUUUUGUUGAUUUAUUGCGCGAUGAUUUUAUUGAAAAGAUCGUGCUCGCGGUAUCUUUUUCACUCAGGACUGGGUAUCCAUGCCACGAAGCAGCUUCUCUAAUAACCCCGUUGAAUAGGAGGGCGAAGGCUUUUUCGAACUUAUUUAUAGAGGGGGGCUUCGACCUUCUUAGGAAGAGCCGUACGAGGCUGCUCACAUACGGUUCGGGAGCCGAGCCACGAGUCCAAUUUGAAGUUGUUGAUGUUUAUAUUGGUCAAUCAUAAAAUAGAAAUAAGAAAAGAAUUUAUAUUUAUUCUGAUCAAACUUCUUCCCUAUUAACCUGGAAGUUCUUCUGAGAUACAAGGAAAUGGUUCGUUUUUUUGCUUUUUAGCAGUAAUCAGAAAGUUAGCUCUUUUUCCAGACCAGUGGCCUUGGAGUUCAUCCCCGUCCUCUGCCAGGUGAGAAGGAAGAUGAGAGAUAUGUUCCUUAGAAGUCGUCUUCAACUUUCUUCCAGGAAAGCCUUUCACCGAGUGAGCAGCAGUAAGAAAGGGUUUAGCUAAUGGAGAAAUUGACUCUUCCGAGAACCAGUAACGCGUAAACCAUGUCAAACCAAGACCGAUCAAUAUCCGAACGGAACGGAUAUACCAGUAGUAGAGUGGCUUGAAUCAAAUCGUUUGUCUAGAGGGAGUGUAGCGAUAACCAAAGCUGACUGUACUAGAAACUUUAGAUCCUGUCCGCUCAUAGCACGAUGGAAUUGCGCAAUUGUAGCCCGACGCGCUGCUUCAAUGGCUCGAUAUGAAAGACGACCAGCUCUACAACUUUUGGCCGGCAAAGAAAACCAACACUUAAGACGCUAUUGGAGACUAGCGUAGCUAUUAUUCGAAGCUUAUUAAUUUCUUUACUGCGUUCAAGGCAUGACCGCGUGAUAGGUGUCCUUUUCCCCCUACUCAAGAAGAGUUACAUCUAAGUUCCGAUCGUAAUAUGACAAACAAAUCUUACUUUUUCUUUCCCAAGCUGGCGCGGCUCGGCAAAAGUUGGUUCACUGACCAAAGACGACUUCUUUGUUCUUCAGUAGUUUCCUCCUUGACUAAGCACAUGCUUAAAGAUUUAAGUUCUAAAUAAUUCUAGGUAGCAUAUAAGAACGAGACCUAAGCUAUAAGCCCUAUAAAAGACUGUGCUGAUCGCGCAACUGAUCAUAUCCAGCGACCAAGCAGAUCAACUAGAAGGUCAUAUGUCCACCCGCCCUUUCCUUUGAGAAAUCCUAUUCCUAUCGAUUUAGCUGCAUAGGCAAUACGACAUUACUAUGAAUAAAUGACGAGCGAAUGGUGGCAGUACCAAAUGCCGAAUUAGCGGCUGUACCAAAUGAUCAAUGCCUCUGGGGUUUCCCUUCUCUUCAGCCCUUUUGCUCUUCUAACAACAAUGGUGAACGGCCAUUUGUCAAGGCCCCGGAAUCCGCUGGACAUCCCAGCGGCGGGAUUCGAUACCCGCAUCAGAUCGAAGUGCGGGCUCACUGAAAACCAAACUGUUCGUAUUUCUUUAAAACGCUGCUGCCCUAGCCGGGGGUCUGUCUAUAGAAGAAGGGAAUCCAGAGGAAGAAGCAGCUCCCCGAAGGGUUACCGAAAACUUUGUGAAAAUACUUCUACGAGAAGGUUUUAUUGAAAACGUUCGAAAACCAUAGGGAAAGUAACAAAUCUUUCUUGGCACGUGCCCCUGCUCCUGGUCUUCGAACUAGUCAUUAAUGGUCGGCAACAUAGGUACCCUUUUUCAGUAUGCGUUGCGAACACUUUCAUUUUUAGCGUCUCAUCUUCUCUGGAGAAGCUCAAAUCGGCUUGGGUGCAUCAAAACUUGCAAUACGAAGAUCCCUUUCAGAUCAGCAGGAGGAGCAGGUUGCACCACUGGUUGGGGAGGAAUUCGCGCAGCGGUUUCGAAGACUGAAGCACUUCUUGCAAGUAUCAACAGGUCAGAAUGCCAAAUAAGAGUUUCUUGUGGUCGAAAUCAAAUGGUAACCAGUUUGAGGGGUGAUUGAUCACUAAGCGACAUAUGGCACGAAAAGGAAAUCCAAUUUCGGUAAGACUUGAUCUGAAUCGUAGUUCAGAUCCAAGUCGGUUCAGUGAGGGCGCCCCGACCCAUGUUCAAUCACUGAAGUGUGGUUGAGUGAGAUGAUCCGCAACCAACAAAUGAUUUGUCAUUGUCUCUAAAUCACUGAAUGAAUUCGUUUUUUAUUUAUAUAUGAGAACUAGAGAGUUCACUAGCGCAGAAGGGGAGACCAGAAAAUGCCUUUUGUUUUCCCCCCUUCAGCGGCCCUAGCCGCCUUCGUUAACGAGCCCUCGAGCCUCCUUUGCGCCGCCUUCCUCAUAGAAGCCGUUGGGUUGACCCCGAGGGCCGAAUUCAAUGGUAGAGAAGGCUUUAAUAAGAAUUUGGCCAUGAGGAUAGGCUGGCCCUUACGUAAGGACUAUAUAACACCCAAUUUCUAUGAAAUACAAGAUGCUCAUUGAAUGAUAAGAAAUUCAUGCUCACUUAUACAACACAACUCCUGAUUUUAUUCAAGUCAUUUUUUGAGCAACUAACGCGAAAGCCGUUGCGCGUUAGCGCAUUCGGAACCACACAUUUUUAUACGAUUUUCGGAUCAUUUGAUUUUCAUUUUGAAAACUUUAAAACCUUAUCAGAGAGGGGCCACUAAGGCUGGAUGUUGGCUUCAAGAAAUCUCCUUUAGCAGAUCUCUAGACAGAUGGAUCUUAUAUGAAUCGUAUGAUGAAGUACCACAUGAGUGGAUAUAUAGGAAAGGAAUCCAAAUCUGCCGAAUCGCUCAUGUUAUGAUCUUCUACAUCCAAGGUCUCCGCGUAUCUAUAGCACUAUUCCUCAAUCCACCCGAAGUUAGAGCUAGGCUCAUCGGGCUCGCUUCUCAAUACAAUGCCUUUACCACUGAUUGUUAAUAGAGGCUUCUCAGAAGAAGAACAACAAAAAGUUGUUUCGAAAAAUUCAAGUACCGGCCACACUUCAGUAUCCAUAGAUAUAGAUAGGGCGGAGGCCUUACUACACGAGCUCGUAAGUCAAGCACGGAACGAGCCUUGUCUACGAAGCUUCGCUUCAUCAUCUUGCUUGCUUCUGGCGAAGCUUAACGCACUAUAGUCAGUGAUCUUUUCCAAGGUGUCUAGAGAAACCUGCUUUGAAAAUGUCAUUCGUACCCAAGGAAAGUUUUGGCAGGCAUUACUGUGAUCUUGAAGCCCUUGCUAGGAGCUAGUCGGUACGGCUCACUACUAAAGAAGGUUCUGGCAUGCUUCGAACCGUCUACUUUUCCUUAUCCUUAUGGGAAUUUAAGAGAGAGAUCACUCCACUGAGUAACCGAGAGAGAAGAUUCAGGCAAGUAUGCCGUGCCCUAUUUAAAAUAGAGGCAACGAACGGAGCGUCCCAUCGACUUUACUUUGGCCAAUGAGACUACUAUACGCGUUUUCCGAGGAGCAACAUGAUACUUUCUUUUCCGAGACAACAGAGUUUAGAAAGAUGGAAGCAAAUCAAAGCUAAGGGAAUCUUACUCGACCGAGAGGAAGCGAAGCGCAGACUGGAAAGCAGGAGUUCAGUGAAGUAUGCCUUAGCUAGUUCAAAUACAAAUCUCCCUUUUCUUCAUUUUUGCAUUUCUUAUUCCGCUAUUCCGAAUAUCGCAAAAAUAAAUUAGACAAUAAAUAGAGAAAAGUGCUCACCCCUCCUUUCUCAGUGAGAAGAAUAUUCCCACAUAUACAUGCGGAAGUCGGUCGAGAGCACAGAGCCGGCAGGAGUACUUUGCAAGUGCACCAAUGCCAAAGCUGGACCUUCCUGUUUUUGCUGGUAGCAACCCAGGUGUACCAGGUUUGGGUCAUCGAUAUGGAAGCAGCUAGCUCACUUUCGUUAAAAGCAAAGAUGAUUAUCCACCGUUAGUUAGUAAUGUGGGUUGGCUUGGAUUACUUAGUGUUGCGCGCCUAGGAGGGCAGCGCGCUUGGGGUGCGGAGGAGCUAUUAUCGCCCAGCUCCCUAACCUAAUGCGGCGCGGAUAAUGGUUUGGUAUGUAAGUACUAUAGUUUGGUAGGUUUGAAUUGUGUGGCCAGGGGUAUUGGUUACGAUUCCAGUGGUCUUCAGGCGAGUUGACAAAACUACCCCUAUGCGCAAAAAAUGAAGCUGAUGUGGUUGUUUUGAAUCCAAGAGUGGUGAGUCCAAUCUGUAACUCCAAUUUCCAAUACUGAAAAGCCAAGCCUACUAUUCUUUUUACCGGCGCUUCACGACUUACCACAAAACUAGAGCCGGCGGCAUAAGAUGAAGCCCUAGACAUUCUGCCUGUCUGCUUAGACUCUUUCUAAGUAAGAGAGAGCUCGUUCUAGCUUUGUCAAUCGUGGAAUGAGCAGCUCCAUCCUUACUGUCCUGGUGAAUUAAUUGGGUAAUUAAUGAGCACACUGACUCGGACGGAUUUCAAAUUCCUUUUUCCUUCCUUUUUACGCCACCUCCACCCAAUCCUUGAAGAUAUGAAGCAAUCUUUUAUUAAGACUAAGUGAAGGUUGGUAUGGCCCAAUCCGGAAUCUCGAUCAGAAACCACCAGGCCAUGUCUCCCGAUAAAAGAUGAUCCCCACAAUGGAUGUCAGGCCUUGGCUUCAUAAAAUCUGAUUGGAUCCGCACUAGAGGAUAAGAAUAUAGAUAGGCUGACUAAGAAGAUCUUAAAAUUGUCUUACCUGAAAAGAUGAGUUAUUCAAAGGAAUACCUGAAGAAUAGAAUAAACACAUGGCACAGCGGGCGGGGGACUUGAAAUCCUCUUUAGCUUUGCGCGUUGGACUCUAAAUCCUAACAGAGUGGUUCGAUUCCACCUCAGAACGACCUUCACGAAAGUGAAAAAUCUUCGUCCUACCAAAACUGGAUCUUGAAAAGUGUUCAGUGCCCAACAAGCAACGGGUUGAGCGCACUAGCGCGAAAGCGUUAGCACGCGCAUCCGUUUUCUUGCUUGCCUUGCGAAUUUGCAAAGGACUAACGAGAUUGUUUCUAUCGCCAAGAUGAGCCGCUUCGGGCUCAGGAGACUAUGGUGGUCUAUGAUCUAAUAACUGGUGGUGAGACUGCGGCUCAAGUCCACGUCGUGAGAAAGACUGAGCUAUUCUGUACUUUUCUAACCCUUUGAAGGAUGAAGAUGGCGAAGGAGUAUUGAAAAGAAUGAAUCCGGGUUUUAGCGCUCCUUGAAUCUGGCCUAUACGUAGUGUAAGCCGCCUGCGGCUGCUAAAGGCAAGGUAUGAGGGUGAAAGUAAGCGAAGCCGAAGAUGUGUAUGGUGAGUCGAUACUAAAGCAAUCCCGGAAUUUUUCAUUGGAUGGCAGUAAAGAGUCUCCUUCCCGAACCUGAUAUGCGAACAAACAGGGUUAGCGGAAACAGGAAAUGUAGUAAUUCGAGUAAGUCCAACCUUCAAGGAAGAAGGAAGGCAAUCCGUCGCUUGUUCGUUGCAAGUUCUUAUUGCUCCGGAUCCCCGUUUACUAGGAAGAUAAGAAUCAAAAGGAUCGAACUACCUACUCAUUAUUCGGAGAUGAAUCAUAGAACACUAAUCCUGCUUUUAGUACAUUGCUUUUCGUAUCAUCUAUGAGAAUUCUCGUUUCAGAAACUCCUCAAUAUUGUCGUUAUGGCAAUUCUAACCAUGUAGAUUUUAUUACCAAAUUGUAGUUUUUUCUUUUGCCAAUUCCACGCCUCUGUAAAAAAAUGCCUAAAAGGGAGGGCGAGAGUUGAAGUGGAUGGCCCUUCUAUCACCUGAAAGGCUGAAACUCAGGCAUGGCUUUACAUGGCACACAUGCUUUCUUUCAGGCUGUUUUGGCUCGCAAUAAAGCUAGGGUCCUGAUCGAGCAAGACUGCCCCUGUCGGUCCCGAUCAGUCCCAUUGACCGUGAAGCCUGCUCUCGAUUUGUAGUCCCCGUGCAUGAAGUCAGUGGAUUCGAGUGAACUGACCGUACUACAAAUCGACAUACUUGAGAAAGCUUCUUACUAAACCAAAGAAAGGGCAGCUCCAGUUGUGUUGUCGAUUCCCUUCUCCCGAGAGCUUUCACACUCUGGGAUGGGAGUCCCUUCCAAGACUUGACCAAAAGCUUAUCUCUUGAAUCCCAGAGAUAAGAGCGACAACCAGGCGUACCUCAUCUUUCCCUAUUGAAGCAAAACCAGUGGUUUCUUGGUCACGACCAGCUAAAACAAAAGUUCCAUUAAAGAGAGUUUCCACGUGGUAGUAAUAGACGACCAUUUCGCGCGGUUCGGGGGCACUUGAAUAAGCCGCCGGCCCCCGGCUGCGUCUUUACCCCUAUCCAAUUUUCCUCCCAAUCGAAUUGUUAAGUAUGUUUUUUCCCUUUCGAGAAAUGGUGGCAGUACCAAAUGCCGAAUUAGCGGCUGUACCAAAUGAUCCUGGAUAGAGUCUCGCUCAUAAAGGAAGAGGAGCGCGCUAGCGCGGCUCGCUUCGCUUUUCGACGCGGAGCUCGCUGCUGUUGAAGCCUGCUUCUGGUUCUGAAUCACAAGCAAGCCUAAUAAGAGUUUCUUUUCAUCUUACAUGAGUUGGCAAGGAGUUGUUCUUGGCAGAUCUCUCCCCUGCUUUAUUGCGAGCCUUGACAGGUUACAUUGGCAGAAAUAUGGAAACUUCUCUUGGCAGGUUAUAUGGAAACUUCUCUUGGCAUAUGACUUCCAUCUUUCUAUGGAUUUUCUGGUUCUGAAUCACAAGAACCUCAUCCCGGCAGCGAGACUGCGUUCACUCGAAACAAAAAUAGACGAGUACUAUGGUAGGAACGCUUCAACUGCAGAGCCCUGAAUGCGUUAGUGAGGUUCCCUCUAUGAGAGAAAGAGAGGUUGGUGAACCGGCGGAUCCGUUUGCAACUCCUCUGGAAAUAUUACCCGAGUGGUACUUCUUUCCCGUGUUUCAAAUACUCCGUACAGUACCUAAUAAGUUAUUGGGCAUUCUCUUAAUGGUUUCUGUGCCGACGGGCUUAUUGACAGUACCUUUUCUAGAGAAUGUCAAUAAAUUCCAAAAUCCGUUUUUCAACUGGCUCUAAUGCAAAUUUAUAAAAUAAAGAAGAGUUCCGUCAAGCGUCGUAUUAGCUUUGUUUGUUCAGAGCUAUGUACCAUGAUCUUCCCUUCCCCCGGCACAAUGUUUGAUGCUUCUUGGGGCUUCUUUGGCGACCGUGAAGUCACCGGAUGAAUUGCCGAGUAGAUAGAUCAGAUCCGGAUGCUGCAGUUGUUCCGCGGUGAUACGGACUCGACCCGCGGACGACAAUAGUCUUUCUCUUUUUUCACUCGAGCCAUACCGAUGCUUUGGACUCCUUGAUGCCAAGGGAGGUUUAUGAGUUGUAUCCUCCUUACGAGAUAGCGGAAGUAGCAUUAGCAGGAAAAGUAAGCUCCUUUUCAAGCCUUCUCUUUCGUAACCUUUGAUUAGUUCCUUGGAUGCCCUUAGCAAGAAUGAUGCAGGAGCAAUACCAAAGUGUUUCAAUGAAGGAUUACCUUGACUUAGGUCUGCCUCCGGCCUAAAUUAAAUCAACCUAAGUUAAAUGGAGUCUCUAUCGUUCUGCUGCAAGAGUGGAAUAUGAGACUUCAUACACCUUAAAGUUUAUAGAACGAAAAGAAUUUUUUUGGAGGUCCUCAUUACGCCUAGCAUUUAGUGGGCUGGAUAUUUACCUUUGAAACUAGCAAAUCAAUAAGGGUUCUAUUUGAUUAGGCACCUGAAUCGGACUGAACCUGGAUCCAAUUUUAAGGACAAAUCCUGAUGUUGGUAAAAUAUACGUGUAGAUCAAGGCCAAGGACAAUGAAGCAGCCCUCCCCUUGUAGCUGGGGUAGACUGGUAGUAGUUUCACCUAUAAAAUUUUGCAUUUGUGGAAUGUAGGUUGGAACUACCUGUUCCGGGAUUGUAGAAAGGAAGGGCUCCACAGUUGAAACUACCUGUUCUGGCAUUUCCGAAAGGAAAGGCAGGACAGCUAAAAAUAAUUCGCUGUCAGCCGCAGUAUAGAUACUUCGAGUUUUGGUAACUCUGGAAGUAGCGCUACAGAUUGAAGUUUUUCUGCACCCGAUUAUCAGUUCUCGUCGACCACCGUGACGUCACCUAGCUUUAUUCUAAAUUUAUCAUUCUAUCGGUAUGUAUAGUGUCUUUCAUCUGCUUUUUCAUUCAUUCUGCCCACAGCCCUCCACAAACUUUGGUAACUCCAACUUCAACCUCGAUUUUAUUAAUAACUACUUACGAGACCUUCUUUGGUACAUAUCCCUUAUCUCAAGUUUUUGAUCAAACCAAUCCAUUGACACAAACGUAUGCUGCCUUGCCUGAUCUUACUAGAGUGAGUUUCCUUCGCUAACGAGAUGAUGCAUAUUCUCACUCUGGACUAUUCCCAGAUUUACAACCAACAACUAGUCUUAUCUCAUGGGCGUAAAAAGACAUCAUAGAUAACAACUAAUUCUCAUAAAGUUCUUUCGGUUCAAGGGAGGGUUACUUACAAGUGGAGUCUGGCGAGGAUCUUUUGUUUCCUUAAGAACAAUCCUAAUCACAUAUCCAAACCAAAGAAGAUGAUAUUUAUUUGAUAAAGCGCAUUCUAUUAUCGUAUUGCGACACUGCUCCUAUCCCUAACGCUAGCUCUGUUGACUUCAUUCCUUGUCGGUCUAUGGCACUCAUUUAGAUCAAUAAAAGGCCGCUUUACAACCAGGGCGGGUCUCGCUGCCGGAUCAAUGCGCAGGACGCACGAUCUACAAACAACAAUAGAGAGAGCCAACCAAGAACGAAAGAACCUGGAAACAAACCCGCGAGCGAAUACCAAACAGAGUAAGAAGGAGGAAGGGCCGAAGGCGUUGGCAUCCAACAAUGUUGGAUGAGUGGAACAGAAAGGAAUGGCACGGAAAGGGUUUUAGGGAACUAGAAUAAAGAUAAUUAGUUUUCAUAUUUUUCAAUAUAAAUAUGAAUUUAUUACGAAUAGGAAUUAUGAAUUGGUACUAUUAGUAGGGAAGGAAGGGCUUCCUCCCCUCUUCUUCCAAAGCAUACGGCUUUCUAGAUGUAUAUGACGAUCUCUAGACAGAUGGAUCUUAUAUGAAUCGUAUGAUGAAGUACCACAUGAGUGGAGGGAAGGUAUAGUUGAAGGUAUGAGGAUGAGGAUUAGAAUUUCAUUCCAUUGCUUUGUUAGAGGGAGAGGAAGCUUCGAUUGGGGGAUACAAUAAUUCCAAUCUUCUGCACGAUCCUUUGGAGCCGGGGGUUGGAUAAAACACAGAACUAAAUCGACUUCCUUACCAGCAUGUCUGGGAUUCCUGUGGUUCUUACUGCCCCGGUGAAUGUGUAGGUACGAAUGACUAUCAAAGAAAGUGAGACCUGGAAUUCCUCCUUCUAUGCCUCCUCAUCUGUCUCGCCUGCAAAUCCUGCUAACAGCCUAGUCUAUUAGGAAACAGCUGAUUCAAUUGCUAAAACUGCUGUUUGAGAAGGGACUAACGGCACUGGCUCUUUCAAGUCUUUCGUGCGGGUAUACGUUGAGCUAGUCCUCUUACUCCUUUUCUUAGCUCUUUUAGAAAAAAUCUUAUUUUUCAUCGUGUCAGGUCUUGGAUGUAGACUCGGCUAUGGUAGGAUCGACCUAAUUGUGAUCAUUCUCCGCUUCGUUCGCUGAUCUCUUGCUAUUGCUGCAGUCCAUGGUCCGGUAUGGAAUGAACUUAUAAUCUGAUGAUCGAGUCGAUUCCAUGAUUAUAAGUUCAUUACCCUAGCGCCCAUUCCCAUUUUGGGCUGUUACGCCAGAAAUCCAAGGUUCCACACGAGCUCCUGUUCUGCGGCGUGGUGGCAGGACCGCUAGGGGAUUGGCUCCGGGUGUAGGUAGGGUCAAAUCCGCAGGGGUCAUGCAAAUACAUAGGCCCCUUCCCUUCUGCCGAGUUGUUUAGAAGGCGCUUUCCGUUCUACGGUCCCUCGGAGCGAAGGGUUAGGCAGGUAGUACGGGCCCUCUGACUUCCAGCUAUGCGCUGUGUGCGACUCCCGCGAAGCGAAUGAAGGGAAGCUCUUCGAGCUUUCUCCGCCUACUGACUCACUUUUAGGACAUAUUUGUACAUCUUUUGUCUCUAUCCUAGUCAACUGGUACGCAUGGCGUAAAUAAAGAUGACCCGACCACCCCUGUUCACCUUCCUCAAACCCAAUUCAAAUGAUGGCUGUGAAAGUCAGAAUCCUGAUGUCUCCAUUGACAAUAUCGACACCAAACCUUCUCGUAAUUCACAAUGCCAGAAUUUGGCUUAGCUGGAUUUGCGGAUGGCGGGGAAUUCAUUGACUAACUUGGCCUUGAUUGAUGAUCCAUCAACUCGUGGCUUUACAUUGAGAACAAAGCUUUGCUGACCCUUGCUAGGCUCAAGUCAAUUUAUCAAGUUUAGGCAUUUCGAUUUGGAUUUAAAAUAAAACCUUCAAGACAGAAAAAGACUCCCUUUUCUUCCUAUUGAUCUUGACGUCGGAAAUGGUUGGUUUUAAUGCUCGCACAGACGAAAUAGAACACCGGAUUGGACCUUAGCCGCUCGGGAAUAGAAUCCUUCACCACCCCAUUGGAAAAGUUGAUCUUCUAAAUUCAUAUGUUUAGCCUAAAGUACAUAACUUGUGUUCCUCCCUAGUUCUUGCCAUGCCACCUAAUCAAGCCUCACCUCAUUUGUAGUUAUAACAUGUUCAGCUGAAAGCAAACUAAAAAAAAAAGGCACUCCUCAGCGAGGACGCGGGUUUUAAAGUAGGUUCUACACAUUCGAGAAGACCCAGGCGGAUUGGAGUGGUUGUGCGCCGGGGCAAUCUCUGCUUGCGUUUUCCAAUAAGUUCUAUUGCUUUGACACAUUUAGUAUAUAACUGAAUAGAAAACGGAAUAAAAGCGGAUAAGAUAGCGUAUUAGGCCGACAAGUAGGAAGCAUAGCGGGGACAAGUUAUUACCGGUUUGAGGGGACAAUGGUUUUCUAGGUUGUUUCACCAAUCUGUUGAAUUGGAAUGGAGCUCACGACCGUGAAACCCCUCGUUGUUUGAUGGCACCUAUCUUGUUCCCUUCAGGGAGAAAUACUACUCACUUUUCCUCUAUCAAAAAGCCAAUACCGACGCUCGCUUAUCAGCUUACCAGUUCAAACCUCCUUGCUCUGCCUUUUAUACCAGAUGCCUCCUCUCUUAAACCAAGGCAUACUCUACUGGCUUUCCUUCUCUAAACUAUUCUUUAUCUGCUAUCUAUGCUAUUCCAUGCAUACUUGAGCUACAGCCUUUUUCAACCUUUUGAACUGAUUCCGUAUCUAGUUUGUGUCUUAUUAUUAAACUAUUUUAUUUGGUGUGGUGGAGAAGAAAAAUGAAACCGCGCGAUUGAAUCCACAAUUUGACUGAGGACAAGACGCGCUGCUAAUGCUAGUUUCAGUAAGCCUGUCUCUUCUAGAGGAAAGCAAAGCUGGUAAGAAGAGCUCCUAUUUUCAUACUCUAAGCUUGGAUAAUCCGCAUCAAGAAGAUUCGAACCCCUGCUAGAGCCAAAGUAAUGAGAAAAUGACUUGUCACUGUGAAGCUAAAGGGUAUCAUACCCUGGGGAUUACAAAAUAACGAAAAAGUAAAAGUGACCGAGAUGCGAGGGAAAAACUUUUGUUUAACAUUUCCACCUAUUUGUUCGUUUACCAGGUUCAGCACGAAAUCAUAAAUAAGCUCUACCAAGGAUUGCCAUGCAUUUGGCACUGACUUUCCCCCGCCCUUUUUCGUAACAACUCCAAAUAAAGAUGGCACCAAAACGACAGUUACCGCCAUAGACAAGGAUUCAUUUGUGAAUGAUAAAUAAAAGUUACCCAUAUCAAGACCAAAUAAUGGAUCAAUGAAAAAUUGAUCCAAGGGGCUUGAAAUUACUGGUCCGCCGCCUCCAGGGAUAACUAUAUCGCCAUUCCUCCAUUCAGCCCGUCCCUUCCUUCCCGGAAAAAGGCUCUCUUGCAUCUUUUGCUUCCCCACCCGGCCUCUAUUCUAGAUUCACCGUCUUUGGAUGCAUCAGUUUAUUAUGCUUGGAAGCUGCUCGAUCACAAAUACCUAUUGCAUUCUUAGUUGAUUCCACGAUCCCAGGGGAAUCCCAUAAAAGAAUCACUUAUCCCAUCCCAGCGAAUGAUCCUAUACAGUUCGUAUAUCUAUUUCGUCAUUCGGUCACGAAAACAGGGAUUCUGGAACGUAAAUCUGCGAUCACGAAAACAGGGAUUCUGGAAUGUAAAUCUGUGCACGAACCCAUGCAAACAGGCUUAAAAGCAGUGGAUAGCCUGGUUCCUAUAGGCCGUGGUCGACGAGAACUUAUAAUCGGGGGCAGAAAAACUUCAAUCUGUAGCGCUACUUCCAGAGUUACCAAAACUCAAAGUAUCCACAACUCGCGGAUAGAAUUGAUUGCCCGGAAUCACUUAUUGGUUGGUGGUUGGAGUGCAUUUCCUAUAUAUACCUUUUCAUUUCUUGGUUGAAUUCCACUGUUAAUCUGGUUUCGCAAUGGAGCUAGAAAGAUUGGUCAACUACUUCUUAAACCCAAGCAAGCUGGGAGCUCCUGAUAAUCCCUUUUUGGAAAGGAACGCGUCCACCGUACUGGCUAUUUUCAUUUCGUGUAUAACGUAUCUAUCGGCAUGGCGUCGGGCAGGAUGGGAGUUAAUUAGGGUCGAGGGAGCAGGAAAGAGUUUGUUAUUCGCUAUUGGCUUAGUACGGCCUAUACAUAAUAGGGCCAUGACGGUUUUGGCAAGGCCUUGAACUUCAUAUAUCCCUUUUUUACUCAAUCAAGAAUACCGAUAAAGUCAGAUUGAAUCAUUUUUUUGAGCAAGAAAACGGAUGCGCGUGCUAACACUUUCGCGCUAGUGCGCUCAAUCCGUUGCUUGUUUGGGGACAGAAAAAGUUCCGUAAUUGUCCUAUUUUUUCGUUGCAUUUCCUUGUUUUUAACGGAAGCGAGAAAUGCGUAAUUAAUAUAUAGAUGUGAUGAUUCCAUGAAUCUCUGAAAAGGUAGGGGUCAAGGACCUUAUGGGACUGCAAUCGUGCCUGCCAAUUGGGGAAGGACGUGGGCCUGGCAACUGCUCGGCUCUAGUAAGGGAAACAGGUAUGUCUCACAUCAUUGCUCGAAGACUGGAAAAACUGCAAGUUAGCUCAGUUGGUUUAAAACGGCAUAUGUGAGUGACGCGAACUAGCAUUUUGAAUUGAGAAAGCCGGUAGCCGGGGUGUUCGCCCUUGGUCUACGCGGAUCAGGGGCCCAGCUAACGCGUGAAACACUCCGCCUGGGGAGUACGGUCGCAAGACCGAAACUCAAAGGAAUUGACGGGGGCCUGCAAUACUGGACAUUUGGUGAAGGCCGGAUGGGGAUAGCGCUCACCUGAUACUUGGACUCGAAGGGGAGCAGGUCGUGUCUCAAUAUCUUCAGGAGAGGGGAGGGCGUCGCGUAGGCAUAGUUCCAAUGGUAAGCUGAUUCCAGGUACGCCCGUUCCUCUACAUCGUUUGACUAUCAAAGUCAGGUCAAAUGUAGGUGAGUGUUGCGACUCAGUAGCCUACCAUCCAUAUAUAGGGAAUCCAUACCGUCGGCUUGUCGAUCCGGGAUCGCCCAGGAUCGGGUGGAAGGUCGGAGAAGCCAGUCUUCAGUGGUGCUUCCAUGGCAGUUGGAUAGUAGAUCAGAGAGGUAACUCUCGGGUGAGGCAAGGCAUAUUGAGAUUUCAGAGCCCACUUUAUUAAAAACUUCGAUUUGAAGCCGAGAACCCACCUGAAAACAAUCAUUUGACUAAAGAUCCGGUUUUGGUAGGACGAAGAUUUUUCACUUUCGUGAAGGUCGUUCUGAGGUGGAAUCGAACCACUCUGUUAGGAUUUAGAGUCCAACGCGCAAAGCUAAAGAGGAAUCUACCAGUUUUGCAUGAAGAUUCCGGACCUACCGAAUACCUUUUUUAAAAAAGGAUGGCUCAAGUAGCCGCUCUGGAUCUUGCUCGAUCUUCCUUGGCUUCCGUGCUCUUUGACACAACCAUCUUCAGUCUACCGCUCAUGUUCGACGCUAUUAUGGACCGAGAAGAGGAAUCAACGAAAAACCCAGGAAAGAGCUGCGAAAGAAAAGCGUGACGAGCAAAGUCAAGUCUCCUCUAUCAUUAGAAAGUAGCCGAUGGGAGGUUUGAUCUUUCGCCGCUACGGUCACAUCAAUACAACCCAUUGGCAGGUUUGGUAUGUGUAUUCACGAGAGCUCUGCUUCGCUCUAUUCCACCUCCCGGGUGUAUGGAAAAAUCUUUAAAAGAAAUAAAUCAUGCGGUACUUCUUGUUUUAAUCACUCUUCCUUUCCUCCCGGAACUGGGGAAGAACCCUUCUGAAAAGGAAUGGAGGUAUAUCUUUACUCGGAGUGCAACGCAGAGAUAGAGAUCGAAGAGCCGAUAUUUCGUAUGUAGUGGCCAACUACCACACCUAAUUGGUGUUAUGAUUGGUUAAGAUGAAUGAGAAUACAACCAAAUAAAGGUUGUUAAUCCACCUUCAAUAGGGAAAGAAUGACAGGAUAUAAUAAUAUUGCGGAGUCCCUAAAUCGCAGGGAAGCACUAAGAAACAACAUGCCAUUUGAAGCACUCGGAUGCCCAACCACAGCUAUCACAAUCACCCCCCGGAAGGGGGCCUUCUUCGCCUUCCACCUAAGCUGCGCAGGAAUCGCAACCUUUCAGCAUUCAAAUUAUCCACAGAGCUGGAAAAAUCACUCUGCCCUUACAGUUCAAAGCCCUAACCAAGUUCAUUUAGAGUAUGGGGGUUCUUUACAGAGUGGCUUACUCUUCAGAAGGGCUAGACCCUGGGACUCCGCUUUGUUGCUAGCUUUUCGUUGCCUCUCUGAUCUACUAUCCAACUGCCAUGGAAGCACCACUGAAGACUGGCUUCUCCGACCUUCCACCUGAUCCUGGGCGUUCCCGGAUCGACAAGCCGACGGAAUCUACUAUGCGCGAUACGCUGACGACAUUUUGUUUGGGAUUCCCCGGGCCAAAGAGAUAUACCUGUUCCAUUCCAAGUGAAAGACCAGCAGCUUUUAUCUCUAAAUAAUAGCUAGGCAUCAGUUUGAGUUCGAGAUUGAAAAGUCCUCUCAAGUUGACUUUUUAUGGAAAAAUGGGUUCGAUUCCACCUCAGAACGACCUUCACGAAAGUGAAAAAUCUUCGUCCUACCAAAACCGGAUCUUGAAAAGUGUUCAGUGCCCAACACAUCGGUGAAACCGGGGAGAGCUGAAGAGAAGGGAAACCCCAGAGGCAUUGAUCAUUUGGUCACGUUUGUGAUCUCGUAUAUUUCGCUUCUCCGACAUCUUACUUAGUUUCCCCCUCAUCUUUUAGCAAAAAGCCACUCCACAGUAGUAAAGUCUCAUCUUUUGUAUUGGCCGAAGUGACAAUAGUCACAUUGAACCCUCGAAUAUGCUCGAAGAUCUCGAAAUGAUCUUCCAGUUCCGGGGAGAAUUCACAAAACUACUUCCUCUAAUAAAGGAGGAAAGGAGAGAUUUUCAUUAAACCAAAAGCCAACCAAAGAACCGGAACCGAUACAGUCGACUGGUCCAUAGAAUAGAGAUAAAAGCAUUACCACAGGCUCAUUCAUCGAAAAUCAUAGAGACUAUUAAGUAAAGGAUAGAGCAAUUCCUUUUUUUCAAAUAGGAAAGUGGAGGGUUCAAAAACGUUGGUUUCUUGUAGCAAACUUUUAUGUGCUUGUACCUGUCAAUGUAUUGGUAACCCGUGUCCAUGAGGGCACUUAACAAACUAAGUUUGAAUAGAUUACUAAGAAAUAACCGUAGAAGAAAAAGAAAGGAGGUUGCUACAAUUGUGGCAAACCUGGGGCACCCAUGCCGUUCAUUUACCAACGAACUCUAUUUUGCAUAUUUCAUUCUCACGUGCUUAAAUCCUACUCAAGGCUCACUACGGGUAGCGAGCAAUUAACAAAUAGAGACGAGGAUGAGGAGAAAUGACGCAUAUACGGCCGGCCUGGGUCACUCAUGAUGUUGAUAGUUCAAGUGAAUUGUCGUAGUGUAAGGAAGAUUGAUUGGUUUUCUGAUUGCUACUUGGCUGGCAUAAGAAAGAAGGCGCCCCGGCAGGAAUUCUGUAAGCUUGACUUGCGCAUAGCGUUUGGGAAUCAAAGAUAAAAAAUAACUCUAUGGGACUUACGGAUCCAGGCUAGGGUUAGCAAGGAAUUGUUUGAGCUGAUUGAGGAUAUAGAGCUGAUGGAGCUACCUUUGCAAGGGCGCAAAUUCACUUGGAACAAUGCUGUGUCAGCUGCUAAGUUAGACAGAUUCCUUUUUACAAUAGACUGGGGAUUAAAUGUUGUAUACCCAUGCUGUGGUGACUGCCCUUCCUAGAUAUGGUUCAGACCAUGUUCCUUUGUUGCUGGAGUGUGAGACUGAAUCUUGAUUUGUCUAAUAACGGAUAUUGAACGGUAUUCAGCGAGGGCUGCUGUCAUUUCAUUUCUAUCACGUAAUGCAAGAGAGCCAGCAGUAUCCAAGUCGGCAGGGCGUUGAAUAAGCACUACUCUCCUAAUUUCUUAUUUUAACCCAUCCACAAAACAAAAGUAGUAGUGAAUAUUUCAGAGUCUAUAUCUGUGGUUCCAGAAGUGGAAUUGCUAUUCUCGAUUCAGACAAGACACUGAUUUGUUUACGAACCGCUCUUCAUUUUAUAGGAUCUCCCAUUCGUAAAAAAUGCCGUUCCUUCCUUUUAAAGACCAAUCAUUUAUUUCGAUGUGAGAUAUUGGCGGCCUUAUCAUAGUAGCCCUUCUUUCUUGCCAGCGAGAUAGUUACUACGAAGUCUGCGUUGUUGCCAAGACUUACUCAACUCACGACUUUCACCUGCUUCCGGUGACAACUACCACUCUCUUAUGAAUGGCAGUCACACGCGCGCAAACGAGCACCGGCCGCAACAGCAAGGAACUAUGACCAAUAGAGUCAGACACAGCGUCAUACUUCUUUAUCUUGUAAUGGUUGAGGAGUUUCUUUCUCAGAGGGUGCGGGACGCUUGCAGAGUCCGUGCCUUCCAUACCACCACAGGUCAUUCUUGGUCCUCGCGUGGUUGAAGGAGAUGCUGCUGCUGGAUGGAAUGCUUCCGUUCCGGGGCGCCAUGAUCCUUCUAUCAGGAAUAAUCGAGGGCACUGACUGACUGCAUCAAUCAUAGGUCCAGCCUACUACGAGGAUCGCGUAUCCCGUACAUCGUCUUUCUCCCUCCUGGGUUCCCGUGGUUCCUAUGCCGCCGCGUUUCCCGGUCCUUAGCGGACUUGGGAAACGGAAGAGAUCAAAAGCGAGAAGUGACUAGUUGGAAGUUCCUGAAAGCAGGGAAAGGCUCUCCGCCUUUACCUGCCCGUUCUUUCCUUGCCACCAUUGUGGUGCCGGUCUCACCCUCUCUGCUGAGGAAUCAAAGAUCCUCUUCUUCCUGUGUACCUCUAGUGACUCGACUCGUGUCUUGGAGGUCCAAAUGUUCCUAUUUGCCUUUGCAUUUUUGUGCCUCUAGAAGCCUAAAAAAGAAGCGAAAUAGAAAGAUCAAAAAUCAGUUACGAAAUGCAGUAAUUCUUCUUUUUUCUUCUAAUUGAUUGCAAUUAAACUCGGCUCAAUCUCUUUUUUCAGAUUGAGCCGAGUUUAAAUAGAUCUUUCUAUACUAUUAGGGAGUAGAGUGUAUGAAUCUCGUAGAUGGAACACCAAUUUCUUAUUCCCCCUUUUUUCCUCAAAAUUUCUAACUGGUAAAGCUUCUUGUUCCUCAUCAGCUGUUUGAUGGUGUACUCGACCAUAUGACUGAACAACAUGAUCUUGAGCUAUCAUUUGUUCAAUUUGGUCGAUCUGAUACUUAGUUAACUCAUUCAUCUUGAUGUUCCCACUGAUACCUAAUCGAUAACGAAGCUGAAUGGCUUUUUUCGGUCCAAUUCCAUCCAUUUUUGUUGAGGCAAUUCUGACUUGUUCAUCGGCAAGUGAUCUAGCUCCUGAGAUAUAUGACAUUCUUUAUCCUUCUCUUUUCCUGGUCUUCUCGGCUAGAAUCUACAAUGGACUACAGGUCCUUAUGAUGAGUGAGUGGGGGUUGCUCAAUUGACUACACUAUUGGUGCACUCUAUGCUAUCUCCUUUAUGAAUUUCUUCCUUUCUGAAAGUCACCACAGUGGAGAGUUACUAUCGACUUUCUCCAUGUGCCACUUCUAUAUGGGAAUGUGCUAGUAUGGAAAGCCGACGUUGAAGGUUCUAAUUGCUUUUCUGUUGCACUAUUGCUUAACUCCUCCUGUGGAUCUUCCUCAUCCUCACCAACCUCUUCUUCUUAACCCAAUAGCAUGUUUAGUUUGAUUUUACACUGAUGCCCAGGGUAGUAUUUAUCUCCACACUUCCCCCAAAAUCCACACUCCAAUGUGUGACCCCUUUAGUAGAGAGAAAAAGCAGGCGCACUUCGCACUUCAGAAAAUCGUAUAAAAAUGUGUGGUUCCAAAUGCGCUAACGCGCAACGGCUUUCGCGCUAGUUGCUCAAAAAAUCGUAUAAAAAUAAAGCAAUCAAAAGGUGAAGGCAGGGCAGUGGGCGUGGGACUGUAAAUCCUUUUUCAUUCGCUGGGCCUGGGCCCUUUGCACUCUAAAUCCAAACAGAGUGAGUGGUUCGAUUCCACUUUAGAACGAAAGCAAAUGCAAGUGAAACGAGACGAGAAUCAAAGAUUUUUCAGUGCCGCUAAAACCCCUAGUCACUGAUUACAUGCAUGAGUAUUGGCUUUGGCAAGCAAGUCAAGGAAAGAAGAGGAAAUUAAAAGUUCCCUGAGUUUGAUGGUACUAAGUUAGAUGUCACAAAUAGGAAUUCAUGGCCUACUGUAUGCAUGUAUGUGCUAAAAGAAGAUCAAAAACCGGGGAAUCACUUAAUAAGAAAUUCUAACUAUUGCUCGUAUGGCUAUGUUCUAUUUGUAGGAAUAAAAUAAGGAUUAGGCUGUGGAGAGAUGGCUGAGUGGUUGAUAGCUCCGGUCUUGAAAACCGGUAUAGUUCUACGAACUAUCGAGGGUUCGAAUCCCUCUCUCUCCUUUUGCUUUCCUCUCUCUUUUCUUUUGCGUAUUGAAUACGUUUGUUUCUUUAUUUGUUUUUUUUGUUCUGUCCCCUUAUCUUUCUUUCAUAGCCGCACCGGAUUGAGCUGUCCAAGAAGCUAGGUCUUUUUCGGGGAAAUAAGUUGUUUCUGCUACUGAACCAACUAGUCAAACUAGGCAUUCUCUUUCUUCUUUGAAUUCCGAUCGUCAUCCAACAUACCAGUAACAUGUGAUGAGAAAGUAAAUGAAGUAUAUUCUCAAAUCAAGUCAACAAGUCAAUAUGUAUGUGUCUCUAUUCUAAGAAAAAGAAGAAGGCACCACCACCGAGAACUGACUACACAACCGAGAAGCGUGUCAGCCUUCCUUAUUCAAUCAACUCUAAUUUAGUACUAGUACGAUCAAGAAAAGUAGGAAGUUGAACCAGACUUUAACAGUUUUUUAAGCAGGCAUUUUCAUGGUUCUCGUCAUAUAAACCAGUCUGUACUGCAUGAUUUCAUGCAUUAAUCUAUUGCUGAAGGAACCUUUCGUCAGUUUUCUUAAACAAAAGGUACCCGGUGUUCUAGCGGGGAAAUUCCAAUGAAUUUCGAUCACAAUCAUGUGGUAAUAAUGGGUUUGAAUCAGAGAGACUCGAUCUGGAAACUCCUCAAUGAUUAUAACGUGAACUCGUUGAAGAGGAGACAAGCAUAAAUAGACGCUUUUUUUGAACCAUUUGAGAGGGCGCAGUCCCCUACCUUACCGCUUGGCCAUGCCGCCAAAUCCGAUCUAAAAUCGAGAAAAAUCCUGGAAUGUGGACUUCAUUGACCAGCCGCCUCUUAGUCCACACCCAACUUGGAAGUGUUAUUGAUUCGUUAGUCACCUUCGCCAUCCUAAUACCCGAAACUGUAGUGUUCUAAGUUGGUUAAAGCCGUCCAUGGAAGAUUGGAUUUGCUGAUAAGGAGGUCGCACCAAUAUUGUCACACCACAAGGCCCUCUGUCCCACACAUCUAUCAAGAAGCAAGUGUAGUUCACCGGUUCCACCAAAUGCUCCUAUCUCUCGGCAAAGAUUGUGUGAGUGUGCAGUUAUGCUUCGGAUGCUUCGCCAUGGAAUAGAUCGACUCAGUUCCCCUUCUUUUCCGGUGCACUCGCUUUGCAUCUCCGACACACAAGGAAGGACGCGGUGGGAAGAAAGCUGCCCUAGCCUCUGUCCGGUCGAUCAUUCCGCUGGCAUCUUGCAUUCACGCCUCCGUUUGACUGCCGCUCGGGAAUGUAGUUGUAGAUACGUGAGUCUUAGUGGGUCGUUGGCGACUUAAGGAAGCUGACUCUCGUUCUUUGGACCCCACAGACCGAAAAGAAAAAAAGUUCGUCACUUUUUCUCUUUCACAUACACCGGGAGAAAGGGUGACGAUAGCAAUCCUCUUUGCCUCCCCGGCCGGGGAGCCCCCAGGACAAGGGGGGAACAUCCACAAUAGAUCCAGUGCGCUUGACAAGAUCUCCUUCUUUAAUAGCGGUAUCACUACCAAAGACAACAAUACCUACAUUCUCAUUCUCAAGAUUCAAGGCUAUUCCUUUCACACCGCUGGCAAAUUCCACCAUUUCUCCAGCUUGAAUCUCGUUCAAUCCAUAAACACGUGCAAUCCCAUCUCCAACUGAGACCAUUCUCCCCAUUUUUCAGACAUUUUCCUAUCAGUCUCACCGUCAAGAUCGCAGUUCACAAAGCACACCAACUAUAUGUGACCCCUAUACAGGAGCUAUGCCCAAAGAUGUCUGAAGCUUCGAAGAUGGUAGAAAGAUUUAUGCUGAACAGCCCAUAUCAAAAAGGCAAGGGAUUGGGCAAGAACUAGCAAGGAAUAUUCGCCCCUUGCUGCUUGCUGGUUUUUCCAUCAUCCAAUCCACAACAAAUCGAAUGAAACCGCUUCGGAUUUCUUUUGAUGUCCAAAGCCACACCUUCUUUCUCACAUAGGAACAGAGGUCAGGAGCUGCCGGCAGGGCGCUGCUUUUAAUCUGACUGAUGGCUCGCCGUGCCUAAGGGUAUAUCGGUUGAAGUAGAUUCUUCUUUUCUCUCAAAAAACCCCUUCCGAUGGUCAGAGGCGAAUUGAAAGCUAAGCAGUGGUAAUUAAGACCCCCGGGGGAAAAUAGGGAUGUCUCCUACGUUACCCAUAAUAUGUAGAAGUAUCGACAUAAUUUCAUAGAGUCAUUCGAUCUGAAUGCUACAUGAAGAACAUAAGCCAGAUGACGGACUCAUAAGAGGGGGAGCAGUAGCAAAAAUGAGAUCUUUCGUCUAGACAGAAGAGAGAUCCUUUCCUUCCUUUCUAUAGGAAAUGACUGAUGUUGCUAAGUUUUAGGAGUCUUUUCAAUCCAUCUUACUUUGAAUCCGGGCUCGCCUUCACUCAGUCAAGGGGUUGCCCUUUACCUCGUUCCGUGGUCCUUUAUCCCCUCCUUGCUGGCUUGCUUGAUAGGCUGGCGCAUAACCCCCAUUUCUUGACCCAGAUUCACAACCGAACCUAUUUCUCAUCUUCAUCCCGACCUAUCUAUAUGUGACACUCCGCCCGAAUGGCCUUUAUGCCCGAGAGUGAAAGGUGCUCCAGCUUGCUUGGUGAACACUGACUUACUGAAGACCGGAAUGGACCAAUGUGACAUUGACUCAAGAAGGUAGACAAAACAACCUACCUUUCACUAAGAAGCGGUACCAACCCUGGACUUCCCGGAAUCAAUGAAGGAGUUCAUUCAGCACUGAGCCGAGCGAGCGUAGAUUCAAUAUGUUGAUUGUACCGAACGAAGGAUUUGACUUAUCACGAAAGCCACAUUCGUUUCGUUUGAGGAAGUUACACGCCCUGUUCCCUAUAAAUAAGGAGAUUCAUUCUUUUUUUUUCAGAAAUCCCCUGUUCCUUGACUUCUUUGCUUUUUAUUUUGGAAGGGCUUCGUUUCCAGGCAGGUAACGUAUAGAAGACUGAAAGUUGAAGUUCCGGUGGGUCUCGUCAAUCGAUUACCUUCCUUAUUGCGCCUGCCCCUAAUUGGAGUUGAGUUGGCUUUGAUCGAUUGCUUGGUGUCACGCUAUUUACUACUACGGUUAGCUAAAUUCGUUUAUGACACCGAUUCAUUUCUAGUUGAUCCAUUCGUAAGGUCGUUCAGAAGCAAAGGCCUACUACUAUACUAUACAAGUAAGCUGGUCAAGUCAAAAGAAGGUUCACAUAACCAGGUGGCUGACGCAUAUAAACAUCUUCUUCAAGAACUCCAUGAAGAAAAGCAUUUUGAACAUCUAGCUGUCGCAAAGGACCCUGAAAAAGUUGUUGCAGCAACUCCAACGAGAAAGAAUAAGCACAAAAAAGUAGUAAGAGAUCGUUUGGGGACGAGCCUCCUACUCCUAGAAUGUAUUUUCCGACGAGUUUAGAUAUACUCUUGGAGAGACAAUAACAUGAUCACUUUUGGACACAAUUAUGUGUACUUCUGCUCUCCUUGGAUUAGAGAGACUGAUCAGCUAGCGUUAGGUGAGAUUCCUUUGAUUGAAUUUAGCUUGCCAUCAUGAUACGCUGCAGUUAGAUUAGGAACCGUAUAGGCGGCCUCAUAUACCCGGAAGCUUUGGAUUCACGGAUCCGAAACAAGACAUUUCAUGCCCAAGUACUCAUCACUUCUUGGGUCGUAAUUACUAUCUUGCUAGGUUCAGUUAUCAUAGCUGUUCGUAAUCCACAAACCAUCCCGACCGACGGUCAGAAUUUCUUCGAAUAUGUCCUUGAGUUCAUUCCACUAAAAUACCUUUGAAUAGCGCUGAAGAUAUCAUUGCGAACCGCGUCCAGUAGACGACCUCUUCCGCUCAUCCCCUUCGUCAGCUCUUUGAUAGGGAUACUAUAACAUAGGUCCCUAAACUUGGAAUGGAUGGCAAAAGGGAAGGAGGUCCUCAUACGGAGUCGCACACUUGAGUAGUGCGGGAGACUGGAGAAUGGGUCGAGUAAACUCAGGUUUUCACUUUUCAGUGAGUGAAAGAUUUGUAUCCGGGUCUACGUUCAAAGCUUCUACUGCACCUCUCGCCACUACUCCCUGUGUCAUCGGUUUGAUGCUCGGUCCCAAGCAUGAGUUUUGAAUUUGGCUUGGGACACCCCCUAGCGAAAUGACCGAGCCCACCACGAGAAAACCUACUGGGUUUUAGGGCGUUUUGACUGGUGGCGAAACCAAGUGAAUGAACUACUUAGCUCAUGUUCUUCAAAGUUUCGGGAUACUAGCCACCCCUCAUUGAGUAUGAUCUGAGAACCCGAUUACAUUAGCGCGAUAGUAUGUAGGGAUACAUUACUCCGACUAGGAUUCCGGGGUGGAUUGUUGGGAAACAACACUUCCAUCAGACAGAAGAGAGAUCCAUUCCUUCCUUUCUAUAGGAAAUGACUGAUGUUGUGUCACGCCCGGAAUUUCUAUCCAAAAUUCCAAACGCUUACAUGUGUGUGAACCCUCGUCCAGGAAUCAGCCGAGGCACACCAUAACAAAUUGAUAAUAGAGUACAAUUAUUACUCUAAUUAAUAAGCGAAUAAAAUGUCAUUACAGAGGUAGAUAGUUCCUCUCAAUCAAUAAAGAUCUAAGCAGCGGAAAAUAAAAUAAACGGCGCAGACGACUCCACUCCACAGGCAGCUUGACCAGGGCUACACCUAAUCCUCCACACCAUCAGCUUCACUGUAGAACUCUUCCUCUGAUGAAUGAUUGCAAGGUGAUUAUAUGACAUACUUAGCAAGUCACGCAGCAAAUAUGCAAGUGCACAGGAUAACAAAGGAUGGCAUAGUAUAAGGCUCAUUUGCAAAAACAGCAUUUAGCAAACAUUUGAGAAUUAUAAAACAGUUAAGUGAUAAUUAAACAAUAUUAAUCCAACUCUAUACAACAUACCCUGUUGCAUAGGCCCAACCAUUCUGAACAACCAUACCCGGCUGUACAGAUCUAUCUCCAAACCAGGAAUAUACCAUUCCAAACCAGGAGCUAACCAAAUUAUUAUCAGUUAUAACAUCUUCUAUUAUGAUGAGAGGUGUGAGACUAAUCACGAAAGACAUUGUUAGACCCGCCCAUAACCGCGGGCACGGCUAUUCGAAUAGUUUUACUCUGAUCAGAGGUGUACCACUGUACCCACAAGACACAGCUCCACAUCAUGUCACCAUGUGCCUCAAUACCACCACGGUACCUCGGAAAGGAGCUGUGACAGUACCUCUCGUACAACACAAUCCACCACAGUGCACCAUUCCUGGAUCAUAAUCACCCCCUUAUAAACAAGGCAUGGACUCCCCAGCGACCCCCGUGGGCUUAUCUCCGCCACUUCUCAGUCUGGUGCCCCGCAAUGAACCAUGGUAUACAAAAGAUAAAGCCGUUGCCCACGCUGGCUUGUGGUUGGCACGGUUAAUGUUUCACAACCGAAACUCGUGAACCGGUCCUUAAUUGUCAUGAGCACGACCAUCAAAACCAUGUGCUCACAACCCACCAUUAUCAGGUUUUAGUUGGCAAGUAAUUAAUUAACAAAUCAUGAUUGACCAUCGUGAACUAUCAUUAAGCCAUCAUUAAAUAAUAGUGAUUCAUAAGUUAUCCCAAUAGUGUGCUAAUGUUUCUAAGCAUGGCUAAGCAAUUAUAUCUAAUAUCUAGUUGAAGCAAUAUAUAUAGCCCAACUAGUCAAGUUAUAAUAACCCAGGGUAUCAAGGAAUAAAGUAAUCAAGGACAAAAAGGGCUAUAGCAAACAAUAGGUUAAUUCCACCCAAUGACAUUCGAAAAUAAAUGCAAUAGUUGAAUAGAAAUAGUAGCUUUAAACGGGAUCAACAUGCUCAAAGGGUUGUUUGGGAUCUGUGUGACUUGCCUUGCUGGCCUUGGAACUCUUCAAAUUCUUCUCGUGCGAAAACGGACUCUCCGGAAACGUCGGAAUCUAAACAGAAAAGAGCAAAAAUACCAAAACAGCACAUAAACAAGCAUGAACAGUACAUGUGGAUAUUUUUAACAUGUAGAUCUCAAUUUUAGAAAAAUUUAGAGACUUGAACCAACUAAAUCCGAGCUAGGAUGAAUUAGUUAUGAAUUUUCAAAGAUUAAAUCGGAUUAAAUCACUUAUAUGGAUUUUAAUUGAAUUAUGACGCAAUAAUGAAUUAUUUUUGAAAAGGAAAAAGGAAUUAUUGCGUCAGCGGCUAGGGUUUGCGGUGGACCGGGCGCACGGCGACGGUUCACGGGAACGGACGGCCGAGAUCGAUCCAUCCAAAACGGACGGCCGAGAUCGAACGGUCCACGACCGGCUCACGGCAGACGGCCACGAUGACGUCAGCGGUGACGUCAUCGAUGACGUCAGCACCGGCGGCGGCUCGGCGGCUCGGGCGCGCAAGCUUGCCGGCGAACGACGGCGCUUUGGCACGAACGAAGGACACCAGCACGAAGCGGGCGACGCGGCGAACUCACCGGUGACCAAUGCAACAGCGGAAGAUCAACAGACGGCGACGGCGACGAGGUUGAAGCGGCGGAGAAGAUCGGGUUGACGGCGGCGACGGUGCUCCGGUGGUCAACAGCGACUGCGAAGGGGAGGACGAGGACGGCGAUGCGAUGGCGACCACGAAGACGACCUUCCCGAGCGACGGCGACGACUGGAACGGUGGCAGCGCACGGCUGGAGCGACGUCGACGACGGCGGCGCAAGGUCUCACGGCGCUAGGGCUCUUCCGACGGCGAGAGACGAAAGCAAGGGUGGCGGCGGGUAGAGGAGACACCGGGGAUCCUUUUAAAGGGGCUAGGAGGCGGCGACGAAGGCCCACGGCGACCGGUGACGCGAAGGAAAGAUCGGGGCUCGGAGAGAGAGAGACCGAUCCGAAUCGACCUCGAAUCAAACACUUUCGAAGCGAUUUUAGCCGAUGAUUCCAAAAGAGAUAAGGUAGAGGAGAUCCCGAAGAUUGUUUCCCCUCAAACGAUUUCACCGGAUCGGGAAAGGAGCGGCCGGAUUUGGAAGGAAACGGCGGCGGCGCGGCGCUAGGGUUUCGGGCGGCGGCGACGCGAGGAAGACGACAGGUCCGACAGGUGGGACCCACCUGUCAGCGACCGAACGCGCGCGCGCGGCGCGGCGGACUGGGCCGACUUGGGCCAGGGAGAGAGAGAGAGGGUUUUGGGCCGACUUUCGGCCCAAAGCCAAAAGAGACUUUUAAAAACCUUUUCAAUUUAAAUUAUUCAUGAAAUGCAAUUCUAUUUAUUAAAAAUACUUCCUUAGUUCAAAUAAAUCCCAGAAAAAUCUAGGAAUUAUAGAAUUAAGCAAAGUAUUUAAUGAAAUUUUAUCUGACCCCAUUUUAUAUUAGAAUUUAUUAAUUAAAAUUAGAUCUUCUCUUCUAGGCUUUUUAAAAUAAAUUCUAAUAAUUCCAUUUAAACAACAAUUUAUAAGAUUUUUAGGGUGUGACAUGUUGCUAAGUCACCUUCCGCUGCUCUUGCGUCAUCCCUUUUCCAAUUCUUUUUGUAUGGCUCGGUUGCAUCCGAUUGAUCGAUCCCUAGUCACUGAUUACAUGCAUGAGUAUUGGCUUUGGCAAGCAAGUCAAGGAAAGAAGAGGAAAUAGUACUCGGGCAAUGCCUAUUGCUCUGUUGCCUAGAAGUCUCAUACAUAUGUAUAGAAUCUCAUCCAUAUUAUCUUAUAGGAAGAGUAGUAACUACCUGCAUUCGUAUAUUCCAAAAAAGAAGAAAGAAUUCAACCUAGUAGAGUAUAACUUUGCUUGCCUAGCCUUUCAAAGCUAUUGUUGAUUCUAGAAGGACCUUAGAGUAUUGUCACUGUUCCACUGGAAUAAAAAUAUUUGUCAGUUGGCUCUCCCCGAUCUGGAACAGUCCCGAAUACGUAAAAGUCUUUGCCCAAAAGGAUAAUCCUAGAAUCCCAUCUGUCUUCCGGAUUUGGAGAAGUGCCAAUUUUCAAGAAAGAACGCGAAUCUUAUGAUAUGGUGGGAAUCUCUUAUGAUAAUCAUCCACGCCUUAAACGUAUCCUAAUGCCUGAAAGUUGGAUAGGCUGGCCCUUACGUAAGGACUAUAUAACCCGGCAACCCCUGUCAAUGUAUGUUUGAUUUGGGAGGCUACCAAUUCUGGAAUUUCUUCUCGAGACAUCCCCGUCAGUCAACUUCUCUUCGGGAUGGGUCGUUGGUUUUUGUGGAGAUAAUGUGUCAGCCAUGGUAGAAGUAGCUCCCAUUUAUUGGCUGAUGCUGUGACCUAUGAGAGCCCAAAUUAUUUAUCAGAUGCGGAAAGCACAAAUUCUUUAGGACCAGUAACUGAUUUGGCGAGCCCCUUGGAUCACAUCAUUGUGAGCACAAAUUGCCAAAGCAAAAAGCACCUAAGUCCUUAAGGAUCACAACGGGCCACGCUGGUAAUAAUAUUGGGCUGAAGUACUGUACAGGCCUAGGCCCAUUAGCACUCCCGAUACCCUAACAAAACACCGAAGUCCAAGCGAUGCUUCGUCUUCCCCGCUGAAACUCUCGCCAUUUCCCCACUCCUUGCUACAGUACAAAGCCAUGCCGACGAAGCUAGGGUUCAUCAAUCCACCCCAAUCCGUUCUCAAAAAUCCACGAAACUUCUCUGUGCAUCCACUGCACCGAUUCCCCAUCCCCCUCCAGCUAUAUCUCAGACCGAAUCAGACCAUUCAGCUCGCAUCCAUGGCGGAAGAAAGAGAAAGUUUCGAGAGUCAGUGGGCGCCCUCCGACGUGAUAGAGGAGAAUCUGAAAGAAAUGGUGGUGCAUGGCAUUCUUCCGGCGAAGGAGAUCAUCGGGUGGCGACCGGCGUUCGGCGAAGCGUUCCCAACCCCUGAUACACACAAGGUCGUGGUAUUUUCUCACUUCUUUUAUGGCGGAUUUUCUCUUCCAACUUCAAGAUUCUUCCGAGGAAUUCUGAACUUUUAUGGAAUUAGCCUGCAUCAUCUGAAUCCGAACUCCAUAGUGCAUAUUGCCAAUUUCAUUCAAGCCUACGAAGCUUUUCUGGGCAUUAGGCCUCAUUUUGCUUUGUUCUGCCGCAUCUUCUUCCUCAAGCCCCAGCCGAACAAGAGCAAACCAUGUGUUGUUGGGGGCGCCGGUUUCCAACUCAAAGGAACACUGAGCCAAAAAUAUUUCUCCAUGCCCUUCAAGACCUCAAACAAAGGCUGGCACGCAAAUUGGUUUUACGUUCAAAAUCCUGAAACAGCACUCCCCGAGUACUCCUGUCUCCCUCCAGUCUAUCAGGAUACAUGGAAUUCAUUGCCUAUGGGAGAUGAAGCUGCUCAGGCAGUAGAACUGAUGGAGCGCAUGCUAAAGCUGAAGGAACAAGGUUUGCAGGGAGAACAGAUCACUCGGCACUUCAUCAAAAGUCGGUUAGCUCCAAUCAAAGAGAGAUCCCGCAUGGCUUUCGAGUUUGACGGCAAACAUGAUCCAAAUCGCGAAGGUCCAGACUCUCUUGACUUUAAGGUCAUGAAGGAAAGGAUGUACAAGAUCUUCUCAAAUACUAUCGUCGUCAGCUAUUCGCAUCUGCUGCCUGUUAUGCCAUACAAUGCAUUCAAUCCCCCUCCACCGGUAUGUGUUCAAACACUUCAACCUUCCUCAAAGUAUAAUCUUGUCUUCUUGUUGAAUCAGUUGACAGUAGAAGAUAUUAUGUCUAGGAAUUCGCUUUGAUGAAGUCGGACCCCCCAAUCGCUCAGCGCCGAUCACCUCGCCAUCAAACUGGUCAGGGGAGCGGGGGACCAAAGAUCCGGUCCGAAGCCCAGCCCAACACCUCUAAUCCAGCCGGCCAAUCGGAUUCCCGCAAGAGGAAGUUAGUGCUGAGUGACGACGAAGGCGACGACGCUAAAAAGCCUGGAGAUAGAGAAACAACUAGAAAACUACCGAAGCAGGCUAUUCCAAAGAAGAAAACAUCUAGUCGUCCUAUGCCGAAGAUCAGGAAGUCUUCCAGGUACAAAUCAUAUAACGAUCUUCCUUGUAUUGAUGCGCACCCAGUAUGGAAAUAAUACUGAUAACAAAAACUUGUAGGAAACCAUUUGAUAUAGAUCCUUCUGGAAAAGACUCUGAUCCGGCUAACAUGGAGACGAGUUCUUCCAAAGAAACCGGGCCGACUGCUAAAGAUCAUCCGAGUGAUAAUUAGCCAGCAACCGAUAAUGUAGGAUCCGGUGAUCAUCCCCCGACUGGAAACCAGUCGGCCGAAGCCGAAGCCGGAGUUAAUUAGGAGCCCCUGACUGGAAAUCAGUCAGACAUAGGGCCAACCCAAGAGAUUCCAGAAGUUAAGGCUCAGUCAGACAGCCCUCGCGGACAAGAUGCCAGCAAUGACCCGAGGCCUGGAUCUCCCGCUAAAGCAUAAGAAUCGACUCGUCCUCGUCCGGGAAUCAUCACAGGUAAACACUUUGCCUGAAACCAUGUUGAUCCAAGCGACUUUAAUUGAUUGUCUGACCUUUAUCCAUGGAUGCAUUAGGACCGAUGAUUGGUGAUGAAGAGGAAAUUCUCCGGAUACGAGCGGCUGAAGACUCGCGCCCUCCCAUUCUGGUCAAGUGGUGGGAUGACGACUUGCGACCUCAAGGAAUUGUGAUAAACCGGCAAAAAGAGGACGAAGAGGUGUGCCAACUGAAAAAGGCACUCGGUCAGGUGACUCGCAUUGUAAACGUAAGUUCCUUGACGCCGGACCUCAACCAUCUUGUUCGCCACCUAGCUCGAGCGCUAAUAAAACCAUUUUGCAAAGGAUUCACCUUAGGAAUAAAGCGAAGACCGCAACCCUAGAGCAGUUAGUUCCUCAUCUUGGAAACCUUGAAGCUGUCAGGGAUCAACUGCACGAGGCGAAAGAGCUUGCCAAGAAAACCGAGCACGAUCUAAGAGAUCGGAUUGCCCAGCUCCAGGAGUCUAACUUUGAACUAAGUGGCUCAUCAAAAGGUACACACAAAAUCUGUCCGACUAACUUGUGCUGUUGUCUUUGUAACUUUAAUUAACCGGAGUCAGUGCAGUACAAGCCGCCAAGAUGUCUCAAUUGGAGAAACAGAUUCAAACUCUAGAAAGCGAUAAAGCGGAGCUGGCAAGACAGAGGGACUCGGCUCUGAAGGAAGUUGAAGGUACCUUCAAUUGAUACUCCGAAAGCCAUUGCCUUCUGUACGUUGACUCAUUAAUAUGGAUCUGUUGGUGCAGACCGCAAGAUCAAGUCGCAAGCUCAAUUCGACGUCCUGGUUGGCAAAAUCAAAAGGCUUGAAGGGGCUAGGGAUGAAGUUGCUAACGCCGCUACUCCACUCGUCCAAGCAAUGUUCUUCAAUAACAAUGGUCCGAGUACAUUCGACGCUUCCGAGAUCUUCGACAAGCUGAGAGUUGCUCCGGAUACAUAUUUCAAGAACAUCAAAGAAGCUGGAAGUAUGGGAGCAAGUCUAGCGUUGGCGAUGACCAAAUCCCUUUACCCGAAAAUCGACAUUGAUGCCGUUGAUGGCUUUGUGAACGGGACGAGCGAAGAGGCUGCUCUCGAUCUUAUCAACGAUGCGCAGAAAGCCGCCGACAAGAUAGCAGUUGAUGUAGUAGAGAGAGUCCAGGACACCGAUCUUCAACCGACUGGUCCUGAUGGCUCUGAUGAUGAAAAGACUGAUACUGAUUGAUGUAACAAUGAUUUUGAUGAUUGAUGAUGGAGGCACAAUUUGUACAAUACUGAUAAAUUUAUGCUGUGCUUGGUGUUUCAUACUUAGCUUCUGAUUUCUUAAAAGCCUUUGUCAAGCCUUAUUGAGCCUAAAACCCGCAAAAGCUGUUAAAAAACUUUCAGUCCUCAUGGACUAAGUCGAAAAAUCAAGCAAGGCAAUGAUAAAUCAAGUAAGCAAAUUGAAUUGAUAAAAAUCACACUCCAUUAUUAUUAUAAUAGCCCCCGACUGAUAACUUCAAAGGGAAGCUUGAUGUUGUCAGUCAAGACAGGGAGAUACAGAAGCAAACUUAAGCAUAAAAACGACGAAGAUGUUCGAUAUUCCAAGAGUUGUCGAUAGGUGUACCGUCUUCACACUUGAGUCGAUAGGAACCUGGCCGAGUGACUUCAGAGAUUAUAAAUGGCCCUUCCCAUAAAGGGGAUAACUUGUGCCGAUCCCGUGUAGUUUGAAUUUUCCUCAAAACCAGGUCGCCGACUAAGAAAGCACGCGAUCAGACGUUACGAUUGUGAUAACGACGCAACCCUUGCAAGUAUCGGGCCGACUGAAUUAAGGCUGCUUCGCGGGCCUCUUCCAGUCGGUGUAGGUCAACCACUCGGUCUUCUCCGUAGCGCACUUCGCGAAAAUUGCGAAAACGCAAAGAUUCAAAUUCUACUUCACUAGGCAACAUUGCUUCUGCUCCAUAAACUAGGAAGAAUGGCGACUGGCCCGUAGCCCGACUGGGGGUGGUGCGCAAGGACCAAAGUACGGAUGGCAGCUGUUCCACCUAUUUGCUGGCGUAGGGAUUCAGUCGGUCAAAAACUCGUGCCUUUAUUCCUUGGAGUACCAUGCCGUUGGCUCGUUCGACUUGCCCAUUGCUCAUGGGAUGCGCUACGGAGGCAUAGCAAAUUUUGAUACCGAAGUCUUCACAAAAAUCUUUAAAUACUCCGCCGGUGAAUUGAGUGCCAUUAUCAGUGAUGAUCCGAUUAGGUACUCCAAACCGAUGCACAAUGUUGAUGAAAAAAUCUCUAGCUUUAUCUGCCGUGAUUGUGAUGACCGGUUUAGCUUCAAUCCACUUGGAGAAUUUGUCGAUGGCCACAAAGAGAUGUGUAUAACCGCUGACUGCCUUUUUGAACGGGCCGACCAUGUCAAGCCCCCAAACCGCAAACGGCCAGGACAGUGGGAUGGUUUGCAACUCUUGGGCUGGCAGAUGAGUUUGUCUGGCGAAAAAUUGACAACCUUCACACGUCCGCACAAUCUUGUCGGCAUAGGACACAGCAGUGGGCCAGAAAAAAUCUUGCUAGUAAGCCUUGCCGACAAUGGUGCGUGCAGCAGCGUGGUUGCCAUAGAUACCAAAAUGUAUGUCCUUCAGCAAUUGUCUCCCUUCUUCUAAGGAUACGCAACGUUGCAGAAUUCUUGAUGGACUUUUCUUGUACAGCUCGGUCUCAUGAAUAAUAUAAAGCCUGCUGCGCCUAGAAAUCUGCUCGGCUUCAUCUUUAUCUUGAGGGAGUUCUUGGGAGGUCAGAAAUCGUAUGAGGGGCUCUCUCCAGUUGGCUUCGACCAUAGCUAUGUCUUGAGUGUCCGCGGCUUCAGCUGUUUGUCUCUUGGGUAUGGUUGGCUCAUAAAGAUGUUCGACGAACACAUCAGAAGGGGCCGCUUCGUGUUUGGAUCCAAAAUUUGCUAGUCUGUCGGCUGCUUCGUUAUUGUGCCGAAGAACGUGGGUGAGUUCGAGUCCAUUGAACUUAUCCUCCAACUUGCGUACCUCUUGUCGAUAAGCGAUCAUAUUGUCAUCAAGGCAGGACCACUCUUUCAUAACUUGGUUAACAACUAACUGUGAAUCUCCGUGAACUAUCAGACGCCUGAUUCCCAAAGAGAUUGCGAUCCAUAGUCCGUGAAGGAGCGCCUCGUACUCUACCACGUUGUGAGAUGCAGAAAAAUGUAUCCAUAGCACAUAGCGCAGUCUUUCUCCAGUUGGGGAAAUUAAAACAACUCCGGCCGCAGUGCCCAAAAGUCUCUUUGACCUGUCAAAGUGCAUAGUCCAAUACUCCAUCUUUUCCUCGGGCGUGUCCUCUUGGCACUCGGUCCACUCGGCAACGAAGUCGGCUAAAGCUUGGGACUUGAUCGAAGUUCGCGGCUUGAACGAUAUGUCCAAGGACAUCAGUUCUAAGGCCCAUUUUGCGAUUCGCCCGUUUGCUUCACGAUUAUGGAGUAUAUCGCCGAGUGGGAAUGAUGUAACCACCGUGACCGACUGGCCUUAGAAGUAGUGGGAUAAUUUCCUGACGGUGAUUAGAACACCGUACAACAGCUUCUGAACUUGAGGAUAUCUCGUCUUGGAGUCAGCCAAAACCUCGCUAACGAAGUAGAUCAGUCGCUGGACUUUCUGAACAUGGCCUUCUUCUUCCCGCUCGACAACCAGGACCGUGCUCACAACCUGAGAAGAGGCCGAUACGUAUAGUAAUAGCGGCUCUUGUGGGUGUGGUGAGGCCAAAACUGGUGGAGUAGUGAGAAGUUUCUUGAAAUCUUCAAAGGCUUUCUGUGCUUCGGGUCCCCACUGGAAAUUUUCUGUUUUCUUUAACAGUUUGAAGAAGGGCAUCCCCCUCUCGCCGAGUCGUGAGACAAACCGGCUGAGCGCCGCCAUGCAUCCAGUCAGCUUUUGAACAUCUUUCUGAGAACUCAGCGGUUUCAUGUUGAGGAUGGCGUUGACUUUCUCCGGGUUGGCCUAUAUGCCUCUAUGAGACACCAUAAAUCCAAGCAGCUUCCCUAACGGUACUCCGAAGGUGCAUUUUCCAGGGUUUAGUUUCAUCCUAAAAGCGCGGAUGCUCGCAAAGGUUUCUUCCAGGUCUAUAAUCAAAUCAUCCUUCUGCUUGGUCUUGACGACUACAUCAUCCACAUAGGCCUCAACGUUGCGACCGAUUUGAGUCGAAAAACAUCUCUAAAUCAUGCGUUGAUAAGUUGCUCCUACGUUCUUUAAUCCGAAAGGCAUGGUGAUGUAGCAGUAGGCCCCGAAGGGCGUAAUGAACGAAGUCUUCAAGCAGUCGGAUUCCUUCAAUCGGAUCUGAUGAUACCCCGAGUAGCAAUCCAAGAAACUGAGCUGCUCGCAGCCGGCGGUCGAGUCAACUACUUGGUCAAUGCGAGGCAACUCGAAAGGAUCUUUGGGGCAAGAUUUGUUGAGAUCAGUGUAAUCGACACACAUGCGCCAUUGCCCGGUCUUCUUCCGAACUAGGACUGGGUUAGCCAGCCAGUCGGGAUGAAGGACUUCUUUGAUGAAGCCCGCUGCUAAAAGCUUGGCCAAUUCCUCCUUGAUUGCGUCCUUCCUGUCUUGUGCAAAGCGGCGGAGUCGUUGUUUGAUAGGUUUAGCGUCUUCCUUAACAUGUAAAGAGUACUCAAUCACCUCUCUAGGAAUACCAGGCAUAUCGGAUGGUUUCCACGCAAAGAUAUCUUUAUUAUUUUGAAGAAAGGUGAUGAGCGCGCUUUCCUAUUUACAAUCUAACUCGGCGCCUAUUACAGCAGUUUUAGUAGGAUCAGAAGGAUCUAGGGGGAUUUUCUUAGUCUUGGCUUCGCUUUCUCCACUCUUUGAGAUCUUGGUAGUAGGCACCUCUCCUUCGCUUGCCGUGGUUGCAGCCAGUCGGAUGUCUUCUCGAGCGAUCGCGAUCUCUCGGGUUUGGGCCAUCUCGCAACUUUCCUUGUCACAUGUGACGGCUUGCUUGAUGUCACUUCGUAGGGAUAUAACUCCUCGAGGACCAGGCAUCUUCAUCAUCAUGUAGGUGUAGUGAGGGACGGCCAUAAACUUGGCUAACGCCGGGCGUCCGAGUAUGGCGUGAUACGCUGUCCCGAAAUCAGCGACUUUGAAGUAGACGUUCUCUGUGUGAAAGUUUUCCCGAGUGCCAAAGGUGACCGGGAGAAUGAUCUGGCCGAGUGGUGUUGCAGAUAGCCCUGGGAUGACUCCGUGAAAGAGCGCAUUACUCGGCUUUAACUCGGUGCGAGGGAUCUGCAUGUCGUCCAGGGUCUUGGCGAAGAGGAUAUUGAGUGCGCUGCCACCAUCGAUGAGGGUUCUGCGAAGCUUGACAUUGCGAACCACUGGGUCUAGUACCAGGGGGUACCGCCCCGGGUGGACCACUCGGUCAGGGUGAUCCUAGCGGUCGAACUUGAUUGUUGUCUCUGACCACCGAAGAUAUUGGGGCGUAUCGGGCUGGACAGCGUUGAUCUCCCGUUCGGUCAGCUUUUGCUUUCUUUUGGACUCGUAAGCCAGAGGGCCACCGAAGAUGUGGUUGAGCUCCUUACAGUGAUCUUGAAAACCUGUCGGGGCAUCAUCAUCAUCAUCCUUCUUUUUCGACGUGCUUUGUUCUCCAUUAGAGGUCUUCCGUGUAUUUUUGGCAUAUUGCUCUGCAAACUGCUUGUAGACGAAGCAAUCUUUAGCCGCGUGGUUCGAGUUGGGAUGAUGCGGACAUUGGGAGUUCAUGAUCUUGUCAAAAGUGUUGACGCGCGAACGUUGUCGGGAGGAGUGUGUAGUAGUUGCGACAAGUUCCUCGGGCUUACGCUUGCGGUCCUUGUGAUUGUUACUUCCACCCCCUCCCGUAGUCGGCGUAUCUUUCUUUGGCUUCCAGGUAGGACCCGACUGCUUAGAUGCGAUAAUGGCGUCUUUGGCUUUGGCAUACUCAUUGGCUUUUUCAAACAUUUGUUUGACUGUCUUGGGAGGUUUGCGCCCGAACUUACCGACUAGUUCAUCGUGGCAAAUUCCUUUGGUGAAGGCGGCGAUGAUGACAUCGUCGGUGAUGUCGGAGAUCUUGUUGCGCUGUUUAGAGAAGCGUCGGAUGUAAUCUCGAAGGGAUUCUCUAGACUUCUGAAUGACGUUGUAGAGAUCAAACUGUGUGCCGGGGCGUUCAAAGGUGCCCUGGAAGUUGGCAAUGAAAUGGUCGCGAAGUUCCGCCCAUGAUCCAAUCGUGCCACGGGGUAAUCCGUGGAGCCAGGAUCGGGCAAAAUCCGCUAGGGCCACAGGUAAGUAGUUUGCCAUGGCCUUGCUGUCUCCUCCUGCUGCACGGAUUGCGAGACCGUAGACGGUAAGCCAAGACUCUGGAUUGGUGGUGCCGUCAUACUUCUCGAUUCCAGUCGGCUUGAAGCCGGCUGGCCAAUCCACUCGACGCAGGUCGUUAGUAAAGGAAGCUACUCCAUCCAUGUCGUCGUCGUAGUGAUCUGGUGAAUGGCGGUAACCUCGUGCUGCACGGCGCUGGUUGAUCGUAUCGCGAAGAUCGACGGGAUGCCGGCGAGGUGGGGAGCGAGGCCGUUCAACUCGGCGCACCCUGUGUCGCUCAGGGGGCAAGUGAACAGAUCGCUCGUCGUGGCCCCUGCUCCUGCGAUUGGAUCCUGCGCCGGCGAUGCUGAGGCUUGGCUGGUGAUAAUCAUGAGAUCGGAGAUGGGGAACCCGGCUGCCAGUCGGCGUGCGGAUGCUUUCGGAGUUAACCGGGACCGAAGCGGCGAUCAUGGUCUUGGUCUGGUUCAAGAUGUUGACGACGUGGUCAGCUUGGUUGAGUGCGUCUUCCUUGAGGAGGGUGAUCGCAGCGACAGCGUUCUGUUGGGGGGUGCGGAAAACCGCUGUCCCCUCAACAUCUUGCUGCCCGAUGAGAUCUCGCACUUGUCGCCCUGCGUCCAAGGCUCUUUGUCGUCGGUCCUCGGCCUCCUUUGCAGCCCGCUCGCGUUCUUGUUGCUCUCGCCGCAGCCGUUCUUGCUCUUGUGCUUGGCGCUCCUCUUCCAGUCGGCGUCGCUCGGCCUCCUGCUGUACGCGUCGUGCUUCUGCUUCUCGGGCUUGGCGUUGUUCUUCCAUCUCGUUGUCGGCCAUGAAGACGCCGAAGUAGAGAGGGGUGUAAUUGUCUUCCAAGCUUUCGUCGAAGUCGUCGAGGUCGUGGUUGUCGUAGCGGUAGCCGAAUUCGUCAUACUCCACGAUCUCUGUUAGUCGCGAGUCGAUGCCGGGGGAGCUGAAGUAGCCUUCCAAUUGAUCCGUCGAAACCGUGCCGAGUGGCUGGAGUAUGACGCCGACUUCCCUGGAGCUAGGCAGGAUCGGUGUUGAAGCCGACUUCCGCCUAGGCCUACGGGGAGAAGACGCCCUUGUAGUGAAGACGGUAGCCAAAUCGUCGGGGAGUUUCAUCAGGAUUGGCGGGUAGGCCGCAUCAUCUUGAUCUGGUGGUGUUGGAGUAGAUGGGAUCUCGUCCGAGUGGUUUGAAGCCGACUCAAUCAAGAUAAGCUUGGAGUAGAUCUCGGCCGAGUUCGGAAUACCGAACGGGGCUGAGACCUGGUUCUUUCCUGACUGGUUCGAAUCCGAGUCGAGGAGAGAGAUCUUGCCGAAGUCGUUGGUGAUGAAGUCGAGGCUGCCGAACCAAAACGCCUGCCCGGGAGGGAAGGCGAAGUCGUCAAUGUCGGAGACGGAACCCAUCGCACUGAUCGGCGAAAGAACUUGACGCAACCCCUACCUGGCGCGCCAACUGUCGAAACAAGAUUUCGGCAAUACUAAAAGGGGUGGCUAUCAAGCUAGAAAAGUGGAUGGGUUUGGAGACAAGGAAUUUUAUAUAGGUUCAGGCCUUCUUAUUCAAGAAGUAAUACCCUACUCCUGUCCGGGGAUGAUUCCGCCGAGUGUAUUAUUGAUCGUAUGAUCUGGGAGAAAAUCGUGUCCCAAGAGGCCGGACCCUUCCUUAUAUAGGAGAAGGGGUCCGUAUUACAAAAUACAGUCCAUAUCCUUAACGGAAUAUGAGAUUACAGAUAAAAUACAAUCGUAACCGACUAGGAUCCCGGGUAUUUCCUUGACAUACAAGUUCAGAAACUUAACCCGAGUCCUCAUAAAGAUAUUCUAUCUAUAUUUGGUACCCUGUACCCAACUAGACUAUAACUGCCGUGUAGAUAUGGGGUAUCCAUAAUCUCCACACUCAGGUAUUAACUCACUGUGAAAUGAGAGAUUUAAAGGUCAAAGCAGAACUGCAGACAUGAAACUAACCUGAACUCAUUUCUUGUUCAUAAGAGUAACAUGAACUCAUUUUCUGUCCACAAGAGUUACUAGUAAUAAGCUGCAUGCCAACGUUCUUUGAUACUUCACUGAAGUUUUGUAGACCAUCUCAACGGUGUGGAAUACAGAGAAGAUAAUUGUACCUUUUGUUAUCUGCAGUCUGCAGACUGCAGAUUGUCCAUUUUAUACCUAGUACGAUGCCAAUGCCAAUUCAGUAUUAUCUAAAAGGUAUAAUGCCAAUUAUCUGUACCGCUGAAAUUAAUCUGUAUCCAAUAUCUGGUCCCAGAUAGUCUGCAGGUUCCAGAAAUGAAGUUUGAUGCAGAAAUGGUUGUGCUGGUUUUACAUCAUUUUGGUGCUGAAAUGGAUAAUUCGGUGUGAAAACAUGCUUCUCAAUUCUUAGGCAUUCCUGAUAGAUGGUGUCAGGCCUUUCACUGAAUGAUCUAAAUUUUUAUGCAUAUAAUGUAAAGUCCGCUCGUGUUAUUGGUAAUUGAACUACUAAGCUAGUCUGAUAUAAUCAUGUCAACAUUCUUUGACAUUUCAGUAAUCUUUGGCAGAUGAGCAUAUCGAUCAGCUGCAAAGGAAUACAGAAAAUUGGAUUUUUUGGGGGAAAGAUAAUUGAAUUUUUUAUAUCUACAGAUUGUCCUGGUUCAUCAGUAUUGCUACAGUUCUAACUUUUACUCCUAGACUCCUUGGAACAAUGCCAAUUCACAUCAUAAAAAAAAUGUUUGCCGUUUUAUCUGCACCACUGAAUUUAAUCUGUAUCCAAUAUUCAGUCCCAGAUCAUGUGGAGGUUUGCAGAGUACCAGUCCUCUGGAACUGAAAUUUUCCAAUACUUUUCAAAUAGAACGAAAUUAAGGUGCUUCUCAAAACUAGUUUUGAAUUCAAAUUGCAACCUGCAAGUUGCCAUCGAUCAAGUCUUGCAACGCAAGCAGGCUCCGCUUCCUCCGCAGCUUCCAGAAUUUGUUCGAAACGAAGCAAACUGGAGCACGCAACUAUCCAAAAUAUAUACUACUAGCAGCAGCGUCUUCCUCCUCGUCGUCUUCAACCUCUCUCGUGUCGCGUGCCAUUCGCCAUCGCCACCACCUCCACUACUCGAUCCCCUCCCAUCCCUCUGGAACCUCCACUACUACUCGCCCCACCAAUGGCUGACGGCGAGUCUCCGCCAUGGGCGGAGCUCGUCCCCGACAUCGUCCGCGAGAUCGGCCGCCACCUCCUGUGCGAGAUUGACCGCCACCAUGCGGAUGGCCUCUGCAGGUCCUGGCGCGACGCGCUCCUACAACUCCGGCCCCCGCCUCCGCCGCUCCCGCGGCUCGUCCUCCCGGAAGCCGACGGGCCCGCGUUCUACUGCGUCCCUAGCGGCUGCCGCCCCCACCCCUUCGUCCUCCCGCCCGCCGCGCUCCGCGCGCGGUGCUUCGGCUCGUACGACGGAGCCUGGAUCUUCCAGGCCGUCGACCAGGCGGCGAACCACGUCCUCCUCAACCUCAUCACCCACCAGCAGCUCAACCUCCCCAACCUGCUCCGUUUCCACUCCUUCAUGCUUCCGGCAUUGACAUUUGACUUCGAGGUCGCCUUCGUCGCGGCCACCCUCUCUAGCCGGCCGACUGAUCAGGGAUGCGUCGGCGCCGGCAUCAUCAGCUUCAACCGCGUGCCCCACGACCCAAGGCACAUCGCGUUCUGGUGCAUGGGCGAUGAGGCGUUCUCGUGGUCCAUCCAGAUGACGAGGAAUAUUGGCGGGGCACUGGAACUGGAUGUGGUGGACCUCCUGUACAGCAGCCAUGGCGCUGGCGCCUUCCUCUUCCUCACCCGACGGGAAGACAUCCAUGUGUUUCGUCAACCGAUAUUCCCUCAGGGAGACGUGAUGCAGUCGACACCGCUCUACUUCGAGCGGCGCGGUGACGACGACGACGACGACGGGCGGCCGGUCCUUGAUCGCUACCUCGUGGAGUCCCGAGGGAAGCUGCUCAUGGUCGUCAGGUUAGGAGAUCGUGAGCCUGCCCGCUUGCCGACCACGACGUUCCGGGUGUUCGAGAGAGAAGACGAGCUGUUCAACAACUACUGGACCAAGCUGCCCGACCUUGGCGGCCGCAUGCUGUUCGUCGGAAGAGGCUGCUCCAGAUCAUACGAAGCGGCGGAUGGGUACCCCGGCAUGGAGGGCGUCUACUUCCUGGAUGACCGGAGCUUCCACGACCCGAUGGUUGUGCACAUGAAUGCCGCCGAUCGGCAGUAUCCCUGCAGCGACAACGGGAGAUGGUCGGGAGCACAGCCACCAGCGGAGGUAGAGCUCUGCUUCCCGGAGCAAGGUCGGUCGAACUACUCCCCUCCGGUUUGGAUUCUCCCAUGAGACGCACGACACAUGUUUUCGGUUGUUGAAAUUGUUGCCGGUGAUCAGGCUAGUCUGUGAUCGUUGCUAAGCUUUCUGUUAGUGUGUUUGUACGUUGAUGAGUUGGAUGGUUUUCUCGUGUUGAAGUUGUUACUGGUGUAAGCUGAAGCAGUAUUGCUCAAUUCACUUGGUUUCUGUCUGCAUGUUUUUUCACAAAUUUGCAUUUCAAUUCAAGCUUCUUUUACUGAAGUCGCAAUCUGCAGAAAUGUCUUGGGAAUUGGAAAAUGCAGAUUGUUCUUUUUCUUUAUGAUUGAUAGUUAUUAACAUGAUACAGCGCUAAUGAUCUGCACUUCUGAAUUUAGUAGCACUAGCUGGCAGAAAGAUUAAUAUGUAGUAGGAUUGACCUUAUUCGAAUUCAUUGUUUCUGAUUUGGAUGAUACUGUACUGCAGAGAUAGUUACUUGUUAGUCCAGUAUUGUUAGCUGAACAAAACACAAUUUCGAACAAAAUUCACUUGCAUACAGCCAGCAAUGAUGGAUGCGUAGUUUAUUUGCACCUUUUGCUACCUUAAGUGCCUUUUCCCCUUGUGAUUUUGGAUUGCAGCUGAUAAUUUCAGUGUGGAUAUGUGCAUGUUUGUGCUCAGAUUUUCUGUGAUCAGAACACAUCCUUUUUUUUGUUGUUGUUGUUGUUCUUUUCUUAUAUAAGUGGUGGAGAAUUUGCAUGCAGUCAAAUUUAGUUGUAAACUCUAGCUGCUACUUACUCUUGUAGUGAACUGAGAAUGUGAAAACAUUGAGUUCUUAGCUCAAGUGCAGAAUCCACAUGGUCUGAAAUCUGAAUGUUGUAUGCCCGGUGCUUCAUGUGGUCUCUGUUAUACAAACCGGUAUGCAUCCACAAUAGUAGCACACUAUUCUUCCAACUUUUCCAUGCAUUUUCCACUUUGGUUCUUCUGAUAGAGUAAAUAGCAGCUUGGUUCAUUUCUGUGAAGUUAUAGUUUGCUGCGUAUGGCUGGCCUUUUGAAUUGGCCGUUAUAACUGAACAUUGUUAGCAUGUUUUGUUCCUUCUUUCUGGUUUUGUAGCCCAAAAAUGUCUUUCUGCUGACGAUAUACUGAAUGUUGUCUUUGGACUACUUGCUUUGAUCGGACGGGAAGAUGCAGAUACUGUAGCACAUCCGGCAGACCGAGCCGGCUGUUUCUUUUUAUCGGCUUAAGAUUUUCAUGCUUUUGAUAUCUCUCUCUCUCUCUCUCUAAAUAUAUCAUCUGUUACUUUGUUUUUUGACGCAAGAAGGUAGAGCAUGCUCUACCUUAUAGUCAUUUCAUUGAUAGAAAUGAAGAUUACAGAGAUUAUUAUACAAGAAUAGAGGUUAUAAAGGUAGCAUAAGGAAGAGAGAAGACAUAGAUAGAGGGGAGGGGUAGGGUGGUGGGAUGGAUUUACAGAGUUAUAUACACUAGGCUGUUCCCUAGGAAAGCCUUGAACACCAAGAUCUAAUUUUUUGCCUGGUUCUCUCAUUGGCCCUAUGACUGCAUAGUUUCAGGAUACCGGCGAUCUGCUGCGUUAUAUAUUGCAGGUGAUCUAUUUGUCCUUCAAAGAGCCUAUUGUUGUGCGAUUUCCACAGCGUGUAUGCACAGGCAGCAAACCAUAUUGGUUCUGUUGGAAUUAAUAGAUGGGCCUUAGCCCACUCGAAGAUUAAUUCUUUGGAAAAUCACAAAAGCCUACCUCAUGGGAUGAUAUGCAUGGGGAGUUUAGUACCAUCUUGCUUAUUCUAGGAAAGGGGGACCUCCUUAAAAGGGCAACUUGAAGUAUGUGAGGUGGAGAGAAGAGGGGGAACACACGUGCGAGCUCGCUGGCCUGGCUUGGCGUGGCGGCGCACAUAUGCGUCGAAUGGUCCGCCAAAAUUGGUUCCUCACCCUUGCGCAGAUGCGGCCUCCUUUUGCAGUAUUGUUUUGCUGCGGAAAAUUCGGAUUUGUUUGUUUUGGAAACAUUCCGAAAAAUCCAGUGCGUGAAAACGGCGUGGAGUCCGGAUAGGUUACGCGCGACUUAUCCGGUUACGCGGAGUAGAGAUCAUGCGGAUGCCAUAAUCAAGCGACCUUUCUCUAUAUAAACCGAGCCGCCGCCUCCACGCAACAUACGCAAAAUCAAUCUAUGCUUUGCCUCCUACUCUGUGAUGCGCCGUUGCUCCACAAAAUCAAUCUAUGCUUUGCCUCCUACUCUGUGAUGCGCCGUUGCUCGUAGACUACUCCAUCCCGCUCGCCUGCGUGCUCCGGCGAUCGGGAGAGCAGGUCUCCGGAACCUCUACCUUCGACGUCCUGCACCGGGAGAAGGCAACAAUAAGGUUUUUGGGAAGCGCUUCGCAUGACUACUCCCUAUUCAUCCAUGACGGCUCGUCUUCCUCUUCACUCGCGUGCUACGCGUCGUCGUCAACACCAACAACCACGAGUAAUUCCUGCUGAACAACCAGUCUUCCGGUACCCUCGGUACGUGCUCAAUAUGUUGCGCAUAUUUGAUCUGUUCAUGUUAUACUGUCUAGUUUACAUAUGUAGAUCUUAUAAUGCGUUCAUGCUAGUUUACAUCUGUAAUGUCAUGAUUUCUGGAAUAAAUUAAAUCAUUAUGUGCUUAUACUUUCAACAGGUUCUAUUCCACUUGUUGAGUGAUUCUUGUCCAUGACAGCUUGUAUGAAAGUCGGGGCUGACUCGGACUUGGCUAGCUGUAGUAAAUCCAAUUUCUUUCAUAGGUUGUUUGCAUUCUUACACCAAGAGAAUAUGAUCUGUGGGUUCAAGGGCAGGACAGAUGUUGCAGUGGGGGGUGUCAUCCCAGUUCUUUUUGACCAUAUUGGCUUUAGUGUUCAGUCUAUCUUUGAAUGCCAGCCAUAGGAAGAUUUUGCAAUUAUGUGGGAUUGUGUUGAGCCAGAUGUAGUCAGCCGGUUUCCAAAGGGAUCCAUGGUAAGUCAGUAAUGAUAUGCAUUUGCAGUUGAGAUCUUAGGAGCAGGGUAUAGGAUUUCUCGUGUCCGUUACCUCCAGGGGAUGGGUGUGAUGUCUUGUAGGAUGUGCCACAGUGUUUCCAGCUCUGAUUCUGCUUGGUAGGAGAGGUUGGGGUGGAGCUGUAUUUUCCAGGAAUUUUGUUGAAAUUGUGAUUGAACCAUGCAUUCUGUGUUCACAGCGUAUGAGAACAAAAUUGGGUAGGCAGAUUCCAGGCGUUGUGCCAGCCAUUUGUCCUUCCAAAAUAGAGUUGUUGUGCCAUCUCCUAUUUUUACCUGUGUUGUUGAGCUUAGAAUUUGAAAGUGUGACAUAAUAAGUUUCCAGGUUGGCGUAUCACUGGUUCUGGGCUGCAGCUGUAUAGUACUAUUUUGUAGAUAUCUUUUCCUGAACCAGUUGGCCAUUGGGUCAUCUGAGCCUGUGAGCACUUUGUUACCUGAUUUCAAAACCAAUGCUGUGUUAUGUGCCCUCAGGUCCUUAAUCCCUAAUACCUGUUGUUGUUUUUGUAGCAGUACUGUCUUCCAAGCAACUAGGCAUUGACCUCCUUUUACUGAUUUCUCACCUUUCCAAAAGAAGGCACACCUUAGCUUAUCUAUUUCCUCGAUGGAUUUAUCUUGCCAUAAGCAACAUGCCAUGUAGUAUGUUAAUGGAUGAUAUCACAGAAUUUAUCAUAGUUAGUCUUCUUCCUGUGGACAGAGGCAUCCAGCGAGCUAGAUAUCUGUCGACCUUUGAGAUGACUGGUACUAACAUGUUAUGUGUAACUUUUGUGGUUGACAGGGGCAACCCAAGAUAAAUGCACGACAGGGAGCUUGCUGGACACUGCAGAAUCUGUGUUACUAGUUCCUUGGUUGAAUCAUUCAGGUGUAUUGGAACAAGAGUGCUCUUAUGGUAGUUGAUCUGUAGGCCUGAAAAGCUUGCAAACGAAUCCAGAAUUUCUUUGAGUGUUGUUGCUUGAUCCGCAUCUCCUUUUAUGAGAAUCAAGGUAUCGUCUGCAUAUUGCAGUGUUGGUGGUGCAACUUCAAUAUCUAGGGGGUGAAUUAAGACACCUGUGCUGUAUGCCCGUUGGAUCAUUUUUUGUAGAACGUCUGCAACUAAUAUGAAUAGGUAUGGCGAUAAAGGGUCCGCUUGACGGACUCCCCUUCUCUAUAGAAUUUGUUCUCCCUUUUCUCCGUUGAUGAUAACCUGAGCUUUGCCUACGCAGAGCAGAGAUUUCACCCAACAAAUCCAUUUAUCCAGGAAUCCUCUUACCCCAAGAACAUUAAACAAAGCAUCCCAGCUGACCGUAUCAAAUGCCUUGUGGAAGUCAAGCUUGAGUACUAUCAUUGGUUUCUUCUUCUUUAGCGCUGAUUGUGCCAUUUCUGAGGCGAGAAUGAAGUUUUCAGAGAUAGAUCUGUUUUUGAUGAAGCAUGAUUGCAUGGGGUCAACUAACUUGAUUAUUUCCAUCUGUAGCCUUUUGGCUAAGGUCUUGCUGAGAAGUUGGUACACUGUGUAGCAGGGAUAUAGGUCCGAAAUCCUUGAUUUGAACUGAUGUUGUUGUUUUUCGUAAAAGGGUAAUAUAAGACUGAUUAACUCUAGAUAGGUCGAUGUUGUUGUCAACAGGUAUUGAAAGAUUACUUGUAGAUCAGGCAAUAACUUAUUGAGGAAACCCUUGUAGAAUUCGUUUGUGAAUCCAUCGGGCCCAGGGCUCUUGUUCCUUGAUGCACUGUGGAUGAUCCUGACAAUUUCUUCCCUUGUGAAAGGUUGACACAGGCUCUGAACGUUUUCUUGUUGAGGGUAGAGCAGAGACAGGGGAAAUUUCCAUCAGACGUUGAGGAUUCACUGAAUAGCUGCUGAAAGAACAAAGUUGCAAUGUCCAGUUUUUUGUAUAGCUGCUGAAAGAACAAAGUUGCAAUGUCCAGUUUUUUGUUGUUGUCAUAAUGUUCUACCCCAUUGUCCAUCAAUAAUUUCAUGCUUUUUUUUUUUUGCAUGUUGACUGAUGCCACUGUGCGAUAAAAUCUUGUAUUUUCGACUCCUAGAGUGCAGAAUCUUAUUUGGGCUCUUCUUUUCCAUUUUCAAGUGAUGAAGCCAUUUAGGUGUUUGAUUUUUUUUUUUUGCAACCUCUGAUGAAGGUAGAAAUCUAAAUCGGUGAGUUGGCGCUAUUCUUCAACUUUGUCGAGGUAGUCCAUUGUGUCUUUGUUAGCUGACAGAAAUGUUGGGAGGCCGCGCCUGCUCUUGUUCCAGGCUUUUGCAUUAGUUCGCAGACGUCUGAGUUUGUGAUUGAAUUUGGUGAUUGUUGUCAUGGGUCUUGUUCCUUUAUUCCAUCUAGUUUCAGCCAAGGUAAUGAACUCUGGUAUUUGCAACCAGAAGUUUUCUAGACGGAAGAGCUGUUUGAAAAUUCAGCUAGUACAAGUAUAUGGUCUAAAGUUGUAGCCACAAGUGCUCAGGGGCGGAGCUUGAGUCUAGGGGGGUGCCCAGAAACCCGGUCAAGAAAAUUUUUUAGUUAUACCUCAUCUAUUUUCACCAUGUAUGCAUCCCCUCAAUACAAAUUUAGACGCCUGCAUCAGCUUAAACUCGAUCUAAAGUAGAGUAAAUUAAGCAAAUGGCACCACCCUCUAUUUCGUUCUAGCUCUGCCCCUGCAAGUGCUCGAGCUGAACAGUUGGCAAAAGCUUGAUUCCAGCUAGUAUCUAUCAAAACUCUAUCUAAUUUUACCAAUGUCCUGCUCGCCACCGUCCUCGGAUUUUGCCGGUUGGUGGCUUGCUGCCCGGCAGUCUGUUGGCGAAGAUCGACUACAAGAUGUUCGACGCCGGGGUCAUCCUCGUUACGUGGUUGAUUUGGAAAGAGCGCAACGCACGAGUUUUCGAGGGAACAGCCUCGUCGGUCACACAACUGUGUACGAUCAUGUGUGAUAAAUGGGAAACGUGGAAAUCAGCAGGGCUAGUUAGCUCAUUGAGUGUUGCCGCAGCGCCAACUUUAGGGAGAUUAUAGCCUUUGUAACUUGCUUAAUGUUGUAAAGGUGGUGCUCUGACGCACUGCAUUUGUGCCCCCUCCCGCGGGGGGGGGGUGGUACAGUUUUCCUUUUUCGGUCGACGUUCUUCGCCGUCCCGGCGAAAAACUUUUACCAAUGUGGGAUAUCCUCUAUUGUUUGACCAACUUGGAUUCCUGAAUGUAGAUUAUUUCUGGUUUGUGCUCUAAUAGUGUUGACAGCACUAGUUCUCUCUUAUCUUUGUCACCAAGUCCUCUUAUAUUCCAAGAAAGGAUUUUCAUUGCGAUUGUGCCGGGACUCUAGGGAAACAUGCGGAAAAACAAAAAGAGGCCGGUCUGGUAGCCAAAAGAACCUCCUUGGGCCUUAGCAUUCCUUUCCAGACCAAAAAGAAAAACAAGUUGUCGCCAAAGAAAAAUAAGAGGACAAAAGUAACUAGCGGCGUGCCCAUCACUGUAGAAAGAAAGAAGGCACCAGGGUGUUGUCGGCAACAGAGGUGGCCAGCUUGUCAUCGCGGUCGGAGUCGGAGCUUCACGUCAUUGCCGCGACGGUGGUUGGGCUCUCAGUCUCCAUGUUACUGCCUGGGGAAGACGGGUUCAACGACAUGGAUGAGGAGGAGAGCAGCGGCGGCGUGUGCUAACGAGGAGGAGGAAAGAGAGAGAUGAUGAAGGGUUAGAGGAUGGGAAAGAGGAAGGGGGAGAGGAGGGGAAAGAGAGGGGUGUUGACGUGAGUUCCACAAUGUUUUUUUUACUAUAUAAGUGCCACGUCAACAUUAUAUAGGUGCUACAUCAGUCGAAACUGAGGGGGUGUUUAGAUGGGACUGAAACUCUUUAGUCCCUGUCACAUCGGAUGUUUGGACACCAAUUAGAAGUAUUAAACGUAGACUAAUGACAAAACCCAUUCUAUAACCCUAGACUGAUUCACGAUACGAAUCUAUGUGAGCCUAAUUUAUCAAUGAUUAGCCUAUGUGAUGCUACAGUAAACAUUCUCUAAUAUGGAUUAAUUAGGCUUAAAAAAUUUGUCUCGCGAAUUAGCUCUCAUUUAUAUAAGUAGUCUAUGUUUAAUACACCAAUUAGUGUCCAAACAUCCUAUGCGAUAUGGACUAAAGUUAGUCACUGAAUCCAAACACCACCUAACGUUCAAACCGUCUGGGACCUUUUUUUUUUUUUGCACUAAGUGUCAAGGGACAUGAUGAUAUAUCUGGUAUUACGGUUUAUGGAUAAAUGUCGGACUCGGCAACGGUUUAAGAGUCCAAAAGUGAACUUAGCCCACGCAGUGUGCGCUUUGUGUCAUGGGCCUUUUGUGAGCUGAAAGUGUGCGCAUGUGGGCUAAUUAGCAUUCUCGGGCCCUGAUAGCCAGCCCCCACGUGCGCAGGAAGCGGCUUGUGUUUGCUGGCAGCCUGGCAGCGGGACUUGCCCCAAGAGAAGAGACGUUUUUAAUUUGUUUUUCCACUCAAUAAUUUCUUGAAUGAUCUUUGUAUUAUUAAAAUUAAUUGUGUAGUUAUGAAAUUCCGCAGAAAUCCAAGAGUGUUUGACGGAACAGAGAAUUUAUAAAAAUAUAACAAGCCAAAAAUGUUAUAUAAUUUUUAUUCACUUGAUUUACUUCACUUCUUAAAUGAUGUACAAAUUAUUAUAAAUUCUAUAAAAAAAUUUAUAUAGUUUUAAAAUCUGUGGAAAACAUCAAGGUGUGAAAACAUAAUAUAAUUACAUGCUAUGGUGAGAUGUAAAUAUAUGUACAUAUAUAGUAUUUGUAAUUUUGUAAGCCAGUUGUAUGAUUGCCUCAAUCUAAGUUCCAUCAACAUGGCAAUCUAUAACGUACCAUGAUAUGAAAUUAGGAAUUGUACUGGUUCUCAACAUAGAAAUGAACAUUUCUUCUCAAAAAAAAAAGAAAUGAACAUUUGACUGAGUCAUAGAAGAUUAAAAUUUUCCAAUAUAUGAGAUAAUGCCUAUCUUUGUUUGGAAUCCAAAUAAGAUAUUCUAUGUCGUUGAGCCACCAUGUCAUUAGUGUGUGCCACAUUGCGAAACGGCAUGUAGCCUUGUGGUUACAAAAGUCUCAGUAGUAUCUAAGGUCCUACUAGGUUUGACUUCUUAUGGGAGCGAAUUUUCCAAGAUUUAAUGGCGUUGUGCUUUCAAUGGUAGGCGACGUACUGUCACGCCCAGAAAUUUAGCCCAAAUUUCCAGACUUUUUUGUGUAUUAAAUCCCUGUCCAGGACCAGCCAGGGUACACAAAACGACAAGUAAUAAACAGUUCCAAACGUAAAUAAAGCGUAAAAUACUUACAGAAGAGGCACUUAGUCCUCACACCGAAACAAAAGCAGCAGCAGUGGAAAAAGGCGAUCCUAGCGGGGCUUCAGCUCCACUCCACAGGCAAAACUCAACUGGGGUCUGAGCCUUGGUCUUCCAACUUCGUCUUCAGCUCAGAAGCACUACACUUCUGAAAAGGGGGAAAUAAUAGCAAGGCUGAGUACAACCACCGUACUCAGCAGGCCACACCAACGAUGCAGACGUGCAAGGGGAUUCAAGAAUGGCUUGUGGCUAUUUGCAUAAAGGCGGUUGUAAAACAUUUUGUUUAGCAAACAGUAAAACUGUUGAAUAAUUAAGGUAAAUUAGAUCUUCACUGAUCAACGCUACACCACGUUGAACAGGCCCAACCAACCCACCUGUACUACAGUGCAUUGGGUCGAUUUAUUAAGUGUGAGACUAAUCACGGUGAAUCUGGUCGAUCGCCCAUAACCGCGGGCACGGCUAUUCGAAUAGUUUUACUCUGGCCAGAGGUGCACAACUGUACCCACAAGACACAACCCACAUACAUGUCACCGCGUCAUCAUGUGCCCAUGAUGCACACGUCACCAUGUCGAAUGAUUGUGACGAGAUCCUUCGCAUAACCCUCCCCUAACCAUCCACACCACGCUAAGGUUUCACCCCCACCCCUCAAAAGGCAGUGGGCGGUCCCCUCUUGCUCCGCGGUGAAUCCGGCAGCUGGACAACCGGACACCCCGGACGACCCAACUCCAUCACGCCCACCCUCGCCACCGGUGCCUAGGAAAGGGUCGAGCUAUACUUCAGAUCAAGCAGUUACCCACUCCCGCUUGUGGCAAGCGCUGUAAGUCUUCCAGGGUUUCCCGUGAACCGGUCCUUAAUUGCCAUGGGUGCGACUCACAAAACCAUGCACCCACAGCCCACCAUUUCAGUCGCAUUUUAGUUGGAUAAUUAUGACCAUGAAACAUGGCCAGAUGUCUCGAGCACGCAGCUCAACAAGAUACUAGGAGGUCUAAUACUGCAAUUAUCCCAUUGACUGAGCUAGUGGUAAUUAAGCAUGGCUAAGCAUAUAGUUCUAGCUAGGUCAUCAAAGUAACACAAGCUAGGCGAUUUAUUACCCACGGUUGACAAAGAACAUAUAUCAAGUAAACAUGGCACAAGCGAGCAGAUAGGUAAACCCUGAUCCCAUGUAAUUAGCAAAACAUGCAUAUUUAUUUGCAAAUGGUAAAACAUUUAUAAAUUAGGAACAACAUGCUCAAGGGAAAUGUGUGACUUGCCUUGCUUCUUCACUUGGAUUUUCUGAACUCUUUUCCUCGCGACCGCGAUCUUCCGAAACGACGGAUUCUACACGCUGGCACGUAAAACGAGGAAAAACCCUAAUAAAACCAAGGAAACAGUACAUAAAAAGUAAACAAACAUGUAGAACUCAAUUUUAGAUGAAUUUUGCAAUUUGAAUGGCCCAAUUCGGAGUUCGAAUGAAUUAGAUAUGAAUUUUAGAAGUUUUGAGCCAUUUAAAUGGAUUUCUAUAAUUAUUAAUGAUUUAUUGCGCAAUUAUCAAUUAUUUUCUCAAAGGAAAAGGCAUUCGCUGACGUCAGCAAGGGGCCGGCGCCGACAGGUGGGCCCCACUCGUCAGCGGCACAAGGGGCAAGCACACGGUGGACUCGAUCCACCGCGGCCGAGGCGGCACCGUGGACCCGGACCACGGAAGUGGUCCACGGGACCGACGGCCUGGAUCGGCCCAAAGCCGAUCCAACGGCCACGGGUGGCGCGGCUGGGGCAAGGCACGGCUCUAAGCCGGCUGGCCAAACGACGGCGCGCGGCAGCGCGGCCACCCGCGGCGACGGCCGGCGAUAGCUCACGCGGGCGAAAGCGGCGCACGCGAGAGAGCAGCGGCGUGGCGCGGCAAGGGGGAGGCGGCAACCGGCUGCCCGGCACCACCGGCAAUGGCGCGGGCACGGAGCGCGGAGCGCGGCGGCAGCGACCCGGUCGGACGGCCACCGGCGGCGGCAGCGCGUCGCGAGGACGCCCGGGAGGUGGCCGACGAAGGGGAGAAAAAGAGAGAGGAAGGGGAGUGCUCACCGAGAUGCACGACGGCGAAGGGGCGGCCGACGGCAAGGAACGGUGGCGGCGGGGCUCCUCAGGUAGACGACGCGACGGAGCUCCGGCGACGGGCAUCGCUCGGGAUGGGGCGGACGGGCUCGGCCUCGAUCGGCGACCGAGGAAGGAGGAGCUCCGGCGGAUUUCUGGCAAAGAGGGGCGGCGGCCAAGGUCCUCCUCGUCCUUGCGGAGCUGAGGGAGGCAACGGCGCGGGUCGGCGUCGACCGAAGUGGCGGCGCGACGCGGCUGGAGUCGGCGGCGACGGCGGAGAGAGGUGGUUCGCGUGGCUACGGCGCUACGGAGGUGGAGAGGGGAAAUGGAGCGGUGGCCGAGCUUGCCCGAGCGGCGGCAACGCUGGCGGUGGCGGCGGCGCAGCGCGGAGACGGCGGCGGCGGCUGAGGCACGCGGCUGGAGAACGCCGGCGAGCGGCGGCGAUGGGGACCGGCGUGGGGAGAGCGGGGAAAAGCGCAGGGAGCUCGGGGUGGAGUGGGAAACGAAAGAGGGGAGCACGAGGGUGCUUUAUAUAGGGCUCGGGGAUGGAGAUCGUGCCCGGGAGAGGUGGGAUCGGCCGGCGACGUGGGGAGGCGAAGUGGAGCUCGGGAUGGCAACGGUUUUCACGGGGCAUGGGGGAAACGGCGCGGACGUGGGCGGCGACCGCGCCCACGCACGCACGGGAGAGGGAACCGCGAGAGGAAGGCGGCGACGUGGGGAGCACGGGGCGGCUAUGGCGGCGGUUGGGGCGACGGGAGGUUGGGGAAGAAGAUGACAGGUGGGGCCUCGGGUCCCACCUGUCGGGGAGAGAGAGAGGGGAAAACGGGCGAGGGAGGUAAAGCAGACUUGAGGGAGAGAGAGCCAAGCGGGCCGAGGGAGGUGGCCGGCCCGAGAGGGAGAGAAAGGGGGCGCGCGGGCCGCGGGAAAGAAAGGAGGGAUUGGGCCGAAAGGGGCCCAAAGAAAGGAAGGAGGAUUUUAUUUGUUUUCUUUUUUAUUUAAUUGGUUAAAUGAUCUUUGUGACUUUAAAAUUAUUUCUUGAGCUCCGAAAAUUUGCGGAAAAAAUCCAGAGAGUAUUUUGGGGCACAAAGAAUAUUACAAAAUAUUCUCGGCCAAUGAUUUUUAAAGGAAAUUUUAAUUUCCUCUAUAAUUUCACUUGAUUAAGUUGAUUUAACUUUUAUUUAAUUUCUAGAAAAUGUAUUAUUAAUUGAUUUUUAAUCCCGAACGAAAAUCGGGGCGUUACACGUACCCAUUGACAGCAAGGCGCCUAUGGUGACUUCGUCAAUCUUAACGAUUUGAUGGCCCAGUCUUCGAAGAUGCACAUAGGUGUAGUGUUUGCGUGCGUGUCUUCAUAAGAGUGAGUGCGCGAUGAUUUAUUACAAUGGAGUUGUGUGUGUGGAUAAGUGGCACGUGGGGAUAGGGGAAAUUCUCGCGAAAACUGUCCUACGGAUAUUAUUUACGGGCAUCUAGUUUACAACUGUUUGCGAUUCAAAACUGGCCUUCCAAGCCGGCCCUACGACAACAAACAAUCCACUAAAAAAUAGGACCAGAAAAUACCAAAAAACAGGUCAAUCUCCAUAUACGUACAUUGCGGCAGUAUACGAGCUAACAGACCUAACAAACGGCCUAACCCCUCCCGUUCCACUUCCAUCCACAUCCCCACCAGGCCACCAAACUCUCUCGGGCCGAAACGGUCAACGCGUUUACCGGUGGCAUAACGACCCGCACCGAGCCAGGGCCACCGACUCGCGUCGCGUCUCCUCUCCUCCCGCGCGCGGGGCGCGCCUCCACCCUUCCUGCCGCGUGAUGUAACUGAAAAACCCCUCGAUUCCCCUACAAGAGACCACACGACUCCACCACCAACCACAAGCCGCCUCUCCCACACCCCCGGACCCCGUCGCCGCCGCCGUGGCCUCGCACGCGCACGCACACGCCAUGGAGCGCUACGAGUGUCUCGGCAAGAUCGGGGAGGGCGCCGCCGGCGUGGUGCACGUGGCGCGGGACCGGACGACAGGGGAGACCGUCGCCGUGAAGCGCCUCCACGGAGGGAUCGGCUGCGGCGAGGAGGAGUGGCUCCGGGAGGCGCGGUGCCUGCAGGCGUGCCGCGGCCACCCGCACCUCGUCGAGCUCCGCGCCGCGCACCGGGAGAUGAGGAGGGGCGGCGGCGGCGCGUGCUGCUACGUCGUGAUGGAGUACGUCGACGGGCCGAGCCUGUCGCGCGUGGUGCGGGAGGAGCGGCGCGGGAGGCCGUUCCCGGAGGCCGAGGCGCGGCGGCUGAUGCGGCAGCUCCUCGACGGCGUCGCGGCGAUGCACGCGGCGGGGGUCAUGCACCGGGACCUCAAGCCGGACAACGUCGUCGUCGGCCCCCGCGGCGACCUCAAGAUCUGCGACUUCGGCAUGUCGCGGGUCACCGCGGCCGGCGCGCCGCCGUACACGUCGCCCGUCGUCACGCUGUGGUACCGCGCGCCGGAGCUCAUUCUGGGGUCGCAGGAGUACGACUCCCUCGUCGACACGUGGUCGCUCGGAUGCAUCAUGGCCGAGCUCCUCGCCGGCGCUCCGCUCUUCCCCGGGAGGUCGGAAAUGGACCAGCUGAACAGGGUGUUCGACACGGUCGGAAUGCAGGACAUGAAGUCGUGGCCGGGCUUCGCUCGCCUGCCGCGCGCCGAGUCCGCGCUCUGCAGCCGCGCCAGGCCGCCGAGCAGGCUCCGGGAGAUGUUCCCCAAGCUGUCCGCCGCCGGGUUCGACGUGCUGAGCGGGCUGCUCGCUUGCCGGCCGGACAGGCGGCUCACCGCGGCGGACGCGCUCCGGUGCGCGUGGUUCACGGAGGCUGACACGCCGCCCGACGCCACGCCGGUCACCUGCGGCAGCGCUCGCUUCACUCCCUGCGUCUCCGGUGUUGCUGACGCAAUUGUUGUAUAAACAAGUUAGAAAAAAACAGAGCAAGCUGGUUUCAUGGCCAAUUGGAAGUAAAUUAAUUCUUUAAUUAAUUGUAGAUUUUGUACUUAUUUUGUAUUCUAUUGGUUGAGCAACAGUUUUGUAUAACCACGUUCUUGGGUGAUUAAAGAAUUAUAAGGGCAACGUGCUUUGUAUGGGUUUUGUCAGGUGAUUCAUUGUAAUCUUGCAUGGUGGUUGGUGGAAAGCUCCUGGAAUGGGACAUUUUGCCAAGUUGUGUGUUGUUGGUUAGUCGUUUCAAAGCUGUAUUUUGAAGCAAAAAUAACACAAAAUGUUUUUGAAAACAGUAAUACAAAAUGGCAAGGAUUGGCAAAGAUAUGCCAAUUUGCAGUUGCAGUACUGUUGCACAAAGCUGUGUGCCCUGUAAUCCUCACCCUUUGCUUGGAGGAGGAAUUUCAGUUUUUCAGGGUAGUGCUGUUUAUGAACCAUUGAAAAUAUAUGCUUCCAGGUAAAUAAAAAAUAAGCGAUUUUUGAAAUACUUCCAAACGCAAAAAAUGCAUUUAAAAAGUAUUAAAUUGUUAAAAACACUUGGACCUGUAAAUUUUGUUAUGUUUUGGACCUGCCAAUUCAAUGAAUAUAGAGGAAAGUAGUAUUUAUAAGUCAAAGCAAAGAAAAUAUUUACUGACAACACGACCGCCUAAGUCAACAUCUCUGCUAAGCGUUUGCCUACCGCUAAUGCUCAAGAUCUUGACUCUUCCUUAAUCUUCGCAAUAAGAGCCACCGAGGAUAGCUACUUAUUCUGGAAAAUUCUCUAGUUCCGCUCCAUCCAAACUUCCCAAGAGAUUAGGAGAAUCAGGGAUCUAGUCCCUUUCUUGGGUAAGCCCUGGCGAGUUACUAGAGUUUUCCACCAAUCGUGGACUGUGGUCACUUGUGCUCAGUUUGCCGGUCUCAUGGGCUCACAGGCUAUUCAGGUGGCAGUCGCGUUCCAAAAUCUCCUUGUGUAUCUACACUCCGCCAUGAGGCAAAGAGAUGUUUCCUAUGUGCAACAUCAUUACGGACAGUAACCGCUAUUCUGCCAUCCUCCGAUCCUAGUCACAAAACAGAGUUUUAAAUUUUUUUUGUUCAAAAAAACACAAAACAGAGUUGAGUUUGUGCUAUACUGCAAACUAUAGUUUUUCUCCAGCUUCCUAGCCAUGAACCACAAGAUAGUUGUGUAAGGAACAAAAGAAUAACUUCUAUAUAAGUGCGAUAGUCUGGACAGAUAGGCUGAGAUGACUUUGUUGUCACAGGAGUUAGAUAUCAAGCCACGAGUAUUGGAUUUUUUUAAAAAAAAAAUUGUAUUGAAAGAUAUGCAGAAACAUUAUAACUUUUUUAACGCUACUAGCCUACCAUAUCUAAGGCCUUGGGAAUAUCCAAUUUGAGGAGGACAUGGGGUUCUAUUUUGAUCAUGCUUCCAGACUUCUGACCAACAUGCAAAAGAGCUCAGUAGCUCCUAUUCAGUGAAAGAGGAGGAUUUGCAGAUCAUAUAUAGUAUGCCCUCUUGUGAUUUAAAGGGUUUCCCCUUUACAUAUCUUGGGCUUCUCCUCAUUGUUCAAAAGCCUACUAUAACAGAUUUGCAAGCUCUAGUGGACAAGGUGGCUGACAAUCUCCCAUUUCAGAAAACUUCUACCAUGAAUCGUGUCUGGCGUCUCGACACAGUUAAAGUGGUUUUGCCAGCUAUUCUGAUUUCGUUAUGAUUGCUAUGGAUAUUCCUAUCUAGGUGAUCAAUGCAAUUGAUAAAAGACAAAUGUGCUUUCUCUAGGCAGGUCAGGAGGGGGCUAAUGGUGGAAAUUGCUUGGUUUCCUGAUAAUGGGUAUGCUGGCCCCAUAUGUACGGUGGUUUGGGAAUUAAUAAUUUUGAGUAUAUGAGCUGAGCUCUCUGCAUUCACUGGCUAUGGUUACAAAAAUAAAAUGAUAGCACUGGUGCUUGGCAAAGGCUUCCUCUUCAAGUACCUUGCAGUACUCAUGCUCUCUUUAGUAUAUAUGGGUUAGGGCGUCGUUUAGCAAAAGAACCCCUCGGCUUCCACAUUUUAGAGCGCAGUCCUAAUUCGUGAAUUUUCUCUCCUUCGCAUGCAAUAUCCGACUUUUGUAAGGGCCUAUCUGUGAAUUGACACCUCAGAGGAACUUUUCGCGGGGAUCUCGAUUGAAUAACGCACAAAUCGGAAAGCUUUUUAGCAAAUUUUCACCGCGAGCACAGUAACUUCGCCACAGUAAAAUCUAACGUGGCACAUCCCAGCGCUCGCCCCUUCGGCGUGCCUUAAUAAUAUGCGAUGGCUGUUGAAUCAAUAGUUGGUAAUGGACAGUCCAUAUUGUUUUUGUCGGAUGGAUGGAUGCAAAACAUAACCAUGGCAGAGUUGGCACCUAUUCUGGUAAAGAUGAUCUCAAAAAAUAUUAGCGAGCAAUAUACUGUGACACAAGCUUUAGAAAAUCAUGGGUGGACUGCUGAUAUUAAAGGGCACCCCCUGUCCAACUCAUUGUUGAGUGCCUGAGAGUUCGUUACGUGGUUGCGGUCUUCCAGGAUGGCGUCCCAGACUAGCAUCAUUGGAAGCUCACGAGGUUUGAAUCGUACACAUGCAAACCAUCAUAUGAGUCGAGUGUGUUACAUUUUCAGCAAGAUUGCUAACCACAUUCUAGUCGUGUGUGUGUUUUUUGGCAAGUUUGGUUUCUAAUUCUCCAAAGAUUGGGUCUGACCUCCAUUACUCCAAAUCAAGAUGCAAAGCACUUCUCUAGCUGGUGGUCCAAGGCAGUAAAAGGCAUGGAUAAAGAUUCCAAAAUGGGAUUCAAAUCGCUUAUUACAUAUUCUUGUGGCUAUCUGGAAAAACAUAAACGAUUGCAUUGCAUGUUUAAUGGUGUCAAUUCUAGUGUCUUGGUUGUCAUUAAUGAUGUCAAUCCAAGUGUUUGGUUGUAAUCCAAAUAAUGGCAAAUGAGUGUAGUCUUUGGUGCAUGGCUGGAGCUUCAAAGCUCAGCGAGUUUCUUAGUAUGUCACUGACCGCAUUAGGGUGUGGUCGAUUGAGUUUUCUUCUUGUAAUUGUAAGACUUUUUUCUAUGUACCGUGAGGGGGUGUUACUAAUUUCUUACCCGUGUUCUUUUUGUCUUAACAAAAUGCUACGCCGAUCUCCUGCCUAUUUAAGAAAAAAAUAUCUCAAAAACACAAAUUAAUUCAAUUACACAUUUUGGCAAGUAAAUAUGCACCAUCAUGGGUAAGAUUCUUUUUGAAUUCGAAAACGUGUUUCUGACUACAAAUGGCAGCACAUUACAGGAAAAUAUUUAGAAUGGCGAUUUUAUGGCAUUCACUCAUGGCCAUUAAUGAUUUUAUAACUGGUGCAGUUAUCCUUUUAUCAUAGUUGGCACUGAGUCAUUGACUGCGGGUUUUGGCUUACCGCAAUGGAGAUCACCGGAGAGCCAUCUCUCUGCGCUGCUACUGCUGCUGCAUCAGGCAACGAUGCUGCUGCCAUUGCUGUAGUGCGUUCAGCGAGGUUCAGGAAGGAAAGGGCCAGGGCUAGUGAUGCUACCCGAGCUGCAGAGCGCAAGAAGAGGAGAGCCCUGCAUCAAGCAGCAAGGACGCUUGCUCCGGCACACAAGCAGGCUGCCACACCUAUUCCGGCAACCACAAGACGACCAAGCGCGGUCGUUGCAACUAGCACGCCGACUGCUCCUAGCCAGACUACUGCACCAAGCCUGGCCACCAUACUCGUUCCGGCUACCACAAGCGCACCUAAGCCAGCCACGGCAUCAAGCCCUACAAAGGUACCAGCUUUGUCUGUCAAUCCCAUUCUAUCUAUCAUAGGCGUACCUAGUCCAACCACCACAUCAAGCCUGGCCACUACAACAACCUCGACUGCAGUGUUGUUCCCUAGAAGCACACUCAGCUCUGCCUCUACACCAAGCUUCACCACAACAUCUAGCCCAGUGACCGCACCAAAGUCCAGUACCAAAUACACUGUGGCCACCGAAAUCGUACUCAGCCCAGUCUUUCCACCCAGCUGCCAAACAACUUCACCAUGCACUGGUGGCAUGCCCAUUUCCGCAAAUCGCAAUGUAGCGUUCAAGAAGGAAGGGUCUAGCAUAUGCGCUACCACUCGCGCCGCAGAGCGCAAGAAGAGAAUAGUCUUGCAACGAACUUUUGUGUUACCUAAUCAAGCCACUACACCAAACCCUGCUACCAUGCCUGCCGCUGUCAACCGGGCUGAUGUAAUAAGUCUCCCAAACACACCAAGCCCCGAUGUCAUGCCCACAAUAGCUGCCACGGGCUAGCCAAAUACUGCUAAUUGGCCCACUACUCAGAGCAACGAGGAGUCGAGGAACUUAGGGGAAUUUGCUCUGGAAUUAACAAGAUCAAAUUUUGAAUUUUACAAGGGCAAAUCCUGGUGAUCAUACUUUAAUUGUUAGGUUCUCAUGGAAUAUUUUUUUUAAUGGUUGGAACCAGUAUCGUGUGAAAGUACUUUGUGAUAAGAAUGUAUUGAAAUAAUUUUUUAUGUAUUGGAUGUCAUUGUAGUUUUGACUAAUUUUUAGUCAAAAUGUAAGUGGGUUGGAUUUUAAAAGUAUAUUUAACUAUUAAUUCGAAGGUAGGUAUCAUUCAUCAGUUGUUUGUUUACGAUGGACUAUAUGUUGUCACUUAUGUUUGUGGAUGGUUGUGGGAUUACAGUGGGGCCUCUAUUAUGGUUCAAAAACCUUGAUAUUUAGAUGUUGCUUGUAAUUUACCAGUGCUACGUGAAGAAGUUGUGUACGAAUUCGUAGAAGGGACCACAAAAAAACAGAAGGGGAGUUAUUUUUCAACAAAAAAAAAGUGAAUUUGUCAUUAUUUUUCUUAUUAUCAUUGCAGUGUUUUUAAGAAUUUGUAAUGUAUUUGUAUUUCAUGCCUGAUCUUUUGGGAAAAUAGGCAUAAGCCAUGCCUAAAGUUUAAAACAUUUAUUUUGAAUUUAAAAACUAGUUACUGAUGACUGGUCCCAUUUUUGGAAGAAACCAACAUUGUCUUUGGAACGGUAUUGAGUACGGAGUACCUUGUAUUGAGUACCUUGCACAAGAUCAGUGUUGUGAACCUACUUCUACUGUUCAGUUGCAUGUAGUGAUGAAAUUACCUAAAAUCAUGAGUUCUGGAGAAUAAGUGCAGAAGGCAACCGCUAUUUAAGGCAGAGACCUUUGAAAUGGAAAUACUGUGGAGACUUUGCUGACAAUCCCUAAACAAGUUGUAAUAGGGACUCAAUCAUACCUAGAAGCAAGCGAUGGGUGGGAAGCAAGUCAGUAUCGUUGUAGGCUCAUACCCUAGAAGUACUGAUUAGAGAGUUGGACAAGUUGGUUCGCAUGUUAGAAUACAUUGAUUUACAUGCGUUUGUAAGUAGAUUGUCAAUAUAGGAGGUUAUAUACAAUGUACAUGAGUGACAGUCACAUCUCUCAAGAAAAAUAGAUUAGUUUGCCCACAGGAGGAAAAGAAGAUAGAUAUACAUCAUGAUUUGUAGAGAGAUCUUUCAAAGAUGAACAAUGUUCAUAUAGAUCAUGAAACUAAGCAAAGAAGGACUCCAAAAGAAAAUUAAAAAACAAUCGACUCCCUACUUCGCUUCUUCCGAUUCGAUGACCAAGAUAAUAAAGCUGACGGUGGCGACACGAAGAACAAGGUUGACUGCAAGAAGAUAGACCGAGACAGAAACCCAACAAGGGUCUCUCACAAGUGGAGGUGAAAGUAGACUCGAUAAACAGGAGAAAAAUCACUUUGGCCUUGUAUAUGCACUAAUGAUGACAAAGAAGGGCGUCAAAUUGGCAUCAACAAACUCGCUGGAGUUUUUCUGAAAGGCUAGCGCAUUACCUUGUCGUUGUGGAGGAAGAAUACCUUCCACCAGAUGACAAAUCAGAUACACCUUUGUUCCAAAACGCCUGGAAGGAACCCUAUCUUUAAGAGCCUCUACCUUGGGUUAUAUAUAUGGAUAUCUCCAUUACCACACAAAUAAAUCUCAUUUGUUGUGAAGGUUACCACACAAUGAAUCUCUUAUUUGUUGUGGAGGUUACAACAAAUAAAUCUCUCAUUUGUUGUUGUGGAUGUUACAAUACAAUGAAUCUCUCAUUUGUUGUGGAGGUUAUAACGCAAUGAAUUUCAUUUGUUAAUGUUGACUUUAUUCUCGUCUCUUACAAAACGGAAGAGCAACAGGCAGGCUCGGCUCGGUCGGCUGCCUCGCCUCGCCACGCCCACGGCCGAGGCCGACUUGGCACGCGCACGCGUGUGGCAGUCCAACCAUCACCUCAACCGGUCAACAAGGAAUCUCCAAUAUCACCCUAUUUAAGUUGAGAUUCGUCCACCUAAAUUUUUAAGACAGUAUUAUUGUCUGUAACAUUACUUGUGGGCUCUUGAGAUUUUAAUUGAAUUAAAUUGGGCCUAGCCCAUUUAUUCCAACAGAUAUAUUAAAAUUGGAGAAUAGAGAUUAGUGGAUUAGUGAUUACAUUACCUGAUUGCUGAAUGCUUUGCUGAUUAGAGUAGGCUGUUGGUGUCUAGGCGGCCAGGCCGUCCGCCGUCAGGCGGACACCGACAGGCGCUGCACGGCUCACGUCUGCAGCCAGCAGCCGCCAAGGACAGGACUCAGGCAGGCAGAGCGCAGAGGCAGGCAGGCCGGCCGACGACGGGUCACAGCCAGCGUCACCGCGUCGGCGCCAGUUUCUCAGCGAGAAAGCGACGACACCGCACUACCGCAGCAGUGUAGAUGCGAACGGAGAGAGAGUCAGAGAGGCGAGGCGUCGUUUCGUUUUCUGCGCGAUGCCGCGACGCGAUCGAAGGCCAAACGCCGUAAACAAAAGAUGAAACAAAUAUCAGAUUUUCAGAGCUAAUUGGACUAUCAAAUUACGAGUAGUUAUUAGGCUACAUCUAUAUACAUAUAAUGUGUUGAAGUUUUGGGCCUAGGAGGCCCCUGAAAAUUGGGGUCCUGUGCGGGCGCGCUGGCCGCACAGCCCUAGAGAUGGGCCUGGCGUCUCGCUGUCAACGGGUACGUAUUUGAUCGGACAUCACCGAAGUACCGAAAUUUUCUAUUUAUAUUAAUUUUGAAUAAAUUUGAACAAAUAUUAGCAAAAUUCAUGAAAAAUUUAAAAAUUGAAAAAUUUCAGUCGAAAUAAUAUCGUAUCGAAGGGGUCCGAAAUGGCCAAAAUUUCUAACCCUGGACAAGGAGGUUCAAGGCGUUGACGAUCUUGUGGUCCGCCAGGGUGUCGGGGGCGUUGUGAUGAAGCGGGCGGCCCUGGAGGCUGGAAUAUAAACCGCUGCAAGAUUAGCGGAACACCCAGCCUGCGCUCGAUCUGGGUUGCGACGCUGCUGAUCAUGUCGCUGGCACGCUGCUCUCCAGCUUCAGCGUAAUAAUAUCAAAAUUCCCCAACAAGCCGUUCCUUACAAAGAUCUGCAUCUUCUGGAAUCUCGACGACGGUGACGACAACGACUUGCUGGUUUCUCGAUCGAGCAACUUCAACUUCACCUAGAUUCUUUUGCUUACUUUAUACAUGCAUGUGGCUGUGAAAACUGGAUAGAGCAUCUCCAACAGCAUAGCUAUCCAACUCUCUAAGUUAAAUUUUAGCAAUUUUAGACAAAAACGCACUUCAACAAACUAGCCAACCGGAUGGCUAAGCCAUCCGGCUGGCUAAACUCCCGCUCGCGCUGGCCAACUCUGGCCAGCCAAAAUGGACUCGCCAAUCGUGGGCCCCAUGCAUGGGCCCACGCGUUUUCCCUCUCCCCUCCCGUCCCAUACUCUCUCCCCGCCCAGAUGGCGAUUUCCUCCCAUAAACUCCCCCACUCACCGAUCCAGCACGCCGGCGCCCUCCGCUAGCGCCGCCCCUUCGCCAUCGUCGUCCGCUGCUGAGACCGCUGCCGUCGCUUGCCGAGGCCGCCGCGUCGUCGUUCGCUGCCGACGCCGCCGUCAUCCGCUACCGAGACCAAUGCCGUCCCUUGCUGAGGCCGCCGCGCCGCCGUCCGCUGCCGAGAGCGCUGCCGCAGUCGCUUGCCGAGGCCGCUGCAGACGCGCCGUCGUCCGCUGCCGGAUGGAUGGAUGUAUCGAGCAGAAUAUGGGACGCAUUGAUCGAUCGUGACAUGAGAAAUUUUAAUUUCGCCCGCAAGCCAUGGCUGUGCAUGUGCAAAGCUAUCUCUCGCGUGUAUAUACAGCUCACGUAUGCAGCAAUCAGUUCACUACCAUAGCUAAGCUUAGCUCGGUCAGACUACAGAGCACAGGUUGCAACGAGCAGAGAGCUAGGCGAAAUCAAUCGGAAUUCGGAGAUGGUGCCGCCGUCCGCUGCGGACAUGCCGCCGUCCGCUGCCAAGAGCGCCGCCGCAGUCGCUUGCCAAGGCCGACGCGCCGUUGUCCGCUGCCGAGGCCGCCGCUGUCCACUGCCAACGCGCCGCCGUCCACUGCCGAGAGCACCCCGUCGUCGUCCGCUGCCGACGCGCCGCCGUCCACUUCCGAGGCUGCCGUCGAGUCUACUCCGCUGCCCCCACGCCGUCUUCGCCCCCGCGCUGCUGCUGCUCCCGACCGAGGAUGUGGCGGCGGCAUGGAGAAAGGGGGAGCGGCGGUGGUGUGGAGUGAGUGAGAGAGGAGGGUUGAAGAACUGUAUGGAGGCUAACAUGUGGGACCCACUGUCAUAGACUUAAAAUGGAGAGGGUAGAUAGAGAGGCUGUUGGAGUGGAUAACGAGUUUGACUUGCUAAAUCAGAUGAAGAGUUAGCUAUAUGGGUAUUUAGAGAGUCUAAUUUGGAGAGACUGUUGGAGUUGCUCGGAUCCUCUCCUAUCCUACUCCAACGCGAACCAGUACUGGCCGUGCGCUCCUCUCUGCAUCACGAAUUGUUUGGCCGCGAUAAUCUGUCCACGGGACGUGGUCAUCUCGAAAAUCUCCACGGCAAUACCGUGGCUUCAACCGUUCUCCCUGUUAGGAAACCGCCGGCCUAUGAAGGCCCGGCCCCGGUUACCCACUAAUUGGGCCCAUCACUAAACAUGGAAGGUGGAAGAGGGAAUGGCUAUAAAUAGAGGAGUAGAAAGGUGGAAGAGGGAAUGGCUAUAAAUAGAGGAGUAGAGAGGAGGAUUGUACACUUGAGAAUGCAAUGGAUGAAUGAGAAAGGAUGCCACACCCUCAUAUCUUGUGUCUCCACUUUUGUAGAAUUACGGGACUCUCUUUGACUACUUCGUGUGGCAGGAGGGUUGCGUAAUACGUUACCGGAGAUCAAAGAAAGAAGAAGGGUAAGAACUCGCAAAUCCAUUUUGCAUCUCGUUGAAUCAAUCGUGAAAACGAAUUCCUCUCCCCGUUCUCGUUUUGUGUUGCCGUUCUCGACGAAAUCCUCCACAGCCGACUUGGAGUCGCCGGCGUAUGCCGAUUGGUGGAAACGGUGGAAGGCAAACACGACGUUGCGGUGCCGGUGACGCGCCAUGGUGGCGAACCUGAGCCAUGGCAGCGAACCUGUACAUGCGACACCACGGGCCGCACCCUGCAAGGGGCGUGCCGACGUGCCAUGGAAGCACUGGCCGGAGAGGACGUAAGGAACAAGAAGAAAAGAAGGAAAAAGCAAGAAAAAUUGAUGACCACCGGAGCACGACAGCCGCGGCGUCGCAUGCCUUGCCGUCGAUCCGGCUUCAUCCCACGCCGAGCAUCGUCGCCGGCUCUCGCCAGGUCGCGCACGCUGCCGUUCCCACCUCGCCGGCAGCCACACGAAAGCGAUCUGCUGCCGCCCGACCCUGUCGCGCCCUCAUCGAGCCGCACCACCGUCGCACGGAUUCGCUGGCAUCGCCGCCGAUCUGGCUAGCCGCCGCCGGCCGUGCCCCGCACGGCACCGCCACGCGCGCAGCCGCACGGCCCCGCCGUGCGCGCUGCCGCGAGCCCCGCCGCCGCACGGCAUCGCGCUGCCGACUACGCUGCUGCAAGGCGCCGCCGAAAACCGCGACCGCUCGCCGGCCUUGCCCCGCACGGCGCCGCCACGCGCGCUGCCGCGAAACACUGCCGGCCACUCCCGCACGGUGCCACCGCACACCGCCGCGAGCCACUGCCGACGACGCCCCGCACGGCGCCCUCGCAUGCCGCUCGCCGGCCGCGCCCGCAGGAUGCUGCCGGCCGCACCCCGCCCUGCAAUGCCGCCCGCGCCCCGCAUGGCGUCGCCGCGUCGCCGCACCGCCGCGUUCGGCCGAGCCCGCCGCGCCGUACCACCGAAGGCCGCCGCGCCGCCGCCUCCAGCCGAACCCGCCGCGCCGCGCCAUCCGCCAAGCCGCGCCGCCGCGUCCGGCCGCCGAACCGCUGUCCGCCACGCCGCCGAGCCGGAGCAGCCGCGCCCACUGACGCAUGGCCGCGCGCUGCCCGGACCGUCCUCACACCGCGCCAUACACGGCCGCGUCGCCGCCGCACGGCGCCCCACCGCAGACCGCCGCGCCCGCCGCCAAGCGGCCGCGCCGCUUGGCAGCCCUGCCGCCUUGCGGCCGCGCCGUUUGGCCGCCCGGCUGCCGUGCCGCCAGGCCGUCUCGCCGCCGGCGCCGCCUCGCCGCCGCACCUGGUUGCCUCGCCGCCGGCUCCUCCGCAUAUGGCAACCACGAAGUCAACGGGAGAAAGAACAAGAAAAGGAAAGAGAGAGAAGAAGAAAAGGAAAGAAAAAAAAAGGAAAUGGAAAGAAUCCUGUGAUUUUGCAAAAAUGCCCUUGCUGUUUUUGGAAAUUAAGUGCAUGCUCCAAUGCAUUGGAAUCUUUGCACUGUAAACCCUUAAUUUUUGAGAAAAUACACAAAUAACCCUCUGCAUUUGGGAUAUUUGUUUGAAAGGCAUUUGAAAUUUGCAAAAUUCACCGAAAAUCAUAUUAUCGCAUAAAAGAGCCACGGGACAUUGAAUUUUGACCCCAACUUUGUAUUUCAGGUACUUUUAUUGCUGAUAUAUAUGAUUAUGAAAUUUAUCUAUCGCAUUUACGAUUAUUGAUUAUUUGUGAUGCUUUUAUUACUUUUAAUUAAUAUCGUUGCGGUAAAAUGUAUAGAAUUUCAUAGUAUAUACUGGAAUUAUUUGCGGCAAUUUUGUGUACCAUUAUAUUGCAACACUUGUGCAUUUUACCAGCAUUUAAUUUGCGCAUAUUUUUGAAUAACGAAAGAUGACCGACAUCACAGAUUAGAAAAUUCGCUGAAUCUAGAAUAUCUCUGACAUAUUUUAUUGUCGAAAUUAUAGUAGAGCAAGAAGCUCUAUGGUACCAUUAAUCGAAUCGCGCUAUAGGUAUUGACUCGAUGAGUUUGAUCUAGCAUUUCAAACUCUCGCCAGUGCCUCCAAGCUACUCUCUUGAAUGAGUAGGCUAAAAGAAUAAGCGCGUUAGCAUUUAGAAGAUUAUGGUACAUACCCUACCUCUCGUAGAGCAAGAAUUAUAAGCAAGAAUGGGUAUUUUCGACUAGAUUCACCGAGCAGAUGACCCAGAGAUAGUAUGGUAACACGAUGCAUCGAAUUUGCAUUGAAUACCGCUGAAACUCUUAAUGUUCUAGCCGAACGUGACGAAAGUUGCACACAAGUAUCACUAGUGCACAUACAAGAAGUAUGCCUAACCAGUUGAUAAUGGAAUUGCGUAACGUUCGGGAUAGUGUUCAGUAGAAGAGCAUUAUCUUCCAAAACCAACUAGCGCAGUUGAUAACGAAUUCAACACUAACAGCAAGCCUGGUGCACUUACCUUAACGGAGAAGAUGAAAAGGGGGAGUAGAACACAGGUCAAGGUGAAACAAUCUAGAACUAUAAACAUUAAAAGAAAAGGACAAUCCUAAUAGCACACUCAUCAUGAAUUGAGGGGGAGAGCUCCUAGCCUAUUUGCAUGGCUAUGGACGAAGAAUCUCCUAUGCUAUAUCGGAUCGGCCCUAAAAUUGAUGUCUGGAUAAUAAAUAAUUGCCAUAGCUAUCGAGCAAAAAGCUCGCUAUGAAGUUAAUUGAAUCCGAAGUACCGGAGUACCUCGUUGAAUCAAUAUACUUCGUCAUCACUUGUUACAAUUGUGAAAUAGAAUAUUGGAUUGAAUAAAUGGUCUUUGCCCAUGUAGAGCACACAUUUUCCCCCGCAAUAAAGAAUUAUUUCCAGUAUAAAAUAGCAUAUUUAAGGCAUUUACUAUUUUGUUGCUCUUUUAUAGCACAUAGUUACAAUGCUUUGAAUUUUGUGUAGCACCCAAACAUAAAAGAAAAGAAUGAAUUGUGGUCCGCAUAACCACAAAUAACACUUUAAGAGAAGGAGGUAUUUCCAGACCCUAUAGAACUGGAAAAUAUUAUGACAGUUGUUAGCAGCAACAAUUGAAUUUGUCGGCCUAGAAUGCGCCACAGUCAUAUUACCUAUGGAACAAUUGUGCACUUUUUAGAAGCAUCUAUUGUCCGUCAACCCCGUUGAACUCUCUAAAGAGUGUGAUGUUUCAAGCUACACCCUUUUAGCAAUGGAUUUUCAGCCAUUUUCGGUCUUAGAAUUAUAGGCAUAAAUAUUACAACUCGUAUGGUCAUAGCACAUAUAUGCAUAAUUUUUCCUAAAUCAUGAAGAUUUGUGUGCCAGUAUGCACCGACAGGAGAUCAAUGCAUAAACCGCAUAUUGUUCUAGCAUCCCUGAACUGGAUUGCGAAGAAUAUAUGUGGCUUCCAUUUGGUUAUGUAUGGAUAAAUGCGCUUCCGAAGCAGCAAACAUCCAGUGUCUCUUAGACACCAUGUAUUUGCCAAGACUGAUCUAGCAAGAUCAUGUGAACUCCAAUAGAACUCACUAAAUCAUCUUCAGAAGUCCACGAGGACAAUGCUAGCAUUGCAUUUGAUGAUUGGUGAACUGGCAGCACGAAGUACCAAAUAUCCGCAUAAUCGGACUAACUAUAAGCUAUGAAUUGCAAUAUUUGCUAUAUCAUUGUUGUAAUAUCCGCGGUAGAAAAGGACAUGUAGUCCUGAAAACAGCGGACUCUGAAAGCAAAUUCAGACCAUCGGCAUGAACAUCCAUCCUGCAACUAGUGCUAUUGCAUCUGUUUGGUUUAUGUGCAUAUUCCACUAUCAUAAUGCGUUGCAAUAGGCUCUCUCCGAUAGUCGGAAACCUUUUACGGAGAUAGUUAUGAAACCUAAAUUCCUUGACAAAUAAGAAUUAUUUCCAGUCAUUUAGGGGGGAGAGAAUGAACCCCUAGAUAGGAAAUGUCAGGAAAUAUGAUAGUCCGGGACUAAUGCAUGUUACACCGUACUAGUGAAUGCAGUUUGCAUAAAGAAUUAAAACUGCCAAACCACUUUGUAAAUACUUUUGUGAUUUCAAAGAGUUUGACUAAGUUGCAUGAACGAAAUGCACCGGAGGAGGGUGAUACCGAAGAAAGUAAAGGUACCCUCGUCUUGUCUAGAGGCCUCGAAGAAAAAGAAUUGGACAAGAAACUCUGGCUCCUCAUGCCCCUAAAGUAACCGGAGACGUCUGGUGAAAACAGGGCAAGAGGGACUAUCAUACUCAAAGUCACGAAAUAUACCCCCACCAAAUAGAAGGGGAGCCAGUUGAGAUCUGGCAAACGGUAUGGAAUCUCGGAAUAGGCGUACUGUACCUUCCCAUCAAGGAAGCAAACUAGCUGUUGGAGUGCACACUAACGCUGGUACAUGCCCACAUCAAGAAGUAUUAAGCAAAGAAGAAGAUGAAGCAUAUGAAAAUGCAUCUCCUCGUAUAUCCAUGGAUAUUCGUAUAGAGUCUCAUGCAACCAAUAGAAGUUAGCAAUGAGACCAUUUAUGGGCAAUGUCUCUUUUAGACAACAAAACUCAUUGGCAGUCAACCUGGAGUUGAAUGGAAUUAGUGAACUAGAAGUUGAAAAGAAGAACUCAACCUGAAUAUUGAUAAGCAUUGAAGAUAGAAUCAAUGAAUGCAUUUCAGGAGCUUGGAUCGGACACUUGCAUAAUUGUACAUGAAGAAGUACUAGGUCCCGAACCAACAUAGAAAGAAUAAACCAGAAAAGAAUCGAAGAAGCAAACUCGUUCAUUUUGAAUUUGAGUUUAAUUUUGAAAUAUUUGGCUGAACCCAAAUCAUGCUCACGCUUGCAGCUAAAAGCAU